rnacentral:lncRNA from 1 species
AUGUGGAGACUUUAAUCGCCGAGGGAGUUUUUGAGUCGGUGGCUGAGAGAGCUCCGGAACCUGUGGCAGAUAAAAGACCCACUGAGCCAACAAUAGUAGGCUUGCAAUCACAGCUUGAACAAGUUUGGAGAUGUCUUCUUGUAGAAGAAUCAGCGGGAAUCAUUGGCCUAUAUGGUAUGGGCGGUGUUGGUAAAACCACACUGUUGACCCAUAUCAACAAUAAAUUUCUUGAGAGUCCCACCAACUUUGAUUGUGUGAUUUGGGUCGUAGUUUCAAAAGACCUGCGACUUGAAAAAAUUCAAGAAGAUAUUGGGAAGAAGAUAGGUCUGUUUGAUGGUUCGUGGAAGAAUAAAAGUGUUGAGGAGAAAGCCGUAGACAUCUUGCGGAGAUUAGGAGAGAAGAGGUUUGUAUUGUUGUUAGAUGAUUUAUGGGAGCGGGUUGAUUUAACAGAAGUGGGCGUUCCACUUCCCAGCCCACAAAAAUACUACAUCAAAGUCGUAUUCACGACCCGUUUCAUUGAUGUGUGUGGUAGCAUGGAAAGUCACAGGAAGUUUAAAGUGGCAUGCUUAUCAGAAGAGGAUGCUUGGGAGCUGUUUCGAGGAAAAGUAAGGCAAGAAACUCUUGAGAGUCAUCAUGAUAUCGUUGAGCUAGCCCAAACUGUGGCCAGAGAGUGUGGCGGUUUGCCACUCGCGCUUAAAACUAUAGGUCGAUCUAUGGCCUACAGAAAGACAGCUAAGGAGUGGAGACAUGCAAUUGAAAUGUUAAGGAGAUCAGCUUCAGAGUUUGCAGGUUUGGGAGAAAAGGUGUAUCGUCUUUUAAAGUUUAGCUAUGAUAGUUUGCAGAAUGAUACGAUUAGAUCUUGUUUCUUAUAUUGUUGUUUGUAUCCUGAAGAUUAUGGCAUUCUUAAAUGGGAUUUGAUUGAUUGUUGGAUUGGUGAGGGAUUCUUAGAGGAAUCUGACAGGUUUAGUGCAGAAAACCAAGGAUACUACAUUGUGGGCACUCUUGUUCAUGCAUGUUUAUUAGAAGAGGUGGAAGAUGAUAAAGUAAAAAUGCAUGACGUUGUUCGUGAUAUGGCUAUAUGGAUAACCGGUGAAAUUGAGAAGGAGAAGCGAAACUUUUUGGUUUGUGCAGGUGCUGGAUUAAAAGAGGCACCGGAUGUUGAAGUAUGGGAAAAUGUGAGAAGAUUGUCAUUGAUGCAAAACCAAAUUGAAACUCUGUCAGAGGUUCCCACAUGCCCUCAUCUUCUCACUUUAUUUCUUGACUUUAAUAGGGAGUUGAAGACUAUUGCGGAUGGCUUCUUCCGAUGUAUGCCUUCUCUCAAAGUUUUGAAGAUGUCAAACUCUGGAAAGCCUUGGAAAGGUUUGGAAUUAAAUUUGGGGAUGCCAAAGUUGGGUUCACUACAGCUUCUUGAUAUUUCACACACCUGCAUACAAGAUUUACCGCAAGAAUUAAAGUUGUUGGUAAAUCUGAAAUGUUUGAAUUUGAGGCGGACAAUUUGGUUAAAUAAAAUUUCAUGGCAACUAAUAUCAAAUUUUUCAAGGUUACGUGUGUUGAGAAUGUUCGCUACUGGCUGGUUCAAUUUUCAUGAAGCACCAGAAGACAGCGUUUUAUUUGGUGGGGGUGAAGUUUUGAUACAGGAAUUGCUCGGUUUGAAAUAUUUAGAGGUAUUGGAGUUGACCUUGGGAAGUUAUCAUGCUCUCCAAAUUCUUUUCAGCUCAAAUAAGCUAAAAAGUUGUAUUCGAUCUCUUUACCUCCAGUUGACCGGAGAUACAGCGUUAAUUAUUGAUGCUACGGCUUUCGCAGAUCUAAAACACCUCAAUGAAUUACGCAUUGAGUCGGCUACAAAGCUGAAAGAAUUGACGGCUGAUUAUACAGAGAUAGUUCGAAAAAGGCGGGAACCUUUUGUUUUCCGCAGCCUUCACCAUGUUACUAUACAAAGCUGCCAGAAGUUGAAAGAUUCGACAUUCCUCGUUUUUGCUCCAAACCUCAAGUCUCUUUCGAUAGUCAAAUGCAAUGCUAUGGAAGAAAUAAUCAGCGUCGGAAAAUUUGCUGAGACUCCUGAGAUGAUGGGACAUAUAAGUCCUUUUGAAAAUCUCCAAAUGAUUGAUUUACUAGGUUUGCCACAUUUGAAGAGCAUCUUCUGGAAGCCAUUGCCUUUCACUCAUCUGAAAGAAAUAUCUGUGCGUUAUUGCCCUAAUCUUAAAAAGCUUCCACUCGAUUCCAACAGUGCAAAGGAGCGUAAAUUUGUUAUUCGUGGAGAAGAAGACUGGUGGAACCCACUUCAAUGGGAGGAUGAAGCCACUCAAAUUGCUUUUCGUUCCUGUUUCCAACCCUUGUUCCUGAACAGUGGUCGCAAAAUUUGAUUUCUGGUGAGUGCGUUUGUCUUUUAAAAAGAAUAAUUUAAAAGAAAUUUAUUCUUGUCGGUUUCUUCACUGUUUUUAUUUCAGUUUCUCUCUCUCUCUCUCUCUCUCUCUCUUUUUGUCUUCUGCAAAUCACAAUUACAUUUUUAUUCUUGUCGUUUUCUUCACUGUUUUUAUUUCAGUUUCUCUCUCUCUCUCUCUCUCUCUUUUUGUCUUCUGCAAAUCACAAUCAAAUGUUGAAUUAAUGGAAUUAAUGCUUCAUAAAUUUGCCGGCACUGCCAUUACUUUUUUUUGGGGGAUCGAAUUGAUACUUUAUUUAUAUCUUCUUAGCGAUUUAAUUUCCUGUCAAAAGACGAACGAGAAGAACAUAUGACUUAAACCAAUGCUCGCAUAAACUUGCUGUAAAAAGAUAUAAUCUCACUGAAAUGCACACGCCUAGAAUGAAUAGAAUUAAAACAGGGAAAAUAUUAAGUAUAUUAGCCCUCUUUACUGAAAAUCAAAUGACAGUAAAUUUUUUGAAGUUUUGAUUUUCUAUGGUCAAUUCCACCUUUUGCAAUUUCUUCUGUUCUAACAAAAACCAAUUUCUUUGUUCAAGUAUUUUCGUUUGGAUAUUAAUAAUUCUCCACCGAAAGAGUGAACUCUUGCUCAAAGGGAUCUCUAAUAAUACAUAACAUGAUUAUUUUCGUUUGAAUAAUUGAUUUCUUGAUUGAAUUGUCGUGUAAUUGAUUUAUGGGGGAUGACACAUCAACAUACUUGAAAAUACACUAAUCUCAGCAUCAUCGGUUAAUAACUUUUAGAUUUAUGGGUAAUCAAUAGUUAAGAUUAGUUGUCAUUAAUACUAAAUAAUUUUUACUUUUUUUGUCUCUUCUAGAGGAUCUUCUAGAAAAAUGCAUCCACAAUUAAAUUUAAUACUUUACAUAAUAAACAAAGCCUAAAUGUUAAAUUUAAGAAACUGCAUUGUAUUUCAGUUGAAGUUGACUUUAAUAUUUAGGGUAGAAAAACAAUUAAUUUUAUUUUUUGAAAUGUCCAUAUUCAGAGCACAUUUCAAAAAGACUCAAUAAUUUCUCAUAAAUUUCAAUUAAAAAUAUUCAAUUUGUUGUUUCAGUUCUUUUAUUUUUUAUUUUUUCCGACAUGAAAGCGACUUAAUGUUACUAAAUUGGGUGGUCUUUGGAUUUUCAUGACCCAAUAAUUGGAACAAAACAAUUUUCUCAAGCGCUCUCCCGCAACAUUUUAUAAUUGAAGCCGCUGCCCCGCCCGUGGUUUCAAACUUUUUUCUUUCUCCUUGUUUAAAUUAAUGGGAGCAGCCUCCGUCCUUGACUAGUUGACUGCUUGUCUUCUUUUUUUUAUUAAUUAAUUAAUUCAGCCGCCCCCCUUUCUUGUCCCAAUAUCUUCUACUUUCGGUUUCCUUUUAUUAUCUCUUUAUUUUUAAAAAAUGCUUAUAAUAAUAAUAAAAUAUAAAAUAUAAAAAUAAAAAUAUAAUUUAUCAGAAAAUUAAGAUAAAGAAAUAUUAUAAGCACAUCAAUCAACAAGUGAAAAAAAAACAAUUUUAAUUUACAUUAAAUAUAAACUUUCAGUGUUAAUCAACUUUUCUAAAUAACUAAAUUAAAAAAUUAAUUGAUUUAAUUGUGGUGUAAUUGAUUUGUAGGGGAUGAAUCAGCAGCAUCAUCGGUUAACGCUUUCAGAUUUAUAGUUAAUCAAUAGUUGAGAGUUGUUAUCACUAACGCCGUGUAUUUUUUAAUGUUUUUUCUCUCUCCUACAGCAUCUUCUAGGAAAGUGCAUCCGUUGCUAAAAUUUAGUAUCGUAAAUAAUAAACCAAGAAUAAAUAUUAAAUCUAAGAAACUGUAUUGCAUUUAAUAUUUAAGGGAGAAAAAUAAUUAUAGUGUCUUUAUUAAUCAGUAAAAAAAAAAAUUAGAAUCAUAAUAAAUUGUAUUGUUAUUGAUGUAUUUAUUUUAUUUUAUACUCAAAAUAAAUUAUUUUAAAUUAUUAAAAUAAUUUAAAAUUAGUAUUUUAUUUUAUACUCAAAAUAAAUAAUUUAAAAUUUUCAUUUCUUGUUUAUUUCGCAAGUUGUUAUUGCCUAAUGCUAUGUCAACUCGAACAUUAGCAUUUUUUUUUUUGGUCCUCUUUUAACGCAAAAUUAGUGUAGGUUAAGUAACAUAAUCAAUAUUAGGACAAUUUGAAAUCCCUAUGGGUGCGUUUGGUACACUGUAUUGUAUUAUACUGUAUUGCAUUAUUUUAAUGCUGAUGUAUUGUAUUAUGUUGUAUUGCAUUAGCACUGUAUUAUAACAAUGCUAUACAAUAUUUGGUGUUACAUUGUACUGUAUUAGAUUUUAAUUAUAUUAUAUUUAGUGUUACAAUUGUUGUAACAUAAACACGACCAAAAUAAAUUGUACUAAAUAAUCUAAGUAAGAGUUCUGUAGUAUAUGUAAUAAUACUAUUUAUAUUAUUAUUAUUAAUAAUUCUAAAUUAAUAUUAUUUAAUUUUAUUCAUAUUUAAAUAUGUAUUAUUAGUUUAUUAAAUUAUUUAAAAUAAUUAAUUUAUAUAUAUUAAUUAUUGUAACUUAAUUAAAUAAUGUAAUGCUAUAUUAUAUUUUUAUAUACUAUUUAAGUAUUUAUUAUUAAUUAUAUUUAAUUAUAAAUUUAUUAAUAAAUUAUAAUAUAAAAAUAAAAAAUAAAAAUUAAUAUUGUAUAAUAUUAUAUUAAAUUAAAGUUUUAUUUUUAUUACUAUUAUUAUAAAGUAAAAAAAAAAAAAAGGGAAGCUACUGACUUUUGAAACACAAAAGUCAGUAAUACAACCUAAUCACGAGGGGGGGCGCGGGUUUUGAUAAUGCGGCAAAAGCUGCAUUGUAAUGCUGCUCAAUGCAAUCCAUUUGAUCACCAAACACAGGUAUAUUUUAACUAAUGCUGGGCCCACAAAAUAAUACAAUGCAAUUCCGCAUGCCAAACAUACCCUAUGGGUGCGUUUGGUACACUGUAUUGUAUUAUACUGUAUUGUAUUAUUUUAAUGCUGGUGUAUUGUAUUAUGCUGUAUUGCGUUAGCAUUGUAUUAUAAUAAUGUUGUACAAUGUUUGGUGUUACACUGUACUGUAUUAAUUUUUAAUUAAACUAUAUUUGGUGUUAUAUUGUAUUGUAUUAAUUUUUAUAAUUAAUUAAAUUAAAUAAUUAAAAAAUAAUAUUUAUUAAUACUUAGAAAAAUAAUAAAUAUAGAAAUCUUAAUUGUAGAAAUUUAACAAAUUUUUUAGUAAAUAUUAAAAAUUAAUGAUUAAAUUUCUAAAAUUUGUAUUAUAAUUAUGAUAAAAUAAAUUUAUAAAAUUUAAUAUUAUAUGUAAAUAAUAAAUUUAGAUUAUAAUUAAUAUUAUAAUUGUUAAUAUAAAUUAAUAAAUUAUUAUUCAAUAAUAUUCAAUUAUAUUUUAAUUUACAAUAUAUUAUUAUUUUUACAUUUUAAUAUAUUAAUAAAUUUAUAAUUUAACAUAAAUAAUUAUAAAUUUAAAUAAUAUUAAUUUUAAAAUUAAUAUUAAUGUAAAUAAUAUUAUAAUAUUAAUAUAUUAUUUUUAUAUGAAUCAUUAAUAAAUAAAAUAAUAUUAUCAUAUAAUUUAUUUUUAUAUUUUAUUCAUUAUAUUAAUAUUUAAUAAUAAAAUAAUUUAUUUUUAUAAUAUUUUAAUAAAAUAAAUUUGCCUCAAUUGAGGCAUUAACUGUUGCCUCAAUUGAGGCAAAAAGCUUCCGCAUCCCUCGGGUUUGCGUAAUGCGGCCCCAUGCCUCAUUAUGCUGCAUUAUAAUGCAGCAUAAUGAGGUGUCAAAUUUUGCCAAACAUGUUCUUGGUAAUAAACUAAUGUGAAUAGUAGUAUAAUACCACAUAAUCUCAUGCACCAAACACGCCCUAUGUGUAUUAUUCACGGUAUCUAUGAGGGCUUAUCCUUUUGCUAGAACAAACUCUAGCAAAUUGUCAAAUGUGCUUAUCCUUUCCCUUGACGACUCAUUUUAAAAUUGUCACUCAUUUUAAAAUUGUCUUUCAAUGCACAAACACAGACAUAACCGCCGACAUCGAGCACCAAGUUUGGAAUUUAAUUGAUAAGCAUACAUUUGAUAAAUUAAUGAAAAGUUUGGAGAGUAGUUUUGAUCACCCUUGAUUAGGACGGUAUUACAAAAAAGAUCAAAAAGAAAACAUCGUCUCUCUUCACAAAAAUAAAUAUUUUCCGUUAGAAUUUAAUACAAUAAUAUUUUUUUUGAUUAAAAUUUAAUUAAAUACACAAAUAAAUUAUAUAUUUUUUAAAAAAAUUUACACCCAGUCACAAGGCUGGCUAUUAAACUUAAAGGGUGGAAGCUUCGGAGACUAAAGUUGGUAACUUCUCCAAGUGGUCUUAAGUUGACCGGAACUACCCAGACUUUAUGUUUGGUAGCCUAGACCUGAUCGGACCUAGGCCCAAGUUUGGUCUUAAAGUCCACAAUUAAAUUAAAAAAAAAUUAUUUGAUUUGUAAUUGAUUUAUGGGGAAUGAAUCCGCAGCCCUAAAAUUACACCAAUCUUGACAUAAUGACAUCAUCGGUUAAAAACGUUCAGAUUUAUGGUUAAUCAAUGGUUUGAGAUUUGUUAUCAUUAAUGCUAGAUAUUUUUUAACAUUUUUUUCUAUCUCUCUUCUCCUGAAGGAUUUUCUAGGAAAAUGCAUCCACAACAAAAAUUUUAAAUUGUAAACAAUAAACAGAGUAUAAACGUUAAAUCUAAGGAACAUCGCUGCAUUUCAGCUGAAGCGAACUUUAAUAUUUUACGGAGAAAAAUAAUUAAGUCUUUAAUGUGAUUUAUUGAUUAAUAUAUAUGACUAAUUUUUUAAAAGAAGAUGAAGGAUGAAGCUUAAAAAUAUAAAUUAUAGAAUUAAUUUAUCUCUUCAAUAAAUCUAAAGUUUAUUUUUUUUAUUACAUGCUUCUAUUUUAUUUUUAUUCCAUGUUAAUGAAUGGAGAUUUAAAUCCAUUUUGGAUUUAUAAAGAUGUUUAGAUAUUUAAAUCCACGUGUGAUUCCAAACUUGAACCUUUUUUUUUUUUUUUUCUAAUUAAUGCAAACAGCCGCCUCUUUGACUGCUUUUCUUCUUUGUUUAUUAAUUAAUUAAUUCAGCUGCCCACCUUUCUUUUCCUAAUGUUUUCUACUCCCAAAUUUUUUUAAGGACAAGGCUACGUUGCAGACGCUGUACCUAACAGCUGCACCUUCGCCAGCUUAAAAAAGGGUGCAUUUGGUAAGCAACUUUUCUUUCGUGUGCAUAUGUGUCCUGCCACCAUUGGGUGUGUACGUAACAGAUAAUGUACCGUAACAAGCUCCUAUUUUUAAAUUUGUUUAUAAUGAUAAAAUAUAAAAAUUAAGAUUAAAAUGUAAUGUAAUGUAAAAUUAAAGGUGGAAGAGUAUUAAAAUAAGGCUAAACCUAUGUUACGUUUAACGUAACAUACAUUUAAAUAUAUAAAAUAUCAAUGGAAACCCUCAAAUUUUAUGGAAACUAUAUUAAUAAAAUUAAAAGAAAUAUUUUUAAAUCUGAAAGAAGAAAUAAAAGAUAUAAAGCAAGAGAUAGGAAAACUAAAAAUAGAAAUAUCUGUAAAAGAAAAAGGAAAAGAAAAAUUAGAAAUAAAAGAAACAACUCCAACUGAAUCGAAUUCAGACUAAUGGAAGAUGUAUUAGAAACUUUAACUGAAAAAUUCAGUGACAUAAAUCUUAGUGAUUUAGAAGACUUUGAAAAAGAAUAUUAGAUAAAAAUGAAUACUGCUGGAGGACCAGAAAUGAAACCUAAUGUAGCAUAACCAAGUCAUAGAUAUGGUAUAAAUAAAAUGAAAAAUAAACCUUUUUACGAGUAUAUACCUCCUAUUAAAAAUACUCCUUGGAAAAAAGAAUACAAACCAAAUCAAGAUACAUUAACCCCAAUAAAUAAUGCUGGAACAUUUUUAAAUCUAGAUUGUAAGAUAGACAUUCGAAAGGCGUUAGCAGAAUGGGUGUUACAAAUGAAAUUAUUUUUUAUAUUUAACGGGUCAAAGGAUGACUAGAAUGUAGAGACUGAAGAAGAAAAAAUAGAUAUAUUUGUUGAAAUCUUAAUAGCCAGUUUUUCAGGAAAUGUGUUUAAUUGGUGGAGAGGAUUAAGCGAUGAUACACAAAACUUAAUAAAAGAUUCAACCAAAUAGCAUUUAGAAAAAAUAAAGCCUUAGGAAUGGAAAGGAUAACUGAAUACAUAGCUAGUGAAUUUUUAGGAGAAGAUUGGCUAGAAAAAUCGGGCAUAUAUGAAAAUUUAAAAAUUUAUGAUAAAAAGAUCUUAGUGUUUUUAUUAAAAAAUUAAAAUUUACAUGACUAUUUCUUUAAAUAUUUAGGGCAUAUAUGAACCACGGAGGAGAAAAGCUUUAUUUAAUAUUUUAGAAUAGUUUUUGAUCAGUACAAUUGGGUCCUUAUUCAGAAUUAUUGUUCUCUUCCGCAACAGUUUUUGUUUAUCAAAGUCGUCAAUUAAAAUUUUAGAAUUCUUAUCAGAAGAAGUAGUCGUUUUAGAAGUUGGGUCUUGGAUCAAAUUUCUACGAGUGCAUGAAUUAACAAUAAAAAAAUUUCAUUACACACGGUUUAAGCUACAAACUACUAUUUGCACAGUUGACUAUAAAACUUACCUCCAAUUACACUAAACCUCUCUAUUUGGUAACGUUGAGACUAAAUUAAUUUUAUUAGCAUGAAAAGAUGAUAGAAAUAUAAUUAUAAAUAUUAUUGUUGUUAAUCAAUUAGUACAUGUGAUAUAAAGGUUAAAUGUGCACUAUAUUUAAUAAUUAAUUAGUGGAGCAUGUUAAACAAAAUGUUAAUGUAUAUUUAUAUAGUGUUAGGAAUAUGCAAAGUCAAGUCCUCAAUUUGCAUUAUCCUGUAUAGAAUAUUACUCUAAAAAUGUUUUACUAUAAUUGGCUUAGAACAUUUGUAAAGAAAAAUAAUAAUAAAAUAAUAAAUAACAUACACCGUCACAUAGCACCUAGACAAUGAUAGAAAAUUAUUAAAGAGAGUGCAAACAAUUAAUUAGAGAUUUUUAUGAUGACUUUUAAUAUUCAUGAUAAUAACAAAUAAAUACAUGUAUCACUUUUUUAAAAUAUUAAAUUUGACUGCUCCAUUAAUAAAUUAUUAUUGUAAUUCAGACUCUAUCUAUAUAUCCUUGCACUAAGAAUAAUUAAGGUAACGUUUGUUUUUUAACUUAAUGACUUAAAGUGACUUAACUUAAUUAAUUAAGUUAAUUAGAGGUGUUUGUUUUAUAACUUAAUGAGACUUUUUAGAUAAUUUUGACUUAAUAAAAUAAGCUAAUUUUUUUUGGCUUUUUACUUAAUGGAGAAAUCUGAAUUAAGUCAAUUACUUGCUAAUGUCAAAAAUAUCCUUGUUUUAUAAUUUAUUUUUCAUGUCUAUCCCAAAACUCGCCCGUAGAUAUUUACCCCACAUAAAAAUAUCCCUGUUUUUUUCUUUCUUAUAUUAUAUACGAUAAAAUUUGAAAUUUAUAGUAUUUUAUAUAUUAAAAUUCUAAAAUAAUUAUGUAUUCACUUGAAUAUAGUUUUACUUAUAAAUGUUAAAAUAUGAUGGUAUUUAAUAUAUUAUUUAUUUGACAUUCAAAUUUAAUAAGGAUACAAAUGUAAAAGUACAUAUUUUCAGCUUUUUAAAUUGAAAAAAAAUAACUUAAUAUUUAUUUUCUGAGAUUCAGACGAAAAAAUAAACAUAUUAUUCAGAUUCAUACAUUCAGAUCUAUUCAGAAUUCAAACUAAUUCAAGUCUAUUCAAAUUUUAGACAAAAAAAUAAACGCCACCUAAGUCAUAAUAAAAAUUUUCGUAACUACAUCUCGUUUCUUCCUCAUAAUAAUAAUUAGAUUGGUUCGAAUAUUAUAACUAUAUAGAUUUAGUGUAUAGCCACAUCCAAUUUAAAUAUUGACCCAAUUGGGAUGGUCCCCAAAAAAAAAGAUUCGUUAAAGGAUAAUUCUAAUUAUUUUUACUUCUCAAACGUUAGUGGGACGUUUCUAUUAGCGCACUCGUAAGCCAAGUUGUCAAAUAUUUAUACUAAACUACAAUUGCUAACAAGAAAAAUCAAGAUCGUGUUAAGCAAGUGGGUCCCGAAUAGGACGUGCAAAUCUCUCGUAAGUCAAGUUGUCAAAUGUUUAUAUAAAACUAACAAUUACUGACAAGAAAAAUCAAGAUCGUAUUAAAAAUGGGUCCCGAAUAGGAUUAUCUUUUUAAGAAUAUUAUUAUUUUAUUAUUAAAAUUUUAUUAAUAUAACAGUAUUAAAAUUUAUUAAAAAAUAUAUUUUAUUAUUAAAAUUUUAUACCGUUAUCAAUUUAUUAUUAUUUUAUUAAAAAAAUUAAUAUUUAACAAAAAUUGAGAUAAAAAUUAAUUUUUGUUCUCUGUCUUUAUUUAUUUAUUUAUUUUUUUGGGUCUUCUGCAAAUCACAAUCAAAUGUUGAAUUAUAAAUUUGCCGGCAUUGCUUUUUUUUUUUUUUUUGGGCCGGGGGGUGGUGUUGAAUUGAUGCUCUGGGUUUUUGACUUUUGUUGUCAAAUUUUACUCUGUUUUUCCCAAAUUGAUGCUANNNNNNNNNNNNNNNNNNNNNNNNNNNNNNNNNNNNNNNNNNNNNNNNNNNNNNNNNNNNNNNNNNNNNNNNNNNNNNNNNNNNNNNNNNNNNNNNNNNNNNNNNNNNNNNNNNNNNNNNNNNNNNNNNNNNNNNNNNNNNNNNNNNNNNNNNNNNNNNNNNNNNNNNNNNNNNNNNNNNNNNNNNNNNNNNNNNNNNNNNNNNNNNNNNNNNNNNNNNNNNNNNNNNNNNNNNNNNNNNNNNNNNNNNNNNNNNNNNNNNNNNNNNNNNNNNNNNNNNNNNNNNNNNNNNNNNNNNNNNNNNNNNNNNNNNNNNNNNNNNNNNNNNNNNNNNNNNNNNNNNNNNNNNNNNNNNNNNNNNNNNNNNNNNNNNNNNNNNNNNNNNNNNNNNNNNNNNNNNNNNNNNNNNNNNNNNNNNNNNNNNNNNNNNNNNNNNNNNNNNNNNNNNNNNNNNNNNNNNNNNNNNNNNNNNNNNNNNNNNNNNNNNNNNNNNNNNNNNNNNNNNNNNNNNNNNNNNNNNNNNNNNNNNNNNNNNNNNNNNNNNNNNNNNNNNNNNNNNNNNNNNNNNNNNNNNNNNNNNNNNNNNNNNNNNNNNNNNNNNNNNNNNNNNNNNNNNNNNNNNNNNNNNNNNNNNNNNNNNNNNNNNNNNNNNNNNNNNNNNNNNNNNNNNNNNNNNNNNNNNNNNNNNNNNNNNNNNNNNNNNNNNNNNNNNNNNNNNNNNNNNNNNNNNNNNNNNNNNNNNNNNNNNNNNNNNNNNNNNNNNNNNNNNNNNNNNNNNNNNNNNNNNNNNNNNNNNNNNNNNNNNNNNNNNNNNNNNNNNNNNNNNNNNNNNNNNNNNNNNNNNNNNNNNNNNNNNNNNNNNNNNNNNNNNNNNNNNNNNNNNNNNNNNNNNNNNNNNNNNNNNNNNNNNNNNNNNNNNNNNNNNNNNNNNNNNNNNNNNNNNNNNNNNNNNNNNNNNNNNNNNNNNNNNNNNNNNNNNNNNNNNNNNNNNNNNNNNNNNNNNNNNNNNNNNNNNNNNNNNNNNNNNNNNNNNNNNNNNNNNNNNNNNNNNNNNNNNNNNNNNNNNNNNNNNNNNNNNNNNNNNNNNNNNNNNNNNNNNNNNNNNNNNNNNNNNNNNNNNNNNNNNNNNNNNNNNNNNNNNNNNNNNNNNNNNNNNNNNNNNNNNNNNNNNNNNNNNNNNNNNNNNNNNNNNNNNNNNNNNNNNNNNNNNNNNNNNNNNNNNNNNNNNNNNNNNNNNNNNNNNNNNNNNNNNNNNNNNNNNNNNNNNNNNNNNNNNNNNNNNNNNNNNNNNGAAGGGUCUCUAAUCAAUAGCUGGAAGCAAUUGAGAAGGCGGUUGCUACAGUGAAUUCAAAUGUAAAAUGUUUGCUAUUCUUCGAUUUGGUUAAUGAUUUCGUAUGAAUAUUGUUGUUCCGUUGAGUUGCAUGCGAAUUCAAAUGCAAAAUAUUCUUCGAUUUUCAAUUUUGAAAUCAAAUUUUUUUUUCCUUCUCAAGCAUGUUAUGCAGAAACGAUUGUCAUGUUAUGCAGAAACGAUUUUUACUAAAUCAUUUUUAACAAACUAUUGAAAUUAAACCACUGGAAUAAGAAUUGUAAGGAUUUAUCGUAAGCUUACUAAUACGAUAAUUCUGAAACUAUCACCUUUUUUUUUUUAUUUGUUGCAGGGAAACCCAAAUUUUGUAUUUUGUCAAUUUCAUCUGAUAUGGAAUUUAUUUCCUCCCUAAAGAUUUAUCAAACUGCUUCUCUUCCCUGCUUCAAUAUCUUUAUGCAAUUACGAUCUCAUAGGAAAAGAGAGUUUGGGUUGUAUAUCUUAUAGUAUUUAUUUAUUUUUUGUUAAAAGAAAUUUAUUUUAAAAUAGUUUAUAGCAACAGUUUUUAUUUAACAAUAAUGAGGAAGGAUUAUUAUAGGUUCAAAUAGUUGUUAGAACAUUAUAAAAAAGUCCAUUUACUAUCAAAUGUUUUAAAUUGGUGCAACGUGAUAAUUGUCUCAUAUAAUUUUUUAAGGGUAAAAACUCGUUUCAUUCCCAUAUUUUAAGAUUAUUACUCAUUUAGUCUUUAUAUUUUUAAAAAUGUUUCAAAACAUUCAUACCCUUAAAUUAUUAACAUCUCUGCUGUUACUUUUUAUUUUUUUUUGACUUGUUUUUACAAUAUUGCCCUCUUACAAUAAUGUUUCUUUUUAUAAAAUUAAUAAAAAGAAAAAAAAUUAAAUUAUCAAUUUAACCCCAAAAAUAAAAUAAAAAUAAAAAGAAUAAAUAUUAAUUUUUGUGAAAGUUUACAUGUGUCCAAAAUAAAUUUUAUUGUAAAAAUAAUUAAAUUGCCUUUUUUUUGGACAUUAGUAAUAAAAAAAUUAAUAUAUUAAUUCCUCAGCAGUGUGUUACAAAAAAGUAAAAUAUAUUAAUUUUGUUUUUAUUUUAGACAAUGAGAUAGAGAAAAGUACAAGAUAAAGGAAAGGACUUCAAAACUCACUGUUCAUCAUAAUGCCCUUUGCCUUUAAAAAAAAAUCAUUCUAAUAUUUUAUAACACAUAAAAUAUAAUCCUAAGAUAAAUAUAAUAAUACAUAUUUUAAACUAAUCUCGAUAUUUAAAAUAUGUUUUAAUAUUUUAUAAUCUAUCAGACAUAUUUUAUUAUAUUAAUGUAAAAUUUAUAAUAAAUACAAACAUAUUAUUAAAAUAAAUAUAUAAAAAAUAUUUAUUUUUUAUAUGUUUACACUGAGGACUCUCUUUAAUUCAUUUAUUUUCUCUCUCUCCAAACAGGUACUGUCUUCAGUUAGCAAUGCUAUGAUAGUAAUCCAAUUCUCUUCUCCCCCACCUGAGCGAGAUUUGAAUUUGAAUCCCUUGUUUUUCACCCACUCUGUUUUUUUUCACGCAAGAUUUGACAAUUUGAGUUAAAAAAUAUGGUCCAAAACUUGAACACGUAUCUUUUAAUUGUAAUAAAAGUUCUUUAAGCUUUGGAGAUGGCAUAUAUAUGGCUGGAAGUGUCCUUUUCUUUGACCUAGAGGCAGCACCAAGCUAUCCAGCAUCAUCAUUUUUCAAGUGGGUCUUAAAUGCCUAGAAACGUUGGUGUUUCUUGAUUUAAAGAUGACACAUGCUAUAAGUGUGAAUGGUUUGGCUAAGCCUAAAUUUAAAGUCUACUCAAGUCGCAUUCAGGAUCAUGGAAAUUGGAAAGGGAGAGAUGAUAGCAAGAUUUAUAAUAAACAAUUAACUUGGGUCCUCAGUGUACAAAGCAAAUGCCACGCAAGCGAUAGCCGGCCCAGCCCAGAAAACCCAGUGGCGAUCCCAGAGAUGGCCUCCUCUAACGAGUGCUGGGCCCAAAAAUCUUUGCGGGUUGAGCCCAGCUCCGGCAUAGCCCUUUUGAGCAGUAACAGUUGUCGAGACAAAAACCAGAAGACCCAACACUGUUCCAAUGACAAUGCAUACGGUAAACUCUGCCAAGAGCCUUGGCUUGUCUGGAGUCAAAAGCCAUCCACACAGAAGCAAAAAGGAACACAAACGAGCAAAUUAUCUCAAGCCAAAGGGCCUGCCUAGUCCCCAAGCCGAUCUCAACAGGCCCAUCUGGCCCAGGUACGACAACAUUCAGGGUGCAGCCUCCAAGUUGUCAAAUAUUUAUAUUAAACUACAAUUGCUGACUAGAAAAAUCAAGAUCGUAUUACAAGUGGGUCCCGAAUUGGACGUGCCUAAAUCUUUUUAUAAUUUUCCCAGUGUAGCGGACAGAGGUCAUUACUAAAUUUCUCUUCCACACGCCACAGCAGCUUCGGUUAAUCAAACUCAAUCAAUUUUCUUGGCUUCUCCGCUUAUCAAUAUUACAAGGUAUGGGUAGCAUUUUUCAAAUCACAUGCGAUGGUACUAUUUUCAAUCGUUGCUUAGAUUGCUUUCUUGGAAAAGCAGCAUACAUAAGUAACCUCCAAGAUAAUCUUGUUGCCUUGGAGACUGAACUAAGGAAACUAAUCGCAGCAAAGAACGAUGUGAUGACGGCGGUUGUCAAUGCUGAACGGCAACAAAUGAGAAGGCUGGACCAAGUGCAAGUGUGGGUUUCGAGGGCGGAUGCUGUUAAAAAUGAAGCUGAUGAACUUAUCAGAGGCGGCUCUCAAGAAAUUGAAAAAUUAUGUCUUAGAGGGUUCUGUUCCAGGAACUGCACGUCAAGCUACAAGUUCGGAAAACAAGUGGCUAAAAAGCUACGAGCUGUGGAGACUUUAAUCGCCGAAGGAGUUUUUGAGGCGGUGGCUGCCGAGGUGGUGCCUGAGAGAGCUCCAGAGCCUGUAGCAGAUGAAAGACCUACCGAGCGAACAGUAGUAGGCUUGCAAUCACAACUUGAACAAGUCUGGAGAUGUCUUGCAGAAGAAUCAGCGGGAAUCAUUGGCCUAUAUGGUAUGGGCGGUGUUGGUAAAACUACACUAUUGACCUAUAUCAACAAUAAAUUUCUCGAGAGUCCAACCAACUUUGAUUGUGUGAUUUGGGUAGUAGUUUCAAAAGACCUGCGACUUGAAAAACUUCAAGAAAAUAUUGGGAAAAAGAUAGGUUUGGUUGAUGAUUCAUGGAAGAGUAAAAGUGUAGAGGAGAAAGCUCUCGACAUCUUCCGGAGUUUAAGAGAGAAGAGAAUUGUAUUGCUGUUAGAUGAUAUAUGGGAGCGGGUUGAUUUAACAAAAGUGGGCGUUCCACUUCCAGGACCACAAAAUACUACCUCAAAAGUCGUAUUCACAACCCGUUUGAUCGAUGUUUGUGGUAGCAUGGAAGCUGACAGGAAGUUCAAAGUAGCAUGCUUAUCAGAAAAGGAUGCUUGGGAACUGUUUCGAAAAAAAGUUGGGGAAGAAACUCUUGGAAGUCAUCAUGAUAUCGUUGAGCUAGCCCAAACUGUGGCCAAAGAGUGUGGUGGUUUGCCACUCGCACUUAUUACUAUCGGUCGAGCUAUGGCCUACAAAAAGACAGCCGAAGAGUGGAGACACGCAGUUGAAGUUCUAAGAAGAUCAGCUUCGGAAUUUGCAGGUUUGGGAAAAGAGGUGUAUCCUCUUUUAAAGUUUAGCUAUGAUAGUUUGCAGAAUAAGACGAUUAGAUCUUGUUUCUUAUAUUGUUGUUUAUAUCCUGAAGAUUAUGGCAUUCUUAAAUGGGACUUGAUUGACUGUUGGAUUGGUGAGGGAUUCUUAGAGGAAUCUGACAGGUUUGGUGCAGAAAACCAAGGAUACUACAUUGUGGGCACUCUUGUUCAUGCGUGUUUACUAGAAGAGAUAGAAGAUGAUAAAGUAAAAAUGCAUGACGUUGUUCGUGAUAUGGCUCUAUGGAUAGCUUGUGAAAUUGAGAAGGAGAAGAGAAACUUUUUGGUUUGUGCAGGUGCGGGACUAAAGGAGGCACCUGAUGUUAAAAGAUGGGAAAAUGUGAGAAGAUUGUCAUUGAUGCAAAACCAAAUUGAAACUUUGUCAGAGGUUCCUGCAUGCCCUCAUCUCCAUACUCUAUUUCUUGCCUCUAAUAAUAGUUUGCAGAGGAUCACCGAUGGCUUCUUCCAAUUUAUGCCUUCUCUCAAAGUUUUCAAGAUGUCAAACUGCGGGAAUUUAAUUUUGGAAUUACCUUUUGGGAUGUCAAAGUUGGGUUCAUUGGAACUUCUCGAUAUUUCACAUACCUACAUACAAGAGUUACCACAAGAGUUAAAGUUGUUGGUAAAUCUGAAAUGUUUGAAUUUGAGGUGGACAAGCGAGUUAAAUAAAAUUCCACGGCAGCUAAUAUCAAAUUCUUCAAGGUUACGUGUGUUGAGAAUGUUGGGUACUGGCUGGUUCAAUUUUCAUGAAGCAUCAGAAGACAGCGUUUUAUUUGGCGGGGGUGAAGUUUUAGUACGGGAAUUGCUCGGUUUGAAAUAUUUAGAGGUAUUGGAGUUGACCUUGCGAAGUUAUCAUGCUCUCCAAAUUGUUUUGAGCUCAAAUAAGUUAAAAAGUUGUAUUCGAUCUCUUUACCUCCAGUUGACCGGAGAUAGAAAGUCGAUUAUUGAUGCUACGGCUUUCGCAGAUCUAAACCACCUCAAUGAAUGAUUGAUUUUUAAAGGUUUUGAGUUGGAAGAAUUGAAGAUUGAUUAUACAGAGAUAGUACGAAAAAGGCGGGAACCUUUUGUUUUCCGCAGCCUUCACCGUGUUACCAUAGAUUCGUGCCUUAAAUUGAAAGAUUUGACAUUCCUCGUUUUUGCUCCAAACCUCAAGUCUCUUUCGCUAUUCAAUUGCCGUGCUAUGGAAGAAAUAAUCAGCGUUGGAAAAUUUGCUGAGGUUCCUGAGAUGAUGGGACAUAUAAGCCCUUUUGAAAAUCUCCGAAGUCUUCGUUUGUCACAUUUGCCAAAUUUGAAGAGCAUCUACUGGAAGCCAUUGCCUUUCACUCAUCUGAAAGAAAUGGUGGUACAUGGGUGUGAUCAGCUUAAAAAGCUUCCACUCGAUUCCAACAGUGCAAAAGAGCGUAAAUUUGUUAUUCGUGGACAAGCAGACUGGUGGGACCGACUUCAAUGGGAGGAUGAAGCCACUCAAAUUGCUUUUAGUUCCUGUUUCCAACCUUAACUUGAUUUCUGGUUAGUGCUGUUUCCUUAACUUUUACAUAUAUUCUCGUCGUUUGCUUCGUGCAAAAUACUAGGUCUUUUGUUCUCUGUUUUUAUUUCGCCCAUUUUUUUUUUUUUUUUUUGUCUUCUGCAAAUGACAGACAAAUGUUGAACUAAAAGGAAUUAAUGCUUUAUAACUUUGCCGGCAUUGCUUUUUUCUUUUUCUUUUUUGAUUUUUUGGGGCGAGGGGGGAUCGAAUAGAUGCUCUGGUUUUUGACUUUUUGUUGUCAAAUUUUACUCUGUUUUUUUCAAAUUGAUGCUUGAAUAUUUGAAUCAAAUUAAUGCUCACGUAAAUUUGUUCAGUUGCCGUAAAAGGAUAUAAUUACACUGAAAUACACAAACUCUAGAAUGAAUAGAAUUAAACAGAGAAAAUCUUGAGUAUAUUAGCCGUCUUCACAUAAAAUCAUAUGAAAAUUAAAUUUUGAAGUUUUUAUUUUCUAUUUUUAAUCAUACCCUUUAUAAUUUCUUCUGUUCUAACUACAAUAAAAUUUUUGGUUCAAGGAUUUUUAUGAGGGGUAUUAAUAAUAGUCCACCAAAAGAGUGAACAGUUGGAUGCUGCCCUAAGGGUCUCUAAUCAAUAGCUGGAAGCAAUUGAGAAGGCGGUCGUUACUGUGUACAAAGCCAUGCAGUAUUUGCUAUUCAUCUUAGUAAUUAUGAAGCUUUGGUAAAAUUUUCAAACAAAGUUGACAUGUUAUUUUGAGAUUUGGUUCAUGAUUUUGUAUGAAUAUCGUUGUUCCAUUGAGUUGUAUAUGAAUUCAAAUGUAAAAUAUUCUUUGGUUUUCAAUUUUGAAUUCAAUUUCUUUUCUUAAGCAUGUUGUGCAGAAAUGAUUUCUACUAAAUCAUUUUUGAUAAACUACUUAAAUUAAACAACUGCAAUAAGAACUGUUAAGGAUUUAUCGUAAGCAGACUAAUAUGAUAAUUCUGAAACUAUCAUUUUUUUUUUCAAUUUGUUGCAGGGAAAGCCAAAUUUUGUAUUUUUCAGUUUUAUCUGAUAUGGAAUUUAUUUCCUCUACACUAGCUACCUAAAGAUUUAUCAAAUUGCUUCUCUUCCCUGCUUCAAAUUAAUAUCUUUAUGCAACUACAAUCUCAUAGGAAAAGACAGUUUGGGUUGUAUUUAUUAUAGUUUUUUUUUUCGUUAAGAGCAAUUUAUUUUAAAAUCGUUUAGUAGUAACAGUUUUUAUUGAAUAAUAAUGGGGUAGGAUUAUUAUAGGUUCAACUAGUUGUUAGAACAUUAUAAAAAGUCCAUUUACUAUCAAAUGCUUUAAAUUGGUGCAACAUGAUAAUUGUCCCACAUAAUUUUUAAUAAUAUAUAUGGCCCAUAAAUUUAAUAUGAAUAAAUGAGUUUCGAUAGUUAAAUUUGAUACGAUUAUUAAAUAAGUUAUAUCCAUGUCAAUUCGACUUAAAAUCUGGUAAAUUUAGAUUUAGAGUUUAUAACAUGAUAACUUGUUUUAUGACAUGAUUUACUAAUCAAUUAAUAUUAAAUUAUAUUUUAGCCAAUCAGAUAUGUGGUACAUUUGUCAAAUUUUAAAAAUUAUUUAUUUAUAUAUGAAAUAAAUUUGACUAGACUGUGUGUAGGUAAUAGUGCAUAAUUUCUAAAAAAAUGUAAUAAUAACACGUUAAAAUGUUAUUUUUAUGAAGAAAAAUUGAAAUUUUAUUAAAUAGGCGACACAAUAAUAAAUGGGUUGAGAUUAUUUACAUUUUAAGAAUUACUCUGAACAUUAUUUUAUUUUAUAAAUUUUAUAUUACAAAAACACCCAUAGUUUAAUUUACCAUUAAGAACAAUUUUGUGCGAUUAAAUAAAAUACAUUACUCUUUACCCUUUCACUACAUCGACAUAAAUCCUAAUUGUUAUGUUUCUAAUUUCUUUGAUAUGCUUAUUGAAGUCCACAUUAUAAUCAAUUUUAAACUAUUAUACCACUUAAAUACAUUUUAGAAUGAGAAGUUUGGUUUUCUUCAUGGGCUGCCUUGCUGAUGCUGUUAUUGAAACUAUCGAACUUAAUAAUUUUAUGGCCAAAAUGAUAUAUGUUGAACCAGCUUUUACAUCGAAUUCUACCACCAUAAAAAAUCGUACUUGUAACAUCUCAAGGUUCCAAUUUAUCAAAAGUUAAUCAUUCAUAUUUGUUAGUUCCUAACAGUCACAAGAGCGUACAAGCCAAUUUUUGUAGCUCCUUUUUCUGCAGUAGAUUCAAGUAUAUUAUUAUCAAGCAUUUUUGUUACACCCUUAAUUCCUUAUCAUCAUCCCUUCAUUCAGAGCAACUAAACAGAGGUCAAUGUCAUUAUGUUAGAGUUACGAGGAAGAGUACUGCCAAAAAAGUUCUUUGUAUGGGAUUUAAUUUUCUGGGUUUGUAGUGAUGAACAAAUUGAGGGUUGUUUUGGUAUUUUCAAGAGUGUAUUGAGUGAAAAUUAUUUUUAAAAAAUUUAACAAAUGAGUGUAAUGAGUAAAAAAGUGUUUAAAGUAUUUUUUAGAGUACAAAUAGCUCCACCUUAAUAAAUGAGUUCUUGUAAAAAUUGAGAUUAUUGAUAUAAUUAUUAAAUAGGUUGGAUUGAAGUUAGUUUAAUUUUGACAAGAUAAUAAGACGACGCGACACAAAUACAACCAACCAGUCAACCCAAAUUGCAACCUUUUACUAAUAAAAGAUACCUGUUUGAAAAGUAAUUAUAAGCUAUCUUCUUUGUGUUAUUUCUCUAAAAAUUUGCGGCACAAAUAUUAUUUCCAUGGAGAAAAGUACGAAAUACCCGCUUUCACUUCAGCAGAAGCAAAGCAAAGCUAUGAGCCAUCUCUGUAUAAUUGAAACGCCAUUGCUAAACGGUUCUUGAUGAUGGGUGCCACCGUGCCAGCGUUGUCGCUGAUUUGCAUGAUUUAUUAGUUGUUCAGAUGGCGGAUUUUGUACUGUCACUUUCAUUUCAUUCUUGAGAGCCACGUACAAUACUAGGUGGCAUUGAAGUUGCCCCAGUGGUUAGUUUUCUGAUUUUUUUUAAUUCAAAUUUUUAUGUUUUAGAAAAAUGUAAGAAAUAUGUAGAAAUGUUGACAGCUACAAUUUUGAAACUUUGCCUAAAAUUAUUAUCGUUGCUUAUUGUUUCUUAGCUAAAGAGAAAUCCUAGAAACAUGAAAUUAUUAUUCUAUGCUUGUUUUAAUAUUAUACAUUAGCAGGUUAAUUAAAAAUUAGACGUGAAUACAACAAGAGAUAAGUGGAGAGAAUUUGGUAGUCGACCGCAUUUAGAAUUUAAUUUUUCUUUUAGCUGCCGAUCAUUAAAUUUUAUAUUUCAGAAAAUUAUACCUAGAAUAUUUCAAGGAUAUACUACGAAGAUUAUGAAGGUUUGAUUACAUGUCACUAUCAAUUGCCUCAAUCAUUUGUAGUAAAUUAAUUAAUCAUUUUGCUGCAAAUGAUUUCCUAUUAAAAAAUUCAAGUCAGAGCUGAAUUGCACAGUAGUUAGUCGUGCUUGCAAUUCAAAUCAAGUAUUGUAUUUUCUGCCUGAUUUGGUUGAUUCAACUAUGUGCAUUUGCAUAAUGGAGAUGCUUAUGAACGUUGUAGUAUAGAAAUCGAAACGUCUUGUCUUUUGCUAAGCCCAGAAGCAAAGUUCUUUGUAUUAUACUCAUCAGUUUUCUUCGUUCUCUUCGUUGAAAUUUUAUCCAAACAGCGGUUUCUUCGAAUUUUUGCCCUCUCUUACAUUUUUAAAUCUAUCAAAGAACGGUUACCUGAGAAGAUUGCCAUCAGGUAUUUCGAAAUUGAUUUCACUACAAUACCUUAAUCUAUCAGAUUUUAAUCUAUCAGAUGCUCCCGUCACUCAGUUGCCAAAAGUGACAAAAGCCUUAGUAAAUUUUUAGAGUAAAAACUCAUUUAUUCCUUAUAUUUUAAGAUUAGUAUCUAUUUAGUCCUUAUAUUUUGAAAAAUACCUUGAAACAUCACUGCCAUUAAAGUAUUGAUACCCUUACCGUUACUUUUUAUUUAUUUUGGCUUAUUUUUACAAUAUUACCCUUUAAUAAUAAUUUUUUUGUUUAGACAUUAAUAAAAAUAAAAUAAUUAAAUUACCAAUUUAAUCCUAAAAAAUAAAAAUAAAAAUUUAUAUUAAUUUUUAAUUGUAAAAAAUUGUAUGCAAACUACCAAAUGUGCAAACGGUGCUUGCAAAAAAAUUAAUAUAAAUUUUUUAUUUUUAGGGUUAAAUUAGUAAUUUAAUUAUUUUAUUUUUAUUAAUGUCCAAAAAAUUAGUAAUUUAAUUAUUUUCUUUUUAUUAAUGUCCAAAAAUUAUUAUAAAAGGGUAAUAUUAUAAAAGUAAGCUAAAAGAAAUGAAAAGUAACGGUAGGGGUAUCAAUACUUUAACGGUAGGGAUGUUUCGAGGUAUUUUUAAAAAUAUAAAGAGUAAAUGGACACUAAUAUUAAAAUACAGGGACUAAAUAAGUUUUUAUCCUAAAUCUUUAAGUGUUUGAAUUGGAGUACAUAAAUUAUCUCUCUACAAUUCAAAAACAACAGAUUUGUUACUUUUCAACGCUACAGGUUCCGCGAAUAUUCAGUUGUGGUUAUCUUGUUGAAACACCAGAAAAUAGCGUUCUAUUUGGUGGUAAUGAAUUCUUGGUUGGGGAGUUACUUAGUUUAAAACAUUUAAAUGUAUUAAGCAUCGCCUUAAAAGGUUUUUCUACCGUCCAAAAAUUUAUGAGCUCCCAAAAGUUUCAAAGUUGUACAAAAUGUUUGGAGCUUAUAGACAGUGAUGAUUCAAAGUCGUUUGCCAUGGCAGAGUUGAAGCAUCUUGAAAAACUAGGUAUUUCAAAUUGUGGAAAUUUGGAAGAGUUUAAGUUCUGCUGUGUCGAAGUUGGAAAAACUUGAGAAGAUUUUUGUUUGAACAGCCUUCACCAAGUUAAGAGAAAGGCUUGUCAUAAAUUGAGGGAAGUGACAUGGCUUGUGUUUGUACCAAAUCUUAAGGUUAUUCAGAUAGAAAAAUGUAUGGAGAUGGAGGUUGUUGGGAAAGAGACUACCACAAGCAGCUAAAAAUUAAGCGAAUACAAAAUUCUUUCUCUCUUUGUGUGAUUAAAAUAGGAUGUGCACCACAAACAAAUAAGCAGAAAAAUAAACCAAUAAAUGCAAAGCAAAAACCAACCACAAGAGACACCGAUUUUUAAGUAGAAAAUUUAAAUUGGGAAAAAUCACAGGAUAGUAGUCUGAUAUAAACUUCUACUAUAUUAAUGAGAUUACAACACAAAUUCUUCUCCAGAUAAUACUAGAUGCUAACAAUAUUAAAAUUCUCAACAAUCUUAGUUUAUAAUAAUAGAUCUAAAAUCUAUUUCUUCAAUAAGUGAGUAUCUCAAAUAAUAGCUACUGAGAGAAUAAAAUACAGAUCAACACCAGUAGAAAUAUAGAGGGCAAUGUCAGGAACUUACCCUCCAAAUUUAGGACUAAUCAGAGCUAAAAUAACCUUUUGAUUGUUGAAUCAAAGAUUGAAAACCAAAAAAAAAAAAAAUAUCUCUUUCUCUCGCAGUGUCUUCUCACUUUCGCAAAAUGUCUACAGCUCUCGCGAUUCUUUACUUAUUUCCUUAGUUAAUUUCAUCCAAGUCCAAAAUUUUACAAUAAUUACACAUCAAGCAAAUUAUUUUGGACUUUGAACUUUUUGGUCCACUGAAGUGAAAUGGACCUUACAAAUCUCCCCCUCCAUCUCAUCUAAGGGGCACCACCAAGCCCGCUCUCUACUUACAGCUUUCCAGCUUCUCCUUGGGUAAUGACUUUAUCAUCAUAUCUGAUGCAUUCUUCGUUGUGUGAAUUUCUCCAAGCUGCAACUGUUUCUACUCAAGCACGUCUUGUAUCCAAUGAUACUUCAUAUCAAUAUGCUUCGAUUUCAAAUGAUAUGUUGAAUUCUUUGCCAAGUGGAUGACACUUUAACUGUCACAGUACACAACAUAACUAUCUUGAUUAACACCUAGUUCUUGUAGAAAAUUCUUCAUCCACAAGGUUUCUUUGUAACUUUCAGUGAUUGUAAUAUACUCUACUUCUGUAGUAGACAAAGCAACACACUACUAAAGUCUAGACUGCCAUGAAACUGCUCCUCCUACAUAGGUGAGCAAAUAUCUUGAUAGAGACUUUCUAGAAUCAACAUCUCCUGCCAUAUAUGCAUCCGUAUCUACUUGUAAUAUAGGUUUGUCACCACCAAAACAUAAACAUGCCUUGGAAGUGCCUCUGAGAUAUAUGACAAUCUACUUUACUGCUGUCCAGUGUUUUUUACCCAGAUUAGAGGAAAACCAGUUGACUACCAACUGUUGAAGCGUACCUCAAACUACCAACUGUUGAAGCAUAAAAAACUCUUUUUAUCUCUUGCUUCUCUUUCUCACUUAUGGGACAAUGCUUGAAACUAAGCUUGAAAUGACCUGCAAGUGGAAAAUAAACAUAUUUUGCUUUGUCCAUAUUAUAUCUUUUAAGAACUUUUUCAACAUAUGCUUCCUGAGAUAACCAUAAAUUCCCAGUUUUUCUGUCACGAGAAAUCUUCAUGCCAAGAAUUUGUUUCGCCGAUCCCAAGUCCUUCAUUACAAAAGACUUGCUAAGCUCUCUCUUCAAAUUGUCAAUCUUACUAGUAUCCUUGCCAACAAUCAACAUGUCAUCCACAAAAAGUAAAAGAAUAAUAAAAUCAUUAUCACUAAACUUUUUCACAAACAUACAAUGAUCACACAUUGUCUUGCAAAAGCCAUGAUUCUCCAUAAAAGAAUCAAACUUCUUAUACCACUGUCUUGGUGCAUGUUUCAGCCCAUAUAAAGUUUUUUUCAAUUUGUACACAAGUUCUUCUUUACCUUUGACACUGAACUCUUCAGGUUGUUAUAUGUAUAUUUCCUCCUUUAAGUCAUCGUGUAAGAAAGCAGUCUUUACAUUGAAUUGUUCAAUUUCCAAAUCCAAGCUAGCUACUAAUCCCAGAGGUGCUUGCUCAAUUGGUUCUGCUGGACCAUUAUUAUUAUCCUCUCCAGCUCCCCUAUGAUCAUCAUGAACAACAUGUGGAGAAACCGAAGUUGGAAUAAUAAGAAUCUCUGGAGAUGGCUGAGACUUAUCAUUUUUUUUUCAUCACCAACUAUCUAAUUUUUAAGAAACACAACAUCUCUAAUUCUGAUUACUUUUCUUGUCACUGGAUCCCAUAAUCUGUACCCAAAUUCUUCAUGUCCAUAGCUUAAGAAAAUACAUUUCUUGGCUUUAUCAUCAAGUUUUGAUCUCUCAUCUUUAGGGAUAUGAACAUACACUCUGCACUUAAACACCCUCAAGUGUUUAUAAGAAACAUCUUUCCCAAUCCAAACUCUUUUAGGUACAUCGUCAUCUAAUGGAGCUUAAGGAGAAAGAUUAAUCAAAUCAACUACAGUACGCAUAGCCUCCGCUCAGAAGGAUUUAUAAAGCUUGGCAUCAGAAAACAUACAUCUGACUAUCUUUUCAAUUGUUCUGUUCAUUAUUUCUGCAACACCACUCUGCUGAGGGGAUUUUGGUACAGUUUUCUUAAGUUUGAUUCCAUGAGAUCUGCAAUACUGCUCAAAUGGUCCUCUGUACCCACCAUCAUUUUCUGCCCUGACACAUUUCAAUUUUUUUCUUGUCCCUCUCUCAACAUAAGCACGAAAGAAUUUAAACAUAGUAAGCACGAAAGAAUUUAAACAUAUCAAGCACUUAAUCUUUAGAUUUUAAAGCAAAAGUCCAUACUUUUCUAGAACAAUCAUUAAUAAAAGUCAUAAAAUAAAGUGCACCUCCUAUUGAUCUAUUUUGCAUCAUGCAAAUAUCAAUGUGAAUCAAAUCAAGGAUUUGUGACUUUCUAGAUGGAGAAAAGCUUUUAAAAGUUACUUUAUGUGCCUUUCCAGCUAAACACUAAACACAAGUCUUGAGGGACGUACCUACAAAGCUUGGUAGAAAUCCUUUUUUGGCAAGAGUUCCUAACCCUUUCUCACCAAUGUGACCAAGCCUUUUAUGCCAUGUCUCAAUGUCAGAAUUGUUUACAGCCAUAUUCAUAUAUUCUUUCUUGAUUUUGGCUUCUAUUACGUAGAGGGUGUUCAUUUUCUUUCCUUUAGCCAACACUAGAGAGCCUUUGGUGAGCUUUCAUUUUCCUUCACCAAAUUAGUUAGUAUAACUAUCAUCAUCAAUUUUUCUUGUGGAGAUCAAAUUAAGACGAAUAUCUAGUACAUGCAAGCUUUUUUGUGGAGAUCAAAUUAAGGCGAAUAUCUAGUACAUGUCUGACAUCUUUAAGGAGUAGCUUAUAGCCAACACUGGUUUGAAGCAAAUAUCUCCUAUGCCCACAAUCUUGGAUGCCCCCUCAUUUCCCAUCCGAACAUGGUCAUAAUUACCAUUAACAUAGGAUGUGAAGUAAUCAUGAUGUGCAGUUGUUGUGCAAAUUUUAAUGUACUCGCAAGCGCACGAAUCUAUUGUAGUAUAGAUCAAUGGUGACGAGUGUCGAUCCCACGAGGAGGUGGAUUUUAAUUGUGUAUAGAAUUAAUUUUGCAAAUGGUUGAUUGGAUUUGUGGUGGAAAUGAUUUGGAAUAUGCUAAAACUUAAAUUAAAAUGGCGAGAAUAAAUUCUAAAAUUGGAAUUGAAAUUGCGAGAAUAAAGUUGAAGAGAAUUCUAUUGAAAUGACGUACUUGGGUAUCUGGAUCCGUAUCAACAUGCAUCAUGGGCUAAAUAAUGCGUAUUAAUGCCAAUUAAAUCAUGAGGGGGGAAUCCACACCUCAUGAACCACGCUCUAAUCAAUAUGGUGCUAAGGGCUUAUCGUGCCAAAUAAUAAUAACCUUGUACUAGAGAGCCGGUGUAACCAAGGCGGUACUAGACAAGAUUAGUAUUAUUUGUCGACGAGAAGUCAAAACAUCCACAAAAACUAGAGGGGAAGAGAAAAUAAAUUUACCAAAUAAAGCCCAUGACACAUGUUGAGACUUCACCUUCAACCCAAGCUUAAAAGAAAAUUAGCUACUCAUAAUUGAACUAAGGGCAAAAUGGGAAUUUAUUAAAAUACGAAGAAAAUACAAGAUAGAGAGGGAAUUACAGAAAAUGGAUCCCAAAAAUGGAUUCAGAGAUAUCAAAUUAGGGGGGGAGGCCCCCUUUUUAUAGAUACAUGGAGUAAAUCAUGGCAAUCGGAUUAAAAACAGUUUGGACGCUCAGGAUUGCGCCACGUCAUCAGUCAACAGUCCACGGUUUGACCACGCGGAUGAACAGUAAUACGGUUUGACCCAUAUGAACAGUACGCGGUUUGACCCGGAUGAACAGUAACGCGGUUUGGUUGAAAAUAAUCCUGUGUGAUGCAUGCACCGUACGCGAGAUUUUUUGUCCACUGAUAUGCUGCCACGUCACCAUCAACAGUACAUAAGAAUUUUAGUCCAACAGGAUCGUGACACCUCAUCAGUCAAUGCCACAUCAUCGAUCCGUCUAUGUGAGCAGUGCCGUGAACAGUAACAUAUACAGUACCGUAUACGUGAAUAGUACCGUACAUGUGAAUAGUGCUAUUUUUCCUUUUAUGCUCCUCCUAAGGUUUUCGACCGUCCUGAGUUCAAAAGUGAUGUCCGUUUUACCGUCUGAUCUCUCCUUUAUUGUGAAAUCACUAUAAUACCACUAAAAUACAUAAAAUACUUAAUUAAAAUAAAACACAUGUAAUUAAAUCACAAGAAGGUUAAAUACAUAAAAGUAAGGGUUGUUAGUAAGACUUGAAAUGUAAAAUGAUGGUUUUCUCCUUUAUAAAUAUGCAUUUUCUAACACUCAACAGCAGUAACCACGAUGUGCAGUAACAUCAAACGAAGCACCCGAAUCAAUCACCCAAUUACUGGUAUGGCAAGUAAGAUUUAUAGAGCUAUCAUUAUAAGCAAUGCCCAUAUCACCAUUAAUUACGGCUGUAACAUUCUCUUUGUCAUUUUUCUGACCAUCGCCUUUUUCUUUCGCAUGUUCUCUUUUCCACAAUUUACACUACCUUUUUACAUGGCCCAUUUUCUGACAAUGAAAGCACUUAGCUUCUCCUAUGGGACUUAGAUCUUCCUCCAGGGUUAUCAUUAUUCUGAUGACGGAAAUUUCUGCUUCGACUUCUCCCCCGUCUUUUUUGGUUUUCUGAAACAAGUGUAGCUGACUCAGAGGGAACUACUUCAGCAUUCUUUCUUCGAGAUUCUUCAUUCCGCAGUCUAUCUGUAACCAUAUCCAAGUUUAAUUUACCAUUCGGUGCCGAAUUAUUCACUGACACCACUAAUGUCUCCCAACUAUCAGGUAAAGAACUAAGCAACAACAAUGCUUGUAACUCGUCAUCUAGAAUAAUCUUCAUAGUAGUCAACUGAUCAACCAAACCCUGAAACUCACUAGUGUGUUCAGUAAUACUGUGGCCUUUUUUAUAUUUCAAGUUAACAAGCCUUUUCAUUAGAUUGACUUUAUUUUGUGCUGUUGGCUGCUCAUAAAUUAUUUCUAAUUUUCUCCAAAGAACAUCAGCCUUGGAUUCCUUCGCGACAUGAUGGUACACACUCUGAUCAAUCCAUGACCUAAUAGUGCCCACGGCUUUCUGGUUCAAUUGAGCCCAUUUCUUAUCAUCUAUAUCAACAAGUUUAACUUCAUCACCUUCAAUAGGUUCAUGUAAGUCUUUCAUGUAGAGCAAAUCUUUCAUUCUAGACUUCCAAAUAUCAUAAUUCCACGACUCAAUUUAAUCAUGAACGCCAAAGACUCCUCUAUUUCAACCACAUAAGUAAUAAAAACACACAACCUGGCUCUGAUACCACUCUAUUGGGAAAACGACUACCACAAACAGCUACAAAUUAAGCGAAAAUAAAAUUCUUUUCCUCUUUGUGUGAUUAAAAUAGGAUGUGCACCAUAAACAAAUAAGCAGAAAAAUUAAUCAAUAAAUUCAAAGCAAAAAUCAACCACAAGAGACACCGAUUUUAACGUGGAAAAUUCAAAUCGGGAAAAACCAUGGGACAAUAGUCCGAUAUAAAUUUCCACUAUAUUAAUGGGAUUACAGUACAAAUUCUUCUCCAGAUAACACUAGAGGUUAACAACAUCAAGAUUUUCAACAAUCUUGGCUUACAAUAAUAGAUCUAAAAUCUAUUUCUUCAAUAAGUGAGUAUCUCCAAUAACAGCUAAUGAGAGAAUAAAAUAUAGAUCAACACGAGUAGAAAUGUAAAGGGCGAUGUCAGGAACUUAUCCUCCAAAUUUGGGAGAAAUCAAAGCUAAAAUUAUUUUUCGAUCGUUGAAUCAAAGAUUGAAAACCCAAAGAAAAAAAAUAUCUUUUUCUCUCGCAACGUCUUCUCACUUGCGCGAAAUGGCUACAUCUCUCGCGAUUAUUCACUUAUUUCCUUUAUAUUUUUUUUGGUUAAUUUCAUCCAAGUCUAAAAUUUUACAAUAAUUACACAUCAAGCAAAUUAUUUUGGACUUUGGGCUUUUGGUCCACUGAAGUGAGAUGGACCCUACAGAAGCAAUAAUCAGUGCAAGAAAAUUAAGUGAAGUUCCAGAGAUGAUGGCAGAUCUAAACCCUUUUGUAAAACUCCAAUAUCUUGGCCUCCGAAUUCUACCAAAAUUAAAAAAGCGUCUAUUGGAAUGUGUUGCCCUCUCCACAUGUCAGGGAAAUUUUUGUAUCUGAAUGCCCAAUUCUCAUUAGAGGAGAGGAACACUGGUGGAAUAAGUUGCAAUGGGAGGAUGAAGCAACCUAUAAUGCUUUUCUUCCUUGUUUUGGAUCCAUUUGAUGGGCAUCAACAUGGAUUAAUAUUUUGCAGCGAACCAAUUUGAAUAAAACUUACGGUAAGUGCUUUUCCAUUUAUUGCAUAUUUAUAUCUAAUUUUUGUUUUCCUUUAUGGUUAAAUUUUGCCCUGUAUAUGUUGUUGUACGGUGACAUUCUUGAAUCAAUUAUUAAUUUUUUUAAUUCUCGUCUCACAACCACCCUUUUGAUCAUGAGGAUAUGCCGAUAUCAAAGAGUCAUAAUUUGGGAUACAAAUGUAAGAAUUAGGCAGAUGACAUGUUGUUUCAAAGCUUUCGAAGAAGGACUAAAUAUGUCAUUGAAAGCCUCCAAUUUUGCGACUGAUUUUUUUUUAAUUUGUUAUUUUUAUAGGUGGCAAAAAUACCCGUCUGAUUUGGACUCGGCUGAUUUGGGCCGGGUACGGAGUAUGAAGCCGGGUUGGUCCUGGGCAUCACUUGAAACUCGGAACCUGGAUUUUAUUAAAAAAUAUUAUAAAUAUAUAUUAUUUUAAAUAUCUAUAUUUAUUAGACUCAUCUAUUACAUAUAUCUAAUUUCAUUGAAAUAAAUUUAAAAAUUAUAAAAUUACCAAUAUAUAUAUAUAUAUAUAAUAUUAAAAAAGUAUAAAAUCUGAGUCCUCAGAUUAAAACCCAGUUCAAGUGUCUAAAAAAUACAUGUGGACCGAGUUUGAACAUUGCGAUACCCAGACCCAAACUUGGGUUUUGCCAACCCUAGUCUUUUAAAUUGCUUGAUUGUAAUGUUUUAGUAUAGAAAAAUGAUAGCCAAGACAACAAUAAGAGGGCACAUUGUGCAUGCACAAUAGUGGAUAAUUUCGGCAUUCCAAAUCCAAUUAGGGUGGAUAACCUUUUAUUAGUAUUAACCUUCUCUCGUAUUCAAGUAAUGUAAAAUAUGCUUAGAAGCUGUGGAUCCCCCUUUAUAAGUGUUGGGCUUAUGCCAAACUCGAUUGAUGUGGGAUGCCUUUAUAGGCAUCAAGUUUUCUCCCAUACACUUUAUGUUAAAAAUAAUAAUGAUAAAAUAAAUCCAUUUUAAAAUAGACUUCUUUUUCUUUUCUAUAUAAACAAACUCAUUCUUCAAAUCAGUUGUGGGUGGAAGGAGUGAGUAGAGAAGAACUGGGCCCCUUUCGUUCCUCUAAAAACCUCACCAAACCUCUCUUGUAAGCUUCUCAGUGUCCCUCUCAAUAUUUCUUAUGAUCUCGUUUUUUAUUGAAUCACUUCUUUUGUGUGCUGCAUUUUUGUGUGUCGUAUUUGGGUUUAUCUUAUCUGGAAUCCUGUUAUGAUUGAUGGAACAAGUAAUCGAUUUUUGGUUUAUUUGGAAUGGAAUUAUGGUUUAUUUGGAAUGGAAUUAUCUGGGUGUAACGGAUUAAAUUAUGACAUUGGGGAGAAGGCACUAAGGGGUUUGCUUGACACAUUUGGUUCUGUGUUUACUCUGAAAGAAAUAGCUUUUGCUUAUCGUAAUGCAAGGCGAAAUCCCGAUUUGGGUGGUGAAUUUCUCUAUCCCAAUUGGGCUGGUGAAUUUCUCUGUGACAAAUAGGCAAACAGCUCAACCUCUUUUAUCUAUCUUCUACUAGUGAGGCAAGGGAUAAAAAGUCUUCAAAAUCAUCAAAUAGUAACAUCUUCGAGAAUUCAUUUUAUGCAAAUGGAAAAUCUAGACCUUCUAAGACAAAAUGGCGUCCAGUAUCAAGAGGUACCGUUUCAAGUUUUCUUGGUAAAAAUUAUGUAAACUUGCACAGCCAGCUAAUGGCACUUUUCUAGUUUUCUGGCAUCAAAGCCAUUGAAGUCGUAUCCAAAGGAGUUUCCCAUGUCUGCACUUUGUGGAGAAGGAACUAAACAAAAACAAUCAAAGGAUGACCAUUUGCAGAAGGAUGUGGAAGAUUUUCUGUUUAAAUUGCUAGGAGAAGUGUUCCAGCUGAAUAGGGAUGUGAUUCGGGAAGUUCCAGUAAUGUCUUAAAUAUGUUGAUGCCAAUUUAAUAUAUAUUGUCAUUUUCAAUGUUCUUUCUUUCUUUCUUUAUCUUCUUUUCUUCUACUUCUUCUUCUUUUUCUUUUCGUGUGCAUGUGAUCACUAAUUUGUUAUUAUACUUAACUUGCAGGUAGUUGUGGAUAUGAUAUGCAAAAGGUAAGGACUAUAUCUUCCUGAUAGAGGCCUCUGCUUUUUCCCUUUUAUGUAAUUUAGUAAAUCUCAUCUCCCUUUGUGAUUGUUAUAUCAUAUCAAAGUCAAGUCUUAAAUACUGCUGUCAUAUGUUAAGGUUCAACUUGCAUUUUGACUAACAUCCAUUUGUUGUCGCUUCCAAAAGUGAGAAUGAGAUACUUCGGUUAAUUUCAGUAGUUGAACCCAAUCGAGUACUUUAUCUAGAUCUUCAUGGUUCAAAGGCCUGAAACUUGCCCGUGAUUGUAAAAUGAUAUUAUGUGCUUUUAAUGCAAUAGGGGGAACAAGGUGUCAAAGGAAUUAGCAGAUUCUAUGGCAGAUUCUAUGCCUGUACAACUGUAACAAUUAUCCUUAUGAUUGUAAAUCUUAUAUGUUUUCCUUAUUUAGGAUAUACUAGCUGUAGGCUAUUUUAGAUAGUUAUGUAUAUGAUAGUUUAGCUAUGUUUAGGGCUAAACAUAAGCUUGUAUUCAUAGUAUAUAAAGGGAAUUCUCUUCUAAGAGAAAGCAUAACUUUUGCUCAAAAUUCUCUGAGUUUAUCAUGGUAUCAGAGCCUCAGUUCUGAAUUCUCUUCUUCCUAGUUCAUUCCCUUGUUCUUAGUUAUUCUUUUUUUUAUCAAGUUAUCUCAGCCUCAUGUCUUCAGACAAGUAUGAUGCUUUUUUGAUCCGUUUUAAUGGCACAAACUACUCAGCCUGGGCAUUUCAUUUCGAGAUAUUUGUCAAAGGCAAAGAUCUAUGGGGACAAGUUGAUGGCAGGAAACCUGCCCCUGAUAAAGAGAUAGACCAGGAUGGGUACGCCAAGUGGGAAGUCAAGGAUGCUCAAAUCAUGGCAUGGAUUCUAGGAUCUGUGGAAUCCAACUUCAUCUUGAAUCUUCGACCCUUCAAGACUGCAGCAGGAAUGUGGAAUCAUCUAAAGAAACUCUACAGUCACACCAACACUGCUCGUUGAUUUCAGCUUGAACAUGAGCUAGCCAAUCUCCAACAAGGCAGUCUCUCUAUUUCUGAUUUUUAUUCUAUCUUUAUGAUUAUUUGGGCUGAAUAUACUGAUAUAAUCUAUGCUACCUUACCUCCGAAGGUCUUAGUUUUGUUCAAUCUGUACAUGAAACUACUAAGAGAGAUCAAUUUAUGAUAAAACUGAUAUAUGAAUUUGAAAGCACUAGGUCCAAUCUUAUGAAUUGAGAAUCUGUCCCUUCCUUGGAUACAUGCCUCAAUGACUUAUUUCAUGAGGAGCAACGACUUCUUACUCAAAAUACCAUGAAACAAAAAAAAUCUACUUCUGUUCCUAUGGCUUAUGCAGCUCAAGGCAAGCCAAAAGGUAAGGACAUCAGUAUAGUUCAAUGUUUUUGUUGCAAAGGAUUUGGACAUUACGCUUCAAAUUGUUCAAAAAAAUUAUGCAACUAUUGCAAAAAAGAUGGACAUAUCAUUAAGGAAUGCCUUACUCGACCCCCCAAGAAAUCUGAAACAACAUAUGCUACCUCAGUUGGUUCUUCUAGUGAUGGUAGUUCUGUGGAUACAGCACAUUUGACCCAAAGUGCUCCUGUUCCUGUUCAAUCUGUGACCCCAUAAAUGAUUCAACAAAUGAUCAUUAUUGUAUUCUCCUCAUUAGGACUCUCAGGUAAAUCACCCACUAGAUCUCCUUGGUACUUUGAUUCUGGGGCUUCCCAUCACAUGACAAACAAUGCUAAAUUCUUCACCAAUGUAAGUAAAUACCUUAGAAAUCUAAAAAUUCAUACAGCUGAUGGCAACUCUUUACCUAUCACAGCCACUAGUGAUGUUUCUUUUUCUAUAACCAAUGUCUUUGUCUCUCCUGGUCUUCCUACUAAUCUUGUUUCAAUCGGUCAGUUAGUUGACAAUAAUUGUAAAGUAGAAUUCUCUAAAUCUAGUUGUGUUGUGCAGGAUCAGCAGUCAGGGAAGAUGAUUGCCAGGGGGCCUAAAAUAUGACGUCUUUUCCCUCUCCAAUUUGCUAAGUCUCCAUGUUUCUCUUUGCCUAUCAUCACUUGCAAUUUUACUAAGGUUAAUUAUCGAGCAUGGCAUAAACGUCUAGGACACCUAAACUCUAAUGUAUUUUAUGCUUUGCUAAAUUCUGGUUUACUUGGGAAUAAAAGAUCACCAUCCCUUAGUGUUGUUCAAUUUGAUUGCAAUUCUUGCAAGCUUGGAAAAAGUAAAAUUCUGCCAUUUCCCACUCACACACCGAAUGUUGUCCAGCCUUUUGAUUUGAUACAUAGUGAUGUGUGGGGUAUGGCGCCUGUUACAUCUCAUGCUAAUUACAAGUACUUUGUCACUUUUAUUGAUGACUAUAGUCGCUUCACAUGGAUUUAUUUUCUACAUUCUAAAGAUGAAGUGUUCUCUGUUUUCAAGCUUUUUCAUGCAUAUAUUCAGACCCAAUUUUCUACUAAUAUCAAAAUUCUUUGCUUUGAUAAUGGGGGUGAGUAUAUGUCUCAUUUAUUUUAAGAAUUUUUGCACACCAAUGGUAUAAUUUCUCAAAGAUCUUGUCCUUCAACCCCUCAACAAAAUGGGGUGGCUGAAAGAAAGAACUAUCACCUUCUCGAUGUUGUCUUCAUUUGUACCCUCUCGUUUUUGGUGUGAAGCUUUCUCCACUGUUGUCUAUCUCAUCAACAGAUUGUCCUCUCAUUCCUUGAACCAUGUCUCCCAUUUCUUUCAGUUAUUUGGCCAUACACUAAGUUACUCUCAUCUCCAUACCUUCAGUUGUGUGUGCUAUGUUCAUCUUCCUCCAUAUGAGCGUACAAAACUCACAGCCCAAGCUGUGAAAUGUGCUUUUCUAGGAUAUUUUAUGCACUAAAAAUGUUUUCUUUGUUAUGAUCCAAAUUUGCAUCAUAUAAGGGUUUCUCGAAAUGUGAUUUUCUUUGAAAAUCAGUAUUUCUUUUCCGCAUACCACGACGAUUCUUCGCCUUCAUUUUCUGUUUUGCCAAAGUUUACUAACCCUUCUGCAGAUUCUGCACCUUCUAAACCUAUCAUAGUCUAUCAGCGACGCAAGAAUUUAGUACCUCUCGGGCCCCCUCCAGCAACUUCCCUGAAUGUUGAUCCAGUUCCAGCAACUGCACCUGAACCUUUCAGACAUAGUACUCGGGUUCGUAGACCACCAGAUAGGUAUGGUUUCACCUCUCCAUUAUUUUUGACAGCCACUUUGUCUUCUAUUCUUAUUCCUUCAUCAUAUAAACAGGCAAUAGAGCAUGAAUUUUGGUGAAAAUCUAUUGAAUCAGAACUUCUUGCACUUGAAGAAAACCAAACUUGGGAUAUUGUUUCAUGUCCUCCAUCCGUGAAACCCCUUAGUAGUAAGCUAGUGUUUUCUAUCAAGCUGCGUUUUAAUGAAUCCAUAGAUCGUUACAAGGCUCGGUUGGUGGUUCUUGGCAACAAGCAAGAAUAUGGCCUAGACUACGAUGAGACCUUCGCGCCGGUAGCCAAAAUGACCACUGUUCGAACAAUAUUAGCCCUUGCUGCAUCACAAUCAUGUUCUUUACAUUAAAUGGAUGUAAAGAACGCUUUCCUACAUAGUGAUCUCAAGGAGGAAAUUUACAUGAAACUUCCCCACGGUAUGACUACUUCCUCUCCUAAUGAUGUUUGCAAACUAAAAUGUUCGUUGUAUGGGUUGAAGCAAGCACCGCGAGUAUGGUUUGAGAAGUUUCGAUCAACUCUUUUCAGUUUUUCAUUCACUCAAAGUCAGUAUGACUCCUCCUUUUUUUUUUCCAACAGACAUCUAAGGGCAUCAUUGUUCUCCUUAUUUAUGUGGAUGACAUCGUUAUCACUGGUUCUGAUAUGGAGGCAAUUUCUAAACUUCAGAAUUUGUUGCACUCUAUUUUUCACAUGAAAGACCUCGGUCAACUCACCUAUUUUUUGGGGUUAGAGGUGCAUUAUCUGCCUCAAGGUAUCUUCUUGAAUCAACACAAGUAUAUUCAGGAUUUAAUUUAAUUAGCUGGACUUAUGGACAAAAAUUCUGUUGACACCCCAGUGGAACUUAAUGUGAAAUAUCGACAAGACGAAAGGGAACUACUUCAAGAUCCUACUUAUCUAUCUAACUAUCACCCGCCCAGACAUCUCUUAUGCUGUCCACACCGUUAGCAAGUUCAUGCAAGCCCUUCGACAUCUCCACGUAUCCACAGUCCGCCGCAUCAUUAGAUAUAUUCUUGGCACUCUUAACUGCAGUUUAUUCUUCCCUACUGGUUCUUCACUCCAACUACAAGCCUACAAUGACGCAGAUUGGGCUAGCUGCCCGGACACGAGAAAAUCUACUUUGGGAUGGUGCAUGUUUCUUGGUGAUGCCCUUAGCUCUUGGAAAUGCAAAAAGCAAGACUCAGUCUCCAAAUAAUCCACUGAGGCAGAAUACCGCGCCAUGUCUGUAGCCUGCUCCAAGAUCAUUUGGUCGCGUGGUCUCUUAACAGAGCUUGGUUUCUCACAACAUCAACCUACUCCCCUACAUGCUGACAACACAAGUGCCAUCCAAAUUGUAGCCAACCCUGUCUACCAUGAGCGCAUGAAACACAUAGAGGUUGACUGCCACUCUAUUCGAGAGGCCUAUGACCACCAAGUUAUCACCCUCCUGCAUAUCUCCACUACUCUACUGAUUACGAAUAUCUUCACCAAAUCCAUGACAUGUCAGCGACAUAACGUUCUUGUUAGCAAAUUGAUGCUUGUAGAUUUACCAGCAUCAAUUUGAGGGGGGAUGUCAAAGGAAUUAGUAGAUCUUAUGGCAAAUUCUAUGCCUGUACAGCUGUAACAAUUAUCUUUAUGGUUGUAAAUCUUAUAUUUUUUCCUUAUUUAAGAUAUACUAGCUGUAGGCUAUUUUAGAUAGUUAUGUAUAUGGUAGUUUAGCCAUGUUUAUGGCUAAACAUAAGCUCGUAUUCAUAGUAUAUAAAGGGAAUUCUCCUCCAAGAGAAAGCAUAUGAAAGAAACUUAGUUCUAUAUUGUUUGGUAGGCUAGAAAAUGAAAGAAAAUAAAAGAAAAGCUUUGCAAAGAAAACUGUUAGAUCCUUUUAUUAUACCAAACUUACAGUUUAAUGACUAAAAAUUGAUAUUUAUAUUGAGCUACAAACUCUUCACACACACACACGAGAUUGUUGCAACACAUAACCAAUUGCUGUAUAACUAACUUGACACAUCAGCUCAACCAGCUAACUAACUUUGACAGGUCAGCUUAAUGAUUUGAUCUGAUACAACCAGCUACACAGCAACAUCAUGCUCUGCUCCAGCUUCAUCUAAUUCACUAACAACUUUUGCUCAAAAUUCUCUUAGUUUAUCACAGGGAAGUAUAGCUUUGGAAAAGGCCGGAUCAAUAACUAUGGAGAGAUUUAUAAGUGAUAAAAAUUCCCGUAACCCGCUGUCAAGAAAAUUUCACAUAGUUAAAGACGCCAUUUUGUUUCAGCCAAAAAUGUUUGUUUAAUCUGCCAAAAAUGUUUGUUUCGAUUAAAGACUUGAACCGUUUUCAUUUAACCUGAUUGUGAUGCUUUAUGUUAUGUAUGUUCCUCUCAAUCAAGAAAAGUUGAGGUUCAUGAUUUUAUAUUUCUAUCUUGUAACUUGCAAUAAUAACUGGUCUUCUUGUUUUUGUAGCUUGAUAACAUGAAUUUUCCUUCUCAAGUUAAUUUGAUCAAUAAAGUAAUUCUUCAAAGAAAAUAUGCCCAUUCUAUAAUCAUUUUCUUAGCUAAUAUGUUUUUUUUUUGUUUACUCUUCAGAGUGUGUCGAAACUAAUUGAUUGCUCGGCAGAGACUUUGGGUGACAAGUCAAAAUUUCAUGGUAAAUCCUCUGAAAAGGUAUGCAUAAUUCCUGAAUAUUAAAUAACCAAUGGUCAUAGUUUUUGUACACGACUCUUUUUGUGGAGAUCGUUAAAAGUGGUUGAUGAUCCAUUUGUAAUUUCAUAGAGGGAUCAUCAAUUCCUUUUCUUUUCUGUGGCUAGGCAUCACUUUCGUGCCAAAGUAAGGAAAUCUAUUUUAGGUAAUGUAAAAAACAAUGGUAGGAUGUAAUAGCUUAUUAUGCACUGACAAUAACUUUUUGUAUAAUUGUCAGUUUAAGGAAUACAAGAGGAACUCUGUUGACAAAUUCAUCCAAGAUAGAUGCUAAAAUUAUUUAUGCAUGCCAGUUGCCUUAACUAAUUUUUCUUAACACUUGUAUUGAACAGGAAAUGAGUAUGCAAUUUGUGUACGUGCCAUUGUGGAGAAUUUGGAUAUUCUUAUUUAAGUAAGAAGAAGAGUAUUUGCCUCAUCUUUAAACAAUGAAUCUUUGAGAAAUGAGGAGUGGGUGAUUGGAAGUGUCUUCAUGUAAAUGUUCAUUUACUUGUAUUUUGAACUAUUAUGAGAAUCUUUUAUAUGCCAAAUUAGUAAUACAAAUGUUCAGAUGAUUUUUCCUGUUGAUCACGCGUUUGUGUCUGCAGACAACCAUUGUAUAUCACUUUAUUCUGAUGUGCAAUUAUGUAUAGAUUAGAAGAAAAGAAAUAAUAGUCUUAUAUUAUUGUUUGGUUCAUGAUUAUUAAACGAUUAUGGCUUCAAAAAAUCUACAAAUUCCUUCUGUUCAUAUAUGAAUGUGCCAAGUUUGCUAUAUCUUAGAUUGCCUUCUUCCAAGAUAACAAGUUCAUAUGUUUUUUAAUCCUCUUCAAUCACAGUUGAAUUUUAAGUGUUAAGAUUUGUUAUUAAUACCUGGUUCCCUGUUAUUAUGAUUUUUAUUAUGAUUUCAUAAACAGUGUACGGACAUGUGCUCUACUUUUAAAGGGCCUCCACGUGAAAGAAAAUUGCAACAAUUGAAUUCUUCCGGAGGGUAUGGCAUUUAAUUUAUUUUCUCAACUUCUUGUAAGACUAAUAUAUUUCCUUCAGUAGGCAGGGCAUGUUGGGAAGGGCUUUUAUUGAAAGAAUUCUGAUAUUUCUUAGACUUUGUUUUGGAAGGGAGGUGGAGGGAUUUCUCAUCCAUAUAUGGUUACUUGAUUAGCUUUUGACUGUAUUGCCUCAGUCGUGCAAAGGAAGAUCCAAAUACUAAUGAAUGAGAAUUGGUUAGAGACCCAAAAGACAGAAAUGAACUACAGAAGGAAGUUUUUGCUGCUUUAUUUAGUGUUCCUGAGAACUCUGAUGAAGAUGGAGUGGAGGUCCAAAGCAUUAAGAAAGGUGGUGAGUGAACCGCCAGAGGAAUUGGUACCAGAAUACAAAGCUAAUGUGGUGCAUUUGCAGCAAGAUAACCAGACUAGUAUGUGCUCUUGUAUUAACUAUAUUGACUGGAUUUGUGAGCAUGUUCAUUUUUGUGUGUAUAAUCACUUUUGUAUUUAUGCAUAUUAAUGUUAGUAGGAUUCUUGAUUUCCUCCACUUACUGGAGAACUAGUGGAAAGCUUUAUAGUGAAAUAUCUGCAAUAACUAAUGGAAACCAUGAUUUGAAUAUUUUCUCUCACCUGGAGAGCUUUGUAACAGAUGUACUUUGUGGCUAUGGAAUACUAGAGAUUCUGCAAUAACUAAUGGAAACUCUGAUAUGAAUAUUUUCUCUCACCUGCAGAACUUUGUAACAGAUACACUUUGUGGCUCUGGAAUGUCUAAAGAUUUUGUCUGCUUCAGUUAGAUCAAAUAUCUUUUAGUUACCUACAUUAUGGAAAAGAUAGAGUUCUCUGAAUCUGAAAGACUGAAACAUUUUGCAUAUUUCGUGAAAGGAAAAUAUCUGUAGAUACUAGUUCAUGCAUUGAGGUAACAUCAAUGUUAAAGAAAAACAGCAAUAACUUAUUAUAUAGAAUUAGGUUCACUUGCUUUAAAUGCUGGUCUGGUCAACCAUAUGAACCUGUAAGUGUAUCUGCAGAAAUAUAUAUGGGGGGACAAACUAGCUAAAUUUUCCUCUCAUUUCUGGCUUUGGUCAUUUUUUCCCCUUAUUUUUCAGCUUUCCUUCUCCUGAAGUAUGUUAACAAUUGCAGAUAAUGACGAAGAGGACAGCUUGCAGGCUCUUCGUGGAGCUGUGAUGGAAUAUAGGGGCACAAUGAAAGAACAUUUUAAAGCUGUAGGUUCUUUUUCUCCUGUCAUUUAUAUUUGCUCACACAUUUUUCAUAUGCUCCAAGCAUGCAAGUUUGUAUGUGUCUUUGCCUUUUAAGUUUUAAAAACCAUAAGGUAAGAAUACAGUUCCUCGUCAGGUUAUUGAUGCAUUCACUCCGGAGGAUCAUGUUCGAGCAGGAAAACUUCUAGAACAGGCAAGGUUUUCCAUCUACAGCCAUCUAUUGACAACAGAUACAUUUUCAUUCAGCAGACACUGUUAGCAUUCAAGAUGCUGGCAGAUUCACUUGAUUCUUAUUAGUUUGUUUAGUGGUAAAGCAUAUAACCUGUUUUUCAAAGCCAAGUUGUGCUAUUGAUUAUGUUAACUUUAUUGUUCACAUAAAGUGAUAUGGAGGAAAUAAUCAUUGUAGGAAAAUUAGGUGAAGAGGUGAUGUCAAAUCUUGAACCUGUUACAAAACUCCAAGUUCUUUACUUGAAGAAGCUACCAAAUUUGAACAGGGUCCACUGGAAGGCCUUGCCAUUCCCUGAUGCCUGCAGAAUUUUUGUAUUUAAAUGCCCAGAGCUUAAGAAGCUGCCACCGGAUCUUGAAAGGGCAGGCCAAGGUAAAAUUCUUAUCAAGGGAAAGGAAGAUUGGUGGAAACAACUUCAAUCGGAGGAUCAAGUAACUCAGAAUGCAUUGCUUCUAUUUUUAAAAUCAACUGACAAGUGAUUGAAGGGGGCAUCAUCAACAUCAUCAACAUGGAUGGAGAGAUUCAGGAGCAGAUCCGCAGGGUUUAUUACGACCUGUGGUGGUUGCUUUUUUGUGACUUGUUCCCUUUCAUUUUUUCACUUCCUGUCAUAUUAUCAUUUCUUUGUCUCUGUUUCUAUUGCUGAUGUUGCUGCAUGCUUGCAGCCCUUGACAAAGUUAGCAAUGCAAUAUAGAUUUUGAAAUUAAAUUUUGUAUGUUCGGGACAGUCACAAAGUACUACUUGUUCUAUAUGGGGGUGAUGUGAAUCAACUUUUCAAUUAUAUAUUCUGUGGUAAUUGUGAAUUCAAUUUCAUUUGUCUCCUGCAAAUUAUGAAGAAAGUGCAGAGUUAGAAUAUCGAAAAGUUCACUGGCAAAUACUUUGUAAAAGCUUCGGAGUGAAACAGGGAAUGCACUUGCAACUAAGGACAAAUUGGUGGCCAGCUAAUGCAUUCAUUUUAUGUACAUUCAUCUUUUUAAUUAUUGAAGAUAAGUGGUUCGUUGCUUUUGUUGUAGAAAAAAUUCAGACGACCUCAAUUGUGAGAUGAAAAUAUUUAAAAUAUCUCUUAAAUUAUUAUAAACUUUAAUUUAUCUUAAUUUUAUUUAAAAGAUAAAAGAAAAAUGUGGUAUAUGGGUAAAAAUUUUUUUAUCUUGUUAAUAAAAUGAAAUAAAUUAAAAUUUACAAUAAUUUAAAGUAUUUUAAAAUUAUUAUUUCAUAAGAGAUUAAUAUGAAAUUAAUCCUUUUUACUUUUUGAAUGUGAAAGGACAAGAAAAGAGAAAGCUAGUGUCACUGCUUUUUAUUUUAUUUGAAAUCGGAGUUAUCCCAUAUACUUUACUACUUUAGCUCUAACAUUACAAUGUUUUUAGGCUACACUUUUAUUUUUCUUUUUCCCCCUUUUUUUAUACAUGCAUGUGGAUUACUUUUCUCUAAGCUCCUUAAUAUUUAAGACAAAUCAUAAAAGCAAUUGAAGCAUAACAAGAUGAUCAAAACAUUUAACCGAAAAAAAAAGAAAUAAAACAUUGAAAAUGGAGAUGUUGAUUAAUUUAGAAGAGAUGCAAGCAAAAAAUAUUCCCAAAAAAAAAAAAAAAAAAAGCAACGUUAGUUCAUCCAUGUCUGUCAAUGCGUUUUUUAUGGUUUUUUUUUUCCAGUUGUUUGUUGUAAUAGAUUAAUUGUAAAUUGAUAUAAACUUGAUGUUGUAAUAUGUUCGCUUUUGUGGAAAUAAAUUUCAAUAUUCAAGAUUAUUCAAGUCUUAUCUAGUAUGUGUUCGGUUGUGUUGUCGAUAAUUUUACAUUCUAAUAAGUUUUCACCUAAAAUAUUAGCAUGAGUAGUAGUCCUUAAACCUUUGGUCAAAAUUAUUGUUAUUGUUUCUUUUAGAGGAAAUUUUUUUAUUAAAGCCUCGUUAACACUAUUCCUUAUUAAGAUUAUAAGUUAGUGUCGGUGCAGGAUUUGCAGCGACAAAUCUUGUCUAGCCACGUGUCAAAAUACAAAUAAAUCAAGGGAAAGCACAUGACAUGGAUUAGGAUCCAAUAAAAUUUAAAUCCCAAGGAAAAGGACAACUGUAUCCUAAAGUUUCAAUAAGAGAUACUGGGAUAUCUUUUGACUAAUGUUAUUUUUUGGCUUUAUUAAUAAAAAGAUCCAAUAGUUUAUAACAAAUAAAAAUAUAGUAUUAAGCUAAAUGUGAUAAUUUACACAUUUUACAUAAUUUCAAUAAAAAUUUUUUUAAUGUUUUACAAUCUAUCAGACAUAUUUUAUUAAAUUAAUAAGAAUUUUCUUAUAAAUAGCAACAUAAUAUUAAAAUAAAUUUAUAAAAAUUUAAAUGUAAAAUAAUUUUAGUAUAAUUAAUACGCGGGAUAUAUUUUGUAAAUUAUAAAAUUACUUAACCCAAUGAUUUUUAAAAAUCUUUAAAAUAAAUAAAAAUAAAUUAUUCACAUUUUGAUGUAAAUAUUUAAAACAUUUUUAUACAUUAGUCCACAAUUAUUUAUGUUAUAUUUGUAUUUAUUAGAAAUUUUGAAAGUCAAAUGUUUUUUACCUCUAUGUUAUUAGAAUUAUUGCACACAGAGAAAGAGCCAUAUAUGCUUUAUAACUUUAAAAUCGAUUUGUUUUAUAGCUGGGAAUAGAGAUGAUCAUUAUUAUAAGGAUUUUUUAAAAAAAGAUAAAGAAUAUUAAUGAUUAGCGAAAUCUCUAUGGAAAUUGAAUUUAGUAAGAAAAAAUUGAGCUGAUUUUAGUGGUAUAGUAAUAUUUUAUAUAGAGAAAAGUAAAAGCUGCACCCAAGGUUAAGGGAAAUGGUCAAAAUUCUUUUUUAAUCAUAAUACCCUUUUUCCUAGAUAAUUUAAAAAUUUUACUCUAAUAGUUUAUAAUAAAUAAAAACAUAUAAUCCUAAAAUAAAUAAAAUGAUAUAUAUUUUAAAAUAAUCUCAAUAUUUAAAAUAUAUUUUAACAUUUUAUAAUCUAUUAGAUAUAUUUUAUUAUAUUAAAGUAAAUUUUAUAAUAAAUACAAAACAUACUAUUAAAAUAGAUAUAAAAAUUUUAAAGUAUUUUGAAUAUUAUAUAAAAUAACUUUAAUAUUGUUAAUGCAUGAGAUGCAUUUUAUUAAUUAAAAAUUCUAUGUAACCCAAAGAUUUAUUUAUAAUAAAUUAAUAAUCAUAUUUUUGAAAUUAUUUUAAAUAUUAAAAAAUAUUUUAAUAUUACUAACUAUUAGAUAGACUAAACUAUUUAUUUUAUUUUCUAUUUAUUAUAAAAUUUCAAAGUUAAUCUUUUUAACUACUAUUCAAAAGAUGUUAUGAUAAAAACAGAAUUUUUGUGUUUUUAUUGAAAAUUUGGAGUUUACAUCUAUUUUUUCAAAUAUUCAGGGUGUAACUGUUUUUUCCCUUUUAUAUAUACGAACGGUGGUGAGAAAGUUUGAUUUAACGUUAUUUAUUUAAAUAAAAUCUCAGUUAAAAAUGUACAGAGAAGAAAUUUCGGUUGGUAUUUUAGUCUUGGUAAUCUCUAUAUUAUAUGCAUAUAAGAUACAUCAUUCUCACAUGAAUAGUAUAUGUGUGAGAUCCAUAUAUUAUUCAUGUGAGGGAGAUGUAUCUUAAUAAGAUAGAGGGAUCCGUUAGUCUUUUACCAAUCAUCACGAUUAGGCCUUGGCCUUGAAACAUUAAUUGUUUCACUUUUAGCGCUAGUGGCGUUGAAAGUUGUCAAGAAAAAGCAAGACCAUAUUCCACAAAAGCAAAAGUAACGUAGGCUCUUUUAUUAAAGGCAAAGUAUAAAGUAGUCAAGAAUCGAAUAUCCUGUCGUCUACUCUUUUUUAAAUUCUUCUUUUAUUAUCGUUUAGAAUAGUUUUUGGUAAUUACAAUCAUUAUUCAGAGUUAUUGUUAUCUUCCGGGGCAGUCUCUGUUCAUCGAAGUCGUUACCUUUUUUUUAAUGGAUCAGUUCCAGUGGUAAGCAGUAAUUUUCUUAGAACUCGGAUCUUUAAUUCGAGUUUCUGUGUGAAUUAAUAAUAAAAAAUUUUCAUUACACGCAAUUUAAGCUACGAAUUACUUUUUGCAAAGUUGAAUAUGGAAUUGGAGAAAUUAAGUAAUUUAGAAUGUUGGUAAAAAUUGACGAACAUAUCUCCAAUUACAGUAAAACCUCUCUACAGUCAUAACAUUAUAACAAAAUUAAUUUUAUUACUAUGUUGAGGUAAUAUAGGUUUAGUUACAAAAUUAUUGUUUUAAUAUGGUUAGUGUCAAGUGAUAUAAAGGUUAAGUAUGCAGUACAUUAAUAAUUAAAUAAUGAAGUGUCAAAUCUAAUGUAUAUAUAUUAAUGAUAUAGAUAGACAUAGUUUUAAAAAACUAAUUAAUGUAUAUUUAUGUAGUGUUAUGAAUAUGGAAAGUCAAGCCUACACUUUACAUUAUCCUUAAUUUUUUCUCUCAGUUAAAUUCUACAAAUAUUGUACAAUGGUUGGGCAAGAACUCUAAAUUAAGAAUAAAUUAUUGUCACAAAUAAUUUUAGAAAAUAUUUUAUUUCGUCUUAAACCUUUAAUAUAAAUAAACAUAUAUAUAUAUAUAUAUAUAUAUAUAUAUAUAUAUAUGUGUGUGUGUGUGUGUGUGUGUGUGUGUGUGUGUGUGUGUGUGUGUGUGUGUGUGCAUAUUUUGCAACGUAUAGAUAAUUGUUAGUAUAUGGAGACAAGUCUUUUAAGGUAGGACCUAGGAAAAUUUAUAACUUACUACACUGUGGAGUUUUUAUUCCUUUUUAUAAUUGGCUCAUAUUGAUACAUUCUUACACAAAAUAUUACCAUUGACAUAUUUUACUACAAUUAGUUUAGAACAUUUGUUAGGAAAAAAAAGAAAAGAAAAGAAAACAUCCCUUGGAUGUAGCUCUCCUGACUAUUUAAAUCUUUUAAGGAAAAAAAGAAAAAAGAAAAACUGGCACAUUCAAAUCUUGAAGCAAUUACAUUAAAAUCUCUCCAUAAUGAUAGGAAUAAUCUCCAUUUAGUAAUAAAAAAUUUUGUUCGCAAUUUAGGCAGAGUUAUAAAUAAGAAUAAAAUCCUCAUUGUAAUAAGUUAUAUUUAUUAUGGAUCCCAUCCUAAGGAAUUCGUCUCUAUAUAGUAAUAAUUAUUUGCAUAUUAUAAAUAUAUAUGUUGCAUUAGAUUAAAUGAACUUGUCUCCACAUACUACUUAGACAACGAGAGAAAAUUAUUAAAGAGAACACAAAUAUUUAGAUAUUUUUAAGAUUACUUUGCAUAUUUAUAACAAUAAUACAUUGAUAUAUGUAUUAGUUUUUUGAUAUAUUAGAUUUAACAUGCUCUAUUAAUAAAUUAUUAAUACGAUGCAUAUUCAUCUCUAUAUCCUUGCAAUAAAAGUAACUAAGUUAUAACAAUAAUUAUUAAUAAAUUAUUAAUACGUUGCGUACUUCAUCUCUAUAUCCUUACAAUAAAAAUAACUAAGUUAUAAUGAUAAUUUUUGUAACUACAUACUUAUUAGGUUUUAACUACUUCAUAAUAAUAAAUUAGUUUCGUCCUAAUAUUAUAAUUAUGUAGAGUUGUAGUGUAUAGACACACCCAAUUUAAAUAGUAUAUCAAAUAAAAUUGUCCCCACGAAAAAGAAAAAAGGGGUAAAGGAUUCUCAUUUCUUCAAACAUUAGGAUCACGUUUGUACAAGUGCGAUGCCUUUCUUUUGAAGGCAACGUCAGUGGGUACCCAAUAGGACGUGUGUAAAUCUUUCCAAAAUUUCUCUGGUAUAACGGACAGAGAUCAUUACUUUUCUCUUCCAUAUACCACAGCAGCUUCAGUUAAUCAGACUCAAUCAAUUUUCUUGGUUUCUUCGCUUAUCAAAAUUCCAAAAUAUGGGUAGCAUAUUUCAAAUCACAUGCGAUGGUGCUUUUUUCAAUCGUUGCUUGGAUUGCUUUCUUGGAAAAGUAGCAAACACAAGUAAGCUCCAAGAUAACCUUGUUGCCUUGGAGACUGAAUUGGGAAAACUAAUCGCAGCAAAGAACGAUGUGAUGAUGAGGGUUGUCAAUGCUGAACGGCAACACCUGAGAACGCUGGACCAAGUGCAAGUGUGGCUUUCGAGGGUGGAAGCUGUUGAAACUGAAGCUGAUGAAUUGAAAAGACACGGCUCUCAAGAAAUUGACAAAUUAUGUGUUGGAGGCUACUGUUCCAAGAACUGCGCGUCAAGCUACAAGUUCGGGAAACAAGUGGCUAAAAAGCUACGGGAUGUGCAGACUUUAAUCGACGAAGGAGUUUUUGCGGCGGUGGCUACCGAGGUGGUGCCUGAGAGAGCUCCAGAACCUGUAGCAGAUGAAAGACCCACUGAGCCAACAAUAGUAGGCUUGCAAUCACAACUUGAACAAGUUUGGAGAUGUCUUGUAGAAGAAUCAGUGGGAAUCAUUGGCCUAUAUGGUAUGGGCGGUGUUGGUAAAACUACACUAUUGACCCAUAUCAACAAUAAAUUUCUUGAGAGUCCAACCAGUUUUGAUUGUGUGAUUUGGGCCGUAGUUUCAAAGGACUUGCGACUCGAAAAAAUUCAAGAAGAUAUUGGGAAAAAGAUCGGUUUGGUUGAUGAUUCAUGGAAGAGUAAAAGUGUAGAGGAGAAAGCUCUCGACAUCUUCCGGAGUUUAAGAGAGAAGAGAAUUGUAUUGCUGUUAGAUGAUAUAUGGGAGCGGGUUGAUUUAACAAAAGUGGGCAUUCCACUUUCCGGACCAAAAAAUACUACAUCAAAAGUCGUAUUCACAACCCGUUUCGUCGAUGUUUGUGGUAGCAUGGAAGCUGACAAGAAGUUCCAGGUGGCAUGCUUAUCAGAAGAGCAUGCUUGGGAACUGUUUCGAAAAAAAGUUGGGGAAGAAACUCUUGAGAGUGAUCAUGAUAUCGUUGAGCUAGCCCAAACUGUGGCCAAAGAGUGUGGUGGUUUGCCACUCGCACUUAUUACUAUUGGUCGAGCUAUGGCCUUCAAAAAGACAGCCGAGGAGUGGAGUCAUGCAAUUGAUGUGCUAAGAACAUCAGCUUCUGAGUUUGCAGGUUUGGGAGAAAAGGUUUAUCGUCUUUUAAAGUUUAGCUAUGAUAGUUUGCAGAAUGAGACGAUUAGAUCUUGUUUCUUAUAUUGUUGUUUAUAUCCCGAGGAUUAUAGCAUUCUUAAAUGGGACUUGAUUGAUUGUUGGAUUGGUGAGGGAUUCUUAGAGGAAUCUGACAGGUUCAGUGCAGAAAACCAAGGAUACUACAUUGUGGGCACUCUUGUUCAUGCAUGUUUAUUGGAAGAGUUAGAAGAUGAUAAAGUAAAAAUGCAUGACGUUGUUCGUGAUAUGGCUCGAUGGAUAGCUUGUGAAAUUGAGAAGGAGAAGAGAAAAUUUUUGGUUUGUGCAGGUGCUGGAGUAGGAGCGGUGUCAGAUGUUGAAGGAUGGGAAAAUGUGGGAAGAUUGUCAUUGAUGCAAAACCAAAUUGAAAUUCUGUCAGAGGUUCCCACAUGCCCUCAUCUCCUCACUUUAUUUCUUGACUUUAAUUAUAAAUUGGAGAUGAUCACCGAUGGCUUCUUCCAAUGUAUGCCUUCUCUCAAAGUUUUGAAGAUGUCAAACUGUGGGCAUGUCAAAGUUUUGAAAUUACCUUUUGGGAUGUCAAAGCUGGGUUCACUACAACUUCUUGAUAUUUCACAUACCGGCAUAAGAGAGUUACCAGAAGAGUUAAAGUUGUUGGUAAAUCUGAAAUGUUUGAAUUUGAGGUGGACACAUAUGUUAAAUAAAAUUCCACGGCAGCUAAUAUCAAAUUCUUCAUGGUUACGUGUGUUGAGAAUGUUCGCUAUUGGCUUUGAAAAUUCUAAAGAACCAUCAGAAGACAGCGUUUUAAUUGGUGGGGGUGAAGUUUUAGUACAUGAAUUGCUCGGUUUGAAAUAUUUAGAGGUAUUGGAGUUGACCUUGCGAAGUUAUGAUGCUCUCCAAUUUUUUUUGAGCUCAAAUAAGUUAAAAAGUUGUAUUCGAUCUCUUUUCCUCAAUAAGCUGGGAGAUACAAAGUCGAUUCAUGCUACGGCUUUCGCAGAUCUAAAGCAUCUCAAUGAACUAUGCAUUCGUUCGGCAGUGGAGUUGGAAGAAUUGAAGGUUGAUUAUACAGAGAUUGCGCCAAAAAGGUCGGAACCUUUUGUUUUCCGCAGCCUUCACCGUGUUACUAUGGAGCGGUGCCAUAAAUUGAAAGAUUUGACAUUCCUCGUUUUUGCUCCAAGCCUCAAGUCUCUUUCGCUAUACGGUUGCAAUGCUAUAGAAGAAAUAAUCAGCGUUGGAAAAUUUGCUGAGACUCCUGAGGUGAUGGGACAUAUAAGCCCUUUUGGAAAUCUCCAAACGCUUUAUUUAACUGAUUUGCCAGAGUUGAAAAGCAUCUACUGGAAGCCAUUGCCUUUCACUCAUCUCAAAGAAAUGACGGUACAUGGGUGUAAUCAGCUUAAAAAGCUUCCAUUCGAUUCCAACAGUGCAACAGAGCGUAAAUUUGUUAUUCGUGGAUACACACUCUGGUGGAACCGUCUUCAAUGGGAGGAUGAAGCCACUCAAAUUGCUUUUCGUUCCUGUUUCCAAUCUCAUGAAAUAUAAAUUCCUGAGCGGUGGUUGCAAAAUUUGAUUUCUAGUGAGUGCUUUUUUCUUAAACUCUUACAUAUAUUCUCGUCGUUUGCUUCGUGCAACGGACUAGGUUUUUAUUUCAGAUUCGUUUUUUGUCUCCUGCAAAUCACAAUUAAAUGUUGAAUUAUAUGGAGUCAAUGCUUUAUAAAAUUUUCAAGGCACUGCCAUUUCCUUUUUCUUUUUCUUUUUUUUUUUGGGUCGAAUUGAUGCUCUGGCUUUUUACUUUUUGUUGUCACAUUUUGCUCUGUUUUUUCAAGUUGAUGCUUGAAUAGUUGAAUUCAAUUGAUGCUCACAUAAAUUUGUUUAGUUGCCGCAAAAGGAUAUAAUUAGACUGAAGUACACACUUCUAGAAUGAAUACAAAAUGUUAAGUAUACUAGCCCUCUUUACAGAAAAUCAAAUGAAAAUCAAUUUUUUGGGGCUUUGAUUUUCUAUGGUCUAUUAUAUACUCUUUUUAAUAUCUUCUGUUCUAACUAUAACCAAAUCCUUUGUUCAAGGAUUUUUAUUUGGGGUAUUGAUAACUGUCCACCAAAAGAGUGAACACUUGGAUGCUGCUCAAGGAUCUCUAAUCAAUAGCUGGAAGCAACUGAGAAGGCGGUCGCUACUGUUUACAAAGCGAUGCAGUAUUUGCCAUUCAUCUUAAUAAUUAUGAAGCUUUGGUAAAAUUUUCAAACAAAGUUGAACACAUGUUGUUUUGAGAUUUGGUUCAUGAUUUUGGAUGAAUAUCGUUGUUCCGUUUGAGUUGGAUGUGAAUUCAAAAUCUAUAUAUUCUUUGGUUUUCAAUUCUGAACUCAAUUUCUUUUUCUCAAGCAUGUUAUGCAGAAAUGAUUUUUUACUAAAUCAUUUUUGAUGAAUUGUUUAAAUUAAACAAUUGGAAUAAGAAUUGAAAAGGUUUAUCAUAAGCAUGCUAAUAUGAUAAGUUGUUUUAUGAACGAUUAAUUAAUUAAUCAAUUAAUAUUAAAUUAUCUAUUAGUCAAUUAGAUAUGCGUUACAUGUCAUGUUUAAAAAUUAUUUAUUUAUAUUUCAAACAAAUUUGACUGGAUGUUGUGUAGGUAAUACUACAUAAUUUCAAAACAAAAAAAGUAAUAAAAACACGUUAAAUUUUGUUUUUAUGAAGAAAAAUUUAAAAUUUUAUUAAAUAGGUGAAAAUAAUAAAUGGAUUCGUGUAUGGUUUGAGAUUCUUGACAUAAUUAUGAAAUAAGCCGGAUUCGACUUAGUUCAAUUUUGACGCGAUAAGAAGACGACACCACACAAACACACGAUAAGAACCGUUACCUGAGAAGAUUGCCAUCAGGAAUUUUGAAAUUGAUUUCACUACAAUACCUUAAUCUUUCAGAUACUACCAUCACUGAGCUGCCAGAAGAGCUAAAAGCCUUGGUAAAUCUUAAGUGUUUGAACUGUACACAAAUUAUCUCUCUACAAUUCAAAAACAACUAAUUUGUUACUUUUUCAAUGCUACAUGUUCUGCGAAUAUUGAGUUGUGGUUAUCUUGUUGAAAUAUCAGACAAUAGAGUUCUAUUUGGUGGUAGUGAAUUGUUGGUUGGGGAGUUGCCUAGUUUAAAACGUUUAAAUGUAUUAAGCAUCACCUUACAAGGUUUUUCUGCUGUCCAAAAACUUAUGAGCUCUCAAAAGUUUCAAAGCUGUACAAAAUGUUUGGAGCUUAUAGACUGUGAUGAUUCAAAGUCUUUUGCCUUGGCAGAGUUGAAGCAUCUCGAAAAACUAGUUUUUUGAAUUGUGGAAGAGUUUAAGUUCUGCUUUGUUGAAGUUGGAAAAGCUCAAGAAUGUUUUCGUUUGAACAGUUUUCACCGAGUUAAUAUAAAGGCUUGUCAUAAAUUGAGGGACGUGACAUGGCUUGUAUUUGCUCCAAAUCUUACAGUUAUUCAAAUAGAAAAAUGUAUGCAGAUGGAAGUAAUAGUCAGUGCAAGGAAAUUGGGUGAAGUUCCAGAGAUGAUGGCAGAUCUAAACCCUUUUGCAAAUAUCUUUGCCAGCGAGUUCUACCAAAAUUAAAAAGCGUCUAUUGGAAUGAGUCACCCUUUCCACAUGUCAGGGAAAUUAUUGUAUCUGAAUGCCCAAUUCUCAAGAAGCUUUCACUCGGUUUUAACAAUGCAAAGGAAUCUAAAAUUGUCAUUAGGGGAGAGGAACACUGGUGGAGUGAGCUGCAAAGGGAGGAUGAAGCGACCGUUAAUGCUUUUCUUCCUUGUUUCGGUUCCAUUUGAUAGGCAUCAACAUGGAUUUAUAUUUUGCGGUGGACAACUUGUGGUAAGUGCUUUUCCAUUUAUUACAUGUUUAUAUCUAACUUUUGUUUUCCUUUAUGGUUAAAUUUUACUGUAUAUAUGUUGUUAUACGGUGACAUUCUCGCAUCAAUUAUUAGCUUUUUAAUUCUCUUCUGGCAUUAAUUGCCCUUCUGAUCAUGUAGGAUAUGCCGAUGUCAAAGAGUAGUAAAUUGGGAUACAAAUGUAAGAAUUAGCCAGAUGACAUGUUGUUUUGAAGCUCUCUCGAAGGACUAGUUAUGUCAUUCAAAGCAUCCAAUUUCGCUACUUUUUUUUUCAUUUGUUGCUUUUUAUAUUUCUAGAUAGCUUGAUAUUCGGCCAAGACAUCGAUAGGAGGGCACAUUGUGCAUGCACACUAGUGGAUGAUUUGGGCAUGCCGAAUCCAAUUAGCGUGGAUGACCCUUUAUAAGCAUCAGGCUUCUCUCAUACCAGAGCAAUGUAGAAUAUGUUUAUAAACUGUGGAUUACCCUUUAUAAGUUUAGACUUCUUCUAUACUCGAGCGAUGUGGAAUACCUGUAUAAGCAUUAAGCUUCUCUCAUACACUUUAUGUUAAAAAUAAUAAUAAUAAUAAUAAAAUAAAUCCAUUUUAAAAUAGGCUCUUUUUUUCUUUUUUUAUAUAAACAAAAUGCAUUCUUCAAAUCAAUAGUGGGUGGAAGAAGUGAGUAGAGAAGGACUAGGCCCCUUCAUUCCGCCUAAAACCUCACCGAAACCUCUCUUGUGAACUUCUCAGAUUCUCUCUCAAUAUUUCUUAUGAUCUCGUUUUUGAUAGAAUCACUUCUAUUGCAUGCUGCAUUUUGUGCGUCGUUUUUGGGUAAUAUCUUAUCUGGAAUGCUGUUAUGAUCAAUAGAACAAGUAAUCAAUUUUUGGUUUGACGGAAGUCGAUUUAUUUAUUUACUAUUGUUUUUUAUUUGAAAUUUUGACAGUUGUGUUUCAUUCAUUUCUUUCCUUCUUUUUUUAUUUUAUAUUUAUUAUGUAUAAUUGUGUUUCAUUUGAUAUUGAUCAUACUGUAGAUAACUAUGUGAUUGUAGCUGGGGAUUUUAAGUUUUGUGAAUUCAAGAAACUGUCAAAAUGCUAGUGAAAUUGGGACCUUUAUUCAUAAGCUUGUGGUUUUCAAAAGUAGCCGGGUUCAACUGAUGAAGUUCCUUUUUGGGAUUCUUUUUUUUCUAGGCUGCAAUUCGGAUAUGUACCUGAUAGACAAUCUUUUGUGAGUUUAGCAUAUCUUCUCCGAUUUUGUCUUUUAUUCCCCAACUUUACAGCUACACACCAUGAAUGCUGGGUGAUUGUACAGAAAAUUUGUGUUAGAACAAAAGCAUUGUGAAGGAGUUUCUGUGCUAUAAGUUAUUGGCUUCAGCUUUAUUGGCAUUAAUUGGGUAGAUUAUGUGUUACAGUGAUUCAAUUUGUGAUCCACACUUUAAUUUUCUCUUUUCCCCAAUUAUUUAUGUCAAAUUCAAAUCCAGAAGCAUGCGCUGAUUUUUUUUUUUUUUUGUGAUAAUCUGUGAAGUUUAUUUGGAAAGGACGUAUCUGGGUUUAAUGGAUUAAAUUAUGACAUUGAGGGAAAGGCACUAAAGGUUUUGCUUGACACAUUUGGUCUGUGUUUACUCUGCAAUAAAUAGCUUCGCUUAUCAGAAAUCCCUAUUUGGCUGGUGAAUUUCUCUGUGACAGACAGGCAAACACCUAAACCGCUUCUAUCCAUUUUUCUGCUGGUGAGGUAAGGGGUAAAAAGUCUUCAAAAUCAUCAAAUAGUAACAUCUCUGAGAAUUGGUUUUAGAAAAAUGGAAAAUCUAGACCUACUAGGACAAAAUGGCGUCCGGUAUCAGGAGGUACCGUUUCAAGUUUUCUUGGUAAAGAAUAUAUUAAACCUGCGCAACCAGCUAAUGGCACUUUUCUGGCAUCAAAGCCAUUGAAGUUGGAUCUAAAGGAGUUUUCCCAUGCCUGCAUUGUGCAGAGAAGAAACUAAACAAAAACAAUCAAAGAAUGACCAUUUGCAGAAGGAUACGGAAGAUUUUCUAUUUAAAUUGUUAGGAGAAGGGUCCCAGCUGAACAGGGAUGUGAUUCAGGAGGUUCUCGGUAAUGUCUUAAAUAUACUGAUGCCAAUUUAAUACAUAUUGUCCUUUUCAAUGUUCUUUCUUUCUUUCUUUUUUUUUUCCUUCUUCUUCUUUUUCUUUUCGUGUGCAUGUGAUCACUGAUUUGGUAUUAUGCUUAAGUUGCAGAUAGCUGUGGAUUUGAUAUGCAAAAGGUAAGGACUAUAUCUUCCUGAUGUAGGCCUCUGCUUUUUCCCCUUCUAUGUAAUUUAGUAAUUCACAUCUUCCUUUGUGAUUGUUAUAUCAUAUCGAAGUCAAGUCUUAAAUACUGCUGUCAUAUGUGAAGGUUCAACUUGCAUUUUGAUUAAGAUCCAUUUGCUGCUGCUUCCAAAAGUGAGAAUGAGAUACUUUGGUUAAUUUCAGUGGUUGAACCCAAUAGAGAACUUUAUUUAGAUCUUCAUGGUUCAAAGGCCUGAAAAAACUUGCCCGUAAUUGUAAAAUGACAUUCUGUGCUUUUUAUGCAAUAGGGAACAGGGAAGUAGAGCUUUGGAAAAGCCUGGAUUGAUAACUAUGGAGAGACUUAUUAUUUAAGUGAUGAAAAAUUCCCAUCGCCCGCAGUCAAGAAAAUUUCAGAUAGUUAAAGACUCCAUUUUGCUUCAGCCAAAAAUGUUUGUUUCAAUUAAAGACUUGAACCAUUUUCAUUGAACCUGAUUGUGAUCCUUUACGUUAUGCAUGUUCCUCUCAAUCAAGAAAAGUUGAGGUCAUGAUUCUAUAUUUCUAUAUUGUAACUUGAAAUAAUAAUUGGUCUACUUGUUUCUGUAUCUUGAUAAUAUGAAUUUUCCUUCUCAAGUUAAUUUGUUCAAUAAAGUAAUUCUUCAAAGAAAAUAUGCCCAUUCUAUAAUCAUUUUCUUAGCUCAGAUGUUUUUUCUUCACUCUUCAGAGCAUGUCAAAACUAAUUGAUCGCUUGGCAGAUACUUUGGGUAAGAAGACAAAAUUUCUUGGUAAAUCCUCGGAAAAGGUAUGCAUAAUUCCCGAGUAUUAAAUAACCAAUAGUCAUAAUUUUUGUACAUGACUCUUUUUUCUCUUUUUUGUGGAGAUCAUUAAAAUUGGUUGAUGAUCCAUUUUGUAACAUCAUAGAGGGAUCAUCAAUUCCUUCUCUUUUCUGUGGCUAGGCAACACUUUCAGGCCAAAGUAAGAAAAUCUAUUUUAGGUAAUGUGAAAACCAACGGUAGGAUGUAAUAGUUUAUUAUGCACUGACAAUAACUUUUUGUAUGGUUGGCAGUUUAAUGAAUACAAGAGGAACUUUGUUGACAAAUUCAUCCAAGAUAGAUGCUAAAAUUAUUUAUGCAUGCCAGUUGCCUUAACUAAUUUUUCUUAACACUUGUAUUGAACAGGAAAAUGAAUAAGCAAUCUGUAUAUUGUGCCAUUGUGGAGUAUUUGGAUAUUCUGAUUUAAAUAACAAGGAGAAUACUUGCCUCAUCUUUAAAUGAGGAGUGGGGGAUUGGAAGUGUCUUCAUGUAAAUGUUCAUUUAUUUGUAUUUUGAACUAUUAUGAGAAUCUUAUAUGCCAAAUCAGUAAUACAAAUCUUCAGAUGAUUUUUGCUGUUGAUCAUGGGUUUGUGUCUGCACACAACCAUUGUAUAUCACUUUAUUCUGAUGUGCAGGUAUGUGUAGCUUAGAAGAAAUGGAAUAAUAAUCAUCUAUUAUUGCUUGGUUCAUGAUUAUUAAACGAUUAUGGCUUUAAAAAGUCUACAAAUUCCUUCUGUUCAUAUAUGAAUGUGCCAAGUUUGCUAUAUCUUAGAUUAUCUUCUUCCAAGAUAACAAGUUCAUAUUCUUUUUAAUCUUUUUCCCUCACAGUUGACUUUUAGGUGUUAAGAUUUGUUAUUAGUCCCCUGUUAUUAUGAUUUCAUAAACAGUGUACGGAUAUGUGCUCUAACUUUGGAGGACCUCCACAUGAAAGAAAAUUGCAACAAUUGAAUUCUUCCGGAGGGUAUGGUCUUUAAUUUAUUUUCUCAACUUCUCGUAAGAUUAAUAUAUUUCAUUCAGUAGGCACAGCAUGGGGGGAAGGGUUUUUAUUGAAAGAAUUCUGAUAUUUCUUAGACUUUGUUUUGGAAGGGGGGUGGAGGGAUUUCUCAUCCAUGUAUGGUUACUUGAUUAGCUUUUGACUGUAUUUCCUCAGUCAUGUAAAGGAAGAUCCAAAUACCAACGAAGGAAUAUUGCCUAGACACCCGAAAGACAGAAAUGAGCUACAGAAGCAAGUUUUACUACUUUAUUUAGUGCUCCUGAGAAAUCUGAUGGAGACCGAAUGGAGGUCCAAAGCAUUGGAAAAGGUAGUGAGUGAACCGCCGGAGGAGUUGGCACCAGAAUGCAAGGCUAAUGUGGUGCACUUGCAGCAAGAUAACCAAACCGGUAUGUGCUCUUAUAUUAACUAGACUGACUGGAUUUGUGAGUGUGUGCAUUUUUUUGUGUAUACUCUUGUAUUUAUGCAUAUUAAUGUGUGUAGGAAUUUCUGCCACUUACUGGAGAACUAGUGGAAAGCUUUAUAUCGAUAUAUCUGCAAUAACUAAUUGGAAACUAUGAUAUUAAUAUUUUCUCUCACCUGAGGAACUGUGUAACAGAUAUACUUUGUGGCUCUGGAGUACUAGAAAUUCUGCAAUAACUAAUGGAAACUAUGAUAUGAAUAUUUUAUCUCAACUGGAGAACUUUGUAACUUGUAGCUCUGGAAUGUCUAAGGAAUUUUGUCUGCUUCAGUUAGAUCAAAUAUCUUUUAGUUGCAUACAUUAUAGAAAAAGAUAAAGUUCUCUGAAUCUGAAAGACUGAAACAUUUUGUAUAUUUUGUGAAAGGGAAAUAUCUGUAGAUACUAGUUCAUGCAUUGAGGUAACAUCAAUGUUAAAGAAAAACAGCAAUAAGUUAUUAUGUGGAACUAGGUUCACUUGCUUUAAAUGCUGGUCUGGUCAACCAUAUGAACCUGUAAGUUCUGCAGAAAUAUAUAUACGGGGAGAAACUAGCUAAAUUUUCCGUUCAUUGAUGGCUUUGGUCAUUUUUUUCCCCUUAUUUUUCAGCUGUCCUUCUCCUGAAGUAUGUUAACAACUGCAGAUAAUGAUGAAGAGGACAGCUUGCAGGCUCUUCUUAGAGCCAUGAUGGAAUAUAGGGGCACAAUGAAGGAACAUUGCAAAGCUGUAGGUUCUUUUUCUCCUGUCAUUUAUGUUUUCUCACACAUUUUUUAUAUGCUCCAAGCAUGCAAUUUUGUAUGUGUCAACUGCUUUCUAAGUUUUAAAAACCAUAAUGUAAGAAUACAGUUUCUUGUCAGGCUAUUGAUGCAUUUGCUCAGGGGGAUCAUGUUCGAGCAGGAAAACUUCUAGAACAGACAAGGUUUUCCAUCUACAGCCAUCUAUUGACAACAGAUAUAUUUUCAUUCAGCAAACACUGUUAGCAUUCAAGAUACUGGCAGAUUCACUUGAUUCUUAUUAGUAAUGUUUAGUAGCAAAGGAUAUAACCUGUAUUUCAAAGCCAAGUUGUGCUAUUGAUUAUGUUAGCUUUAUUGUUCACAUAAAGUGAUAUGGAGGAAAUAAUGUGAAGUGAUAUGGAGGAAAUAAUCAAUGUAGGAAAAUUAGGUGAAGAAAUGAUGUCAAAUCUUGAACCUCUUACAAAACUCCAAGCUCUUUACUUGAAUAAGCUACUAAAUUUGAACAGGGUCCACUGGAAGGCCUUGCCAUUCUCUGAUGCAUGCAGAAUUUUUGCAUUUAAAUGCCCAGAGCUUAAGAAGCUGCCACUGGAUCUUGAAAGGGCAGGCCAAGGUAAAAUUCUUAUCAAGGGAAAGGAAGAUUGGUGGAAACAACUUCAAUGGGAGGAUCAAGUAACUCAGAAUGCAUUGCUUCCAUUUUUAAAACAACCAGCAAGUGAUUGAAGGGGGCAUCAUCAACGUCAUCAACAUGGAUGGAGAGAUUCAGGAGCAGAUCAGCAGGAUUUAGUACGACCUGUGGUGGUUUCUUUUUUGUGACUUUUUUCCCUUUCAUUUUUUCACUUCCUGUCAUAUUAUCAUUUCUUUGUCUCUGUUUCUAUUGCUGGUGUUGCUGCAUGCUUGCUGUCCUUGACAAAGUUAGCUAGUUUUUUUUUUUUUAAUUAAAUUUUGUAUGUUCGGUCGGGACAGUCACAAAGUACUACUUGUUCUAUAUGGGGGUGAUGUGAAUCAACUUUUCAAUUAUAUAUUCUGUGGUAAUUGCGAAUUCAAUUUCAUUUGUCUCCAGCAAAUUAUGAAGAAAGUGCAGAGUUACAAUAUGGAGAAGUUCACUGGCAAAUACUUUGUAAAAGCUUCGGAGUGAAACAGGAAAUGCACUUGCAGCUAAGGACAAAUUGGUGGCCAGCUAAUGCCUUCAUUUUAUGUACAUUCAUCUUUUUAAUUAUUGAAGAUAAGUGGUUCGUUGCUUUUGUUAAGAUUAUAAGUUAGCGUCGGUGCAGGAUUUGCAGCAACAAAUCUUGACUAGCCACGUGUCAAAAGCACAAAUAAAUCAAGGGAAAGCACAUGACAUGGAUUAGGAUCUAAUAAAAUUUAAAUCCCAAGGAAAAUGACAACUGCAUUAUGAAGUUUCAAUAAGGGAUACUGACUAAUGAUAUUUUUUGGCUUUAUUAAUAAAAAAAGAAUAUUUUAUAACAAAUUAAAACAUAAUAUUAAGCUAAAUGUGAUAAUUAUAUACAUUUUAAAUAAUUUCAAUAAAAAAACAUUUUAAUGUUUUACGAUCUAUCAUACAUAUUUUAUUAAAUUAAUAUGAAUUUUUUUUUAUAAAUAGCAACAUAAUAUUACAACAAAUUUAUAAGGAUUUAAAUGUAAAAUAAUUUUAGUAUAAAUAAUACGUGGGAUAUAUUUUGUAAAUUAUAAAAUUAUUUAACACAAAGUUUUUUAAAAAAUAUUUAAAAUAAAUAAAAAUAAAUUAUUCACAUCUUGAUUUAAAUAUUUAAAAUAUUUUUAUAUAUUAGUCUACAAUUAUUUAUGUUAUAUUUUUAUUUAUUAGAAAUUUUGAAAGUCAAAUGUUUUCACCUCUAAGAGAAAGACACAUAUGCUUUAUAGCUUUAAAAUCGGUCUGUUUUAUAUCUGGAAACAAAUAUAUCAUUAUUGGUAAGGAUUAAAAAAAGGGAUAAAGAAUAUUAAUGAUUAAUGAAAUCUCUAUGGAAAUUGAAUUUAGUAGGAAAAAAUUGAGCUAAAUGAUUUAGACAUUUAGUGGUAUAGUAAUAUUUUAUAUAUAGAAAUGUAAAAGCUGCACCCGAGGUUAAGGGAAAUGUUCAAAACUCUUUUUUACUCAUAAUACCCUUUGUCCUAACUAACUUACAAAUUCGACUCUAAUAUUUUAUAAUAAAUAAAAAUGUAAUCCUAAAAUAAAUAAAAUAAGAUAUAUUUUAAAAUAAUCUCAAUAUUUAAAAUAUACUUUAAUAUUUUAUAGUCUAUCAGACAUAUUUAAUUAUAUUAAAGUAAAUUUUGUAAUAAAUACAAACAUACUAUUAAAAUAGAUAUAUAAAAAAUUUAAAGUAUUUUGGAUAUUAUAUAAAAGAACUUUAAUAUUGUUAAUACGUGAGAUAUAUUUUAUUAAUUAAAAAUUCUAUUUAACCCAAAGAUUUAUUUAAGAUAAAUUAACAAUCAUAUUUGUGAAAUUAUUUCAAAUAUUAAAAAAUAUUUUAAUAUUACUAACUAUUAGAUAGACUAAACUAUUUAUAUUAUUUUCUAUUUAUUAUAAAAUUUCAAAAUUAAUCUUUUUAACUACUAUUCAAAAGAUAUUAUGAUAAAAAUAAUUUUUUUGUGUUUUUAUUAAAAAUUUGGAAUUUGCAUAACUCUUUUUUUAAAUAUUGGGGUAUAGCUGUCUUUUCCCUUUUAUAUAUACAAACCACAGUGGUGAAAAAGCUUGAUUUAAUGUUAUUUAUUUAAACAACACCGAUAUUCACACCACAUUGAGCACCAUAGUUUUUUUUUUUUUUUUGAAAAGAAAGUACACCUUUCAUUGAAUUAAGAGAAAAGAAACAAAACAUCCUCUGGAAAUUCAUCCAGCCAAAUACAAGGGUCUGACUUUUUGAAAGCCAACUUUGCCAAAUCAUGCGCUAAAAAGUUACACAUCCUAAGGACGUGCUGAGCUUUAAAAUUCUGAAAGAUUUUCUUAGCUUCUAUAAUAUCAAAAAUCACCCAAAAGGUGUCUGUCAAAGUGCUUCUCUUGUUAUUGAUUAGCUCUAUCACCCCUUUAGAAUCAGACUCUAAGAUAACUGAAGUUGCCCCUGCCUUGGCAGCUGCCUGCAUUCCCCACAAAACAGCUUUUGCCUCACUCAACUCCACAUCUCCUGAGCUCUUAAAAGUGCUAACAGCUGCAGCAACUGUUUCUCCCUUAUGGUUUUUAACUACUGCUCCCAGCCCAGCAAGAUAAUUCACCCUAUCCAUAGCAUCAUCAACAUUUACCUUAAGCCAUCCUUCUUCGGGUGGACUCCAUUGGCUUUGCUGAACAUUGUUUUGUUCUGCUAAGAAAUCCUCUUCUGACAUUGAGCACCAUAGUUAAGUACAAAACGGUGCGUUUUGUUCACGCAUGUUAGUAAACACCCACGCAACUUACACACAUACGCGCGGCUCACAACACGCGCUCUCCUCGCCCUAAAUCUCACCUGAUUGAAGCCACAAAUUUGGCCACGUUCUCCCACAGCUCUCUCCGUUCUGACCGUUUACUCUUCCUCUAGCCCCAUCGAUUACAUCUCUCAUAGCACCUCAUUCAACCGACGUAAUUGCCAGAAAACAACCUACCUGGUAAUAAAAGUCGAUUCUCUUACAAUUUUGGCCCAAAAAAAAAAAUUGCACAACUGAAAAAUCAAAAUGCCACUCUUUAAAACCAAAAAUCAAUUUUGGGCCCCCUUCAUCACCGCCUUCACUCUAGAUUUUUUCAAUCCACUUUGUCGUCAAAACCGUGGUGUUCUUAAACCAUUAUUAUAUUCACCAUCCCCUUAAUCACAUCCAACCAUCCCCAUUAUUCGUUUGUCAAACACGCUGUUCUCUUCCCAAAUUAAUUAAUUAAUUAAUGACAGACAGGAACAAAAGUACUUUAAAUCUCUGCCAAAUCGUAUUGUUAUUACUUCUUCCGAGUCGAGGCCACGUCGUUCUCGAUGGAAACCAUUGCUUUUUAUUACCACUCUUGAGGAGUUCGAAGCAUUCUCGACGGAGACCCGCGCAAGCUGUGGAAAGAGAGAGAGUCAACGGUGAAAAGAGAGCAUGGUGAGAUGUGUGAGCGACGGGGGGAGAGAGAGAGAGAAAGAAAGCCGACGGAGAGAGCACAUAGAGCUGAGAUGCGUGAGUUGGGUGAAGAUUUGGUGAGCGUUGUGUCAGUUGCCCGUGUGUUGUGUGAGCUCUGUGCCAUGUGAUAUGCGUGCUACUUUGAGAAUUUAUAGAUAGCACAAAACUCAAUCUAUAUCCAAUUCAUACCUAGAUAGAUGCGGAUUUGACUCAAUUUAUAUCCAAUUCGUCAUUUGCGAACUAAAAAUUUUUAAUUCUCUCAAAUUCACAAACUAACUAAAUAAAUAAAAAUUUAAUAUAAAAAUAACUGUACUACCGAUCAAAUUUAAAAUUAAAUAAUAUUUAAAUAAAUUAAUUGUUUAAAUAAAGUUAGAAAAUACAUUCAAAAUUUUAAAAUAUAACACAGUAAAAAGAAAAAAUCUCAUUUGUUUAGACCUAUGUAUGAAAAUUAAUUGUUUAGGAAUCUAUAUUUAUUUAUUUUUAUAUUAUUAUCGGAUAAGAUAUAAUAUGGUGUUAAUGUAACUAUAUUUUAACUUAUUUAUUUAUAAGACCAAUGCUAUAUGUACAAGUUUAAUUUUUUAAUUAAAUAAAUAUUUUUUUUUGCGGAAUUGUGGAUUUUUGCGGAUUUACAAAAGUAAAUCUAUAUCCAAUCCACCGACUAUGGAUUUUCAAAUUUUCAAAAUUUCAAAUUUUCAAAUUUUCAAAAUUUCAAAUUUUCAAAUUUUCAAUCCAAUCCAAUCCACCAAUUCACAAAUUCGGAUUUUUACGGAUUAGAUUUCUACAGAUUAAACGAAUUGAGCAGACCAUAUUUGAUUUUGAACAUUGCUAAUUUGUAUGUUAAGUAUAACAUAAUCAAUUAUUUGGAUAAUCCCUUGUGUUUUAUCUCUAAUUAGAGCAUCAAUCUUCACAAUAUCUACAAAGCUACAAUGGCUACAAAACAAACCUGCUUGCAAAUUGUCAAGGAUACUUAUCCUUUCUCUUGACAAGUCAUUUGGAAAAAUACUGUCCCUUGGCGGCUCCAUGACUUCUCUGCUCCUCCUUUUGGUCUUAAUGUACGGUUGCAUAAUGAUAGUUUAGGCCCUUUAGGGACUACUUUCCCUGGGGUUGUUAAGUCUUAGCUUGUGCUAGGCUCGUUUUUCUUACCAAAAAAAAAGGGAAUACUUCUCCUAUAAGAAAUAAUCUCUAUAUAUAGGGUGGUUGGAUUCACUUGUUUACAUAACAGAUCAAUUAGUUCUCUGUAAAUAGAGAGUUUCUAGUAUAAGAGAAACGGUAGAUCUAUUGAGAGAUUAUGUGUUAUUAAAAUUUUAGUUGCGAAGAAAAGUACUAGAGUGAUUGUAUUAAUUUUUUACAUAGUAGAUUUUUCUAUCGUCAUCUUUAUGGCUGUGAUUUUUCUUCCAUAUAGAAGUUUCUCACGUAAAUUUUUAUGUUGUGUGAUUAGUUUUAUUCUCUAUCUAUUUUUUGUUUAAUAUUUUAUUUGUAAGAUGCUGGAUGGGAUUAAAAUUUCUUAACAAAUAACGGAUUAAAAAUCAUGAAGAAAAAGCUCAAGAGAUCUUCAAGAUUUGAAGUGUGCAAAAGUUCAUAUUACUGCUAGAUGAUAUAUGGGAGCGGGUUGAUUUAGUAAAAAUGGGUGUCCCUCUUCCUAGAUCAGAAAACAGCACAUCCAAAGUGAUAUUUACAAACCCGUUCUGAGGAAGUUUGCGGCUUAAUGGAAGUUCGUAGGAGUUUUAAAGUGGCGUGCUUAUCAAAUAAAAAUGCUUGGGAAUUGUUUCUAUACAAAGUUGGGGAAGUGAAAGAAAACAGAGAUGUACUGUUUGGUUGAAUAGAAAAUUACAGAGAAAAUUCUCAAUACUUGUAUUUGAUAAGAUUCAAUUCUUAAGAGCUUUUACAAAUCAGUACAAGUAUUUAUAUUAUUCCUUACACGUGAGAAUUGCUAGUAACUCACUAACUAACUAACUUUCUUUGAGCUGGAUCACUAACACUUGACUAAUCACACUGAGCUGUUAUUCUUCACUAACAACCUUCUGCUGACGUGGCUUCACCAAGCUACUUGAAUAAUGAGCAGCCUUGACAGCCCCCCUCAAACUCAAGGGACAAGACAUGACGUUGAGUUUGGCCCUAAGAUAGUUAAAAUGGAUGAAUGAGAGUGGCUUGGUCAUGAUGUCAGCUACCUGCUCCUCACUUGGUAUAUAUUGAAUGUUUAGUUCUCCAGCAAGAACUUUGUUUCUAACAUAAUGAAUAUCAAUCUCAAUAUGCUUUGUUCUUGAGUGGAAAACUGGAUUGUGAGCUAACUCUGUUGCACUGAGAUUGUCACACCAAAUAACAGGUUUCUCUAUGCAUUGUAAUUUCAACUCAGAAAACAGUGAUUGCAGCCAGCUUAUCUCGGCACUUGCUGAGGCUAGGGACCUAUACUCACUCUCUGCACUGGACCUAGCAAUAACAGGCUGCUUCUUAGACGACCAAGAUAUCAGAUUAUGACCAAGAUAGAUGCAAUAGGCUCCAAUCGAUUUUCUGUCAUCCAGAUCCCCUGCCCAGUCUGCAUCUGUGAAUCCUGUUAGUUUCAGAUCACCAUCCUUAAUAAUUUUGAGUCCAUAGUUCUGUGUAGCCUUUAGAUAUCUGAGCACUCUUUUGCAAGCCAUAAGGUGCUGCAGUGUUGGUGCAGAAACGUAUUGACUCAGCUUGUGAACACUAAAGGCAAUUUCUGGUCUUGUUAAUACCAAAUAUUGCAUCCCACCAACAAUGCUUCUGUAAUGUGUUACAUCUUCAACAUAACAACCAAGAUUACCUUGAGCUUCCUUCUGUAGCUUCAUUCCUGUACUCAUAGGAGUAUCAAUAUCUUUGCAAUUUAUCAUCUCAACUCUUGACAGCAGAUCCCUUAUGUAUUUCCUUUGAGAUAAGAAAAUACAAUCUUUAUCAUACAGUACUUCAAUGCCUAAGAAAUAAGAGAGAACUCCAAGAUCCUUCAAAGCAAACUUUGUACUGAAUUCUGUAAUGAAUUUUUCCAGCUCAAAGCUAUUUGGUCCUGUUAUUAAAAUGUCAUCAACAUAUAUAAGAACUAGAAUCAUAGAUGACUUAUUUAUUUUCAAGAAUAAGGAGGUAUCUGAGCUGGAAUUUGUGAAUCCCCACUGCAACAAACAGCCUUUCAACUUAUCAUACCAAGCUCUUGGAGCUUGUUUAAGUCCAUAAAGAGACUUGUGAAGCUUGCAUACAAAGUCUGGUUUCUCAAAGCUGAUAAAUCCCUCUGGUUGAUCCAUGAACACUUCCUCUGUUAAGUCUCCAUUAAGAAAGGCAUUAUUCACAUCAACUUGCCUUAUCUUCCACUGAUUCAUCACAGCUAAACUCAAGACUACUCUUACAGUUGCUGGUUUUAUGACAGGACUGAAAGUUUCAAAAUAAUUCACUCCUAUAAUUUGUUGAAAUCCCUUUGCAACUAACCUAGCUUUGUAUUUAGCUACACUUCCAUCAGUGUUGUAUUUAACCCUAUACACUCAUUUGUUUCCAACAACUCUUUGAUCAUUUGUUUUUGGCACUAAGGACCAUGUACCACUCUGCAUCAAAGCUGCAUAUUCUUCUUUCAUGGCUGUAAACCAUUUUGGGUUUUGCAUAGCCUCAUAUACAGAAUCAGGUUAUUUGUGAACAAGGGUUGCUGUAUAAAGCUUUGGUUUGAAGAUACCAGUUUUGCUUCUGGUAGUCAUUGGAUGUGUAUUAGGUUGGACUGGAAAAGAUAUAUCAGGUGUAGGUUGAGCUAAUAAGGAUAUGUCAGGUGCAGGUUGUGGUGAAUUUUGAGGCUCUGUAGAUGGUUCAAUAAAUGUGGUAUGUGUUUGUGAAUAGGAAUGUUGAUUGUCAGUAUGAAAUGGAUUAUCUGAAUGUUGUGAACUGCUGCUGGUAGAAAUUGCAGAUAGAGGAUUGCAUGAGCUAUUUCCAUCUGAUACUGGUGUUGUAGAUAAUAUGGUCAGAUGAAACACUGGUUGGGGUGUAAGGGAUUGACUCGAAUAAGAUGAUGAUUCAUUAGAAUGAAAAACUGAGUCUGUAGAAUAAGGAAAUGUUGACUCAUAAAAAACAACAUGUCUGGCUAUGUACAUCUUGCCUGAUGAAUGCAAGCAUUUGUAACCUUUGUGAACUGGACUGUAGCCAAGGAAAAUGCAUUUGCUUGAGUGAUAAUCAAAUUUGUGUUUGUUGUAAUCCCUUAGAUAAGGAUAACAUGUGCAACCGAAACACUUGAGCAUGCUGUAAUCAGGUUUAAGUUUAAAAAUUGUCUCAUAUGGGGUAAGAAGUUUCAGAGCUGUUGAGGGUAAUCUGUUUAUAUGGUAAACAGCUGUAAGAAAAGCAUCCCACCAAAAUUUAAAUGGUAGCUUAGCUUGUGCUAAUAGGGUUAGUCCUAGCUCAACAAUGUGUCUAUGUUUUCUUUCUACCACCCCAUUUUGGUGAUGUGUAUAAGGACAAGAAUGUCUGAAAAUGAUUCCACAUUGGUUUAAGAAUUGAGUAAAUGAUCUGUAUUCUCCCCCCCAAUCAGAUUGCAGGUUUUUAAUGGGGCUGUCAAAUUGGUUUUCAACCUGCAAUUUGAAUAGUUUGAAUACAUCUAAUGCCUCAGAUUUCAACUUAAGAGGAUAAAUCCAAGUGUAUCGGCUAAAAUCAUCAACAAAACUUAUGUAAUAGACAUAGCUAUCUCUAGAAGGUGUAGGUGAGGGUCCCCAUAGGUCUGUAUGUAUAAGCUCAAGGGGUUUUGUUGUUUUGGUUUCUGUGCUGGGAAAAUGCAGCCUAUGGGAUUUGCCCAUUUGACAUGCUUCACAGAUAUGCUCAAGUGUUUGUUUUAUGUUAUUUCUUGAGAGAUUAACUGAAGUAAUUCCUUUUAGCAAAUGCAUUAGAAUUUGAGAAUUAGGAUGGCCAAAACGUUUGUGAAGAAGAAGAAUUUUAUUAUUCAAUGCAUCACAAGAUGAAAUGUAGCUGGAAAAUUUAUUUAUUGAUGCAUUACAAACUGUGACACAACUGGAAUCAUUAUUCUGAGUGUUUUUAAGAACACUUGAAUCAAAAGAACAUGCAGAUAACAUUGACAAAGGUUGAGUGGAUGAAGGUUGACCCAUGUAAGAACAAGGAAGAGACUCAGAUGGUCUUAGAAGUAGCUUAUACAAUCCUUUCUCAGCAAUUCCUGUCAGAAGCACUUGCCUCUUCAGAGAAUCCUUCACAUAGCAAACAUUAUCAACAAAUUCAAUAGAGAUAUUGUUAUCAGCAGUUAAUUUUGAUAUGCUGAGCAGGUUCUUUGUGAUAUCAGGUACUAAUAACAUGUCAUUCAGUAAGAUAUGUGUUGGUUUAUAUGCAGCAUUUGAUCCUUUAUAAGUAAAACAUGGAUUACCAACAUGAGUUAUAGGCAAACCUUGGCCAUUGCCGAUGACAAGUUGAUUAGAUCCUCUGAAUUCCUCUCUGACAUUCAUGUUGGCCAUACUGUUAGUCAAGUGAUGUGUGGCACCAUUGUCAAGGUGCCAUCCUUCAUCAGCAGGCCCUUCAUAGUUGGUAAGAUAGGCUUCAGGAAUUACUGUGUCUGUUGAUGGAUAAGAGGAGAAGGAUAAAGGAUUGUAGCUUGAGUAGGGUGCAGCAUACUGUUCUUCAGUUGAAGGAGCAGCAUAGGUUAGAGAUGGAUCAAAGUUAGCUGUGUAUGCAGCCUUAGAUUCAAAAGAUCUGCCCCUUCCAAAAUGCCUAGGUAAUGGUUGAGGAUUGUCAUCAUAUCUAUGCCAGCAUUCAUCUGCUGCAUGUCCUGUUUUGUGGCAUAUCUGACAUAUGGUUGGUAAUUCAUCAGCAUGCAUGUUAGCUGAAGGAUGAAAGUUUGGCUUCAUAGGUGGCCUAAAAGGUUGCAUCAUCUGGCCCCUGCCAUAACCCCCAACAUUACCAACACCAGGUGAAAAACCUCUGGGAUGUGGAUUGUGAAACAUGCCUCUUCCAACAUUAAAUCCUCUAGUCAUAGGUCGACCAUAAUUUCCAUUUCCAACAACACCUCUUCUAAAAUUUCCUCUCAUAUAAGGAUGAUUCACAUUCAUUGUGCUAUAGUUUGCAUUAAACACAGUUUUGGCACUUUGAUUUUGUUCAAGUCUAGCUUCAUGAGUCAGUAAUAAUGCAUAAGCAUCAUCAUAGCUCAUCUUAUUAGCUGUGAUUAUGGAAGCUAGAUCUAGAUAACCUGAACCUAAGCCAUUCAAAACUCUCAUUAACAGAUCCUUUUCAGUGAUUACAUCACCAGCACAAGCAAGUUUGUUGGCGAGUAAUUUCAUUUUAGCACAAUAUUCCUCAACAUUCAUUGAAUCUUUUCUUAAGAUAUUCAUUUCAUAUCUGAGUUGCAUAAUCUUAGCCUCAGAUUGAACUCCAAACUGUUUUUCAAUAGAUCUCCACACAUCAAAUGAAGUGUCAUAGCUAAGAACAGAACUAAGAAUACCUUCACUUAUAGUUGAGAGCAGCCAGCCAAGGAGUAUUUGAUCUUGUGCUCUCCAGUUGCUGUAGGCUGGAUUUUCAAUGCUCUCACCAGAUCCUUCGAUCAUUGAAUCAACUAGAUACUGUUCUGGAAUAAUUUGCGGCUCUAGAAUGAAUCUUUCAAGGCGAUUUCCUCUGAUUGAAGUUACCACUUGUUUGCGCCAAAGCAAGAAAUUUGAUCGAUCAAGUUUCACAGUUGCAGCAAAAGUAAAUGAUGUUUGUGUAUGUUGAUUUGAGUUUAUGAUUGUUUGAUUUGAGAUUGUAUUGCUUGAGCUGGCCAUUUGUGGCUCUGAUACCAUGAAAGAAAACAGAGAUGUACUAUUUGGUUGAAUAGAAAAUUACAGAGAAAAUUCUCAAUACUUGUAUUUGAUAAGAUUCAAUUCUUAAGAGCUUUUACAAAUCAGUACAAGUAUUUAUAUUAUUCCUUACACGUGAGAAUUACUAGUAACUCACUAACUAACUAACUAACUUUCUUUGAGCUGGAUCACUAACACUUGACUAAUCACGCUGAGCUGUUAUUCUUCACUAACAACCUUCUGCUGACGUGGCUUCACCAAACUGCUUGAAUAAUGAGCAGCCUUGACAGGAAGAAACUUUGAACAAUCAUCCUGAUAUCCUUCAGAAAGCACAAUAGUUGUUAAGGAGUGUGGUGGUUUGCCACUUGCACAUUUUACCAUCGGUCGAUUUAUGGCAUGCAAGAAGACACAGCCGAAGAAUGGAGAUAUGCUAUUCAAGUGUUCAAUUCGUCCGCUUCCCGUUUCCAGGUCUGGAAGAAUGGAUAUAUACUCUUGUAAAAUUCAGUUAUGAUAGUUUACCCAAUGACACAAUUACACCUUGUCUGUUAUAUUGUAGUUUAUAUCCAGAAGAUUGUUGCAUUUCUAAAGAGAAUUUGGUAGAUUGUUAGAUCAGUGAAGGAUUUUUUAAUGAGAGUGAUUGGUUUGGAGAAAAAAUCAAGGAUACUUCAUUUUGGGCAUUCUUCUUCACGUUUUUUUUUGGAAAAGGGAGGAGAUUGUGAAAUGAAAAAUGCAUGCAUGACGUUAUUCGUGAUAUGGCUUUGUGGAUCGCAUGCGACUAUGAGAAGGAGAAGGAGAACUUUUUGGUUUACGCUGGUGUUGGUUUAACUAAGGUACCGGAUAUUAGAGAUUGGGAAAAGGUAAGGAGAUUGUCAUUGAUGAAAAAUAAAAUUGAGAAUCUAUCCGAGGCUCAUACAUGCCCUCAUCUCCUCACUUUCUUUCUUGACGAUAAUGAGUUUCGGAAGAUCCCCGGUGAUUUCUUCCAGUUUAUGCCUUCUCUCACUGUUUUAAACUUGUCAUGUAUUAAACUAAAGUCAGUUCCUUUAGGGACUUCAAGGUUGGUUCCACUACAACAACUCGAUCAUUCAUAUUCAAGCAUAAAAGAGUUGCAAGAAGAGUUAAAUGCCCUGAUUAAAGUUAAAUGCUUGAAUAUAGAUCAUGUAGAGGAGCUAAUUACAGUUCCACAACAACGGAUAUUUAAUUUUUAAGGUUAUAUGUGUUGAGAAUGUUCGAUACUAUUAGUUUAAAUUUUCAAGAAGCAUUAAAUAAAGACAGCAUUUUAUUUGGUGGGGAGGAAGUUUAAGCAGAGGAGUUGCUCGGUUUGGAAUAUUUGGAGGUAUUGAGCUUCACUUGAGAGGUGUUCGUGCUCUCCAAUUUAUUUUGAGCUCACAUAAGCUACGAAGUUGUACUCAAGCGCUGUUCCUCCAAUCCUUCAAUAAUUCGAUAUGGCUUGAUAUUUCACUUUUGGCAGAGUUAAAAGCACCACUGCAGAUUUAAGUAUUUUUGGCUGUAGAAAAUUGGAGGACUUGAAGAUGGAAUAUACAGGGGGAGCGAAAAACAAGCGGCAACCUUGUGUUUUCUAAGGCCUACAUACAGUUCACAUAGAGGUUUGUUCUAAAUUGAAGGACUUAACAUUCCUUGUUUCUGCUCCAAAUCUCAAGAACUUGGAAAUACAAAAUUGCCCUGCUGUGGAAGCAAUCAUCAGUGUGGGAGAAUUUGCGGAAGCUCUAGAGGUGGUGGAAAAUCUAAACCCAUUUGCAAAACUCCAGUAUCUUGGACUAGAAAAUCUGCCAAAUGUGGAGAGCAUCUAUUGCAAGCCUCUGCCCUUUCCAUGUUUGAAAAGAAAUGACUGUGGAUAGUUGCGGUUGUCUUAAAAAGCUUCCACUCUACUCCAACAGUGUAAAAGAGUGUACAAUUGUUAUUUCAUCAUUCGGAGAGUUAAUGGUGCAAUGAGAUUUGGCAGUUAACUCUCGUGGGAAGAGCUUGAAUGGGAAGACGAAGCCACUCGAAUUGCUUUUCAUUCAUGUUUCAAAUCUCUGAUUGGAUUGGAGAUUGCAUUUCGCCUCAGGUUCGUACUUUUCUUGAAUUUUUCUUGUUAACUUCAUUUGUUCAUUUAUCCAUUUUUUUUUAAAGGAAUCAGAAGGGUUAAUAAUUUUGGUUGUGUUAGGUCGACUUCUAAUCACGAGGCAGAAGGAGUUGAGAUGAAGUUUAAUUUUGGUGGAGAAAUUGUUUGAUUUAAAAAAUUUAAAUGAGUUGACCAUCAUUCUUUAGCAUAUUUGUAUGAACAGGAGUGUGUAAAUAUGCAAACUGUCCAGCUGUAUGUGUAUAGCGUAAUAAUUUUGAGGAGUUAAAACAUUGAAGAAUAUUGAUGUUUCCAUUGUCAAACCAAAUAUACUUAAUUACUUGAGGAUAAUGAUUACUGCUAAUACAUUUGCUAAUACAUUUGCAAAGAAAAAAACAUGCCUAUUGAAAAACUCAUCUUAUUAGCAACAGCAUUAUAAGUAGUAUCCAAUCAUAGUUUCAUGCAAGAUUUUGAGAUUUUUCAAAUGCUGAUUCCGGGAAUGGAGAUUAAUAGAUAAUGGAGACAGGUUGACUGCAAUGGCUAAUUGCAAGAGGGAAUUUUAGUCGUAAAAACAGACCAACUAGCAAAGCAAAUUCCAAAUCUUGGAAUGAAGUGGCAAAAAAACGAAACAAACAAAUGGCAAGAGGAAGUGACUAUACAAUAAUAACAUCGACUUGCAAUUCAACAUUUAUACAGUUUUACUCACCAAGAAAAGAGAAAAUUACAAUAGCAAUUUGGCUACUAGAAGAUGUUCAUUCAUGCUUAUGCCUGUCAUAUGGAUUUGAAACAAGGAGUAAAAGCAUUUAGAGUGGCUUCAUCCUUCCACUGCAGCUCAUUCCACCAGUGUUGCUCUCCCCUAAUAACAAGUUUGCGUUCCUUGGCGCUGUUGUAAUCGAGUGGAAGCUUCUUGAGGUUCGGGCAUCCAGAUACAAACAAUUCUAAGAGAUUUGGAAAGUGCACUUAAAUUCUUAUGAAUUGCUUAAGUAUGCAAGCAGCAGAGCAGAAAACAAACAACCUUUUCAUAUAUUAUAAUAACAUGAAUAAUCAGAUAUACACAUCCUUCACAUAUUUAUACUAAACGUGAAAAAUGGUAGCUUGCUCAAAGGGAAAACAGAAAUGAAUAAAACAAAAGAUUACAGCUGCACUAGCCAAUCAUUGGAAACAUUCUAGAAACUCCAGCUUGCAGUAUUCACGUGUAAAUAUUCUCCUGCAUAACAGUUUUGCCAGCUCAUUGAAUACACCUCAACUUCUUCAUCAGCUGGUUGCUGGAUAUGGCUGCUCAGGUGGCAUGCCAGCAUGGCCUUUGGGUCAAUUGUUGACUCAUCUUCAUAAUCUGAAUUCUCAACACCCUCUCUCAAACUUAAGGUCUUGUCGAAGACAUUAAGUUUGCUUCUAAAUUGACUGAACUUGUAAUAAGGCAAUGGCUUGGUUAAUAUGUCUGCAACUUGAUCUCUGCUGGCUACAAAACUGAUUUCCAGCUCUCCUUGAGUGACUUUGUCUCUAAUGAAAUGAAGGUCUAUCUCAAAAUGCUUUGUCUUUGAGUGAUACACUGGAUUUGUGGCUAUUGCUGCUGCACUUGUGCUAUCACUUAAGAUCAUUGGAACUCUUUGCAUCUUGAUUUCCAAUUCACCAAACAGAGAAUUUAUCCAAGUGAUUUCAGUAGUACACAAAGCUAUGGCCCUGUACUCGGACUCAGCUGUCGAUCUUGCUACCAUGCCUUGCUUUAUUGAGCUCCAAGCUACUAAAUUGUCUCCCAAAAACACACAAUAUCCACUUACUGAUCUUCUGUCAUCUGGAUCACUAGCCCAGUCAGCAUCAAUAUAGGCUAUCAAAUCUAGAUGUUCUGACUUCUGGAACUUUAAGCACAUGUUUGCAGUGCUCUUUAGGUACCUCAACACUCGUUUGCAAGCUGUCCAGUGAGAUUGUCUUGGGUCAGACAGGUAUUGGCUAAGCUUGUUCACAGAAUAUGCAAGCUCUGGUCUUGUUAGAACAGCAUAAUGUAGACUUCCUACAACACUCCUAUAAAAUGAAGGAUUGUCAAGUUUGGUGCCUUCACCCUUCUUUAGUUUCUCUGCUGUGCUGAAAGGUGACUCUAUUCCCUUGCAAUUCUCCAUCUCUGUUUUAGCUAAUAGGUCUUGAACAUAUUUAGCUUGAGAGAGCAAAAUGGAGUUCUGAUUUCUUAUAACAUGUAUCCCAAGGAAGUAGCUUAAAUUUCCAAGAUCUUUCCACUUAACUUUCCUAUCACUUCCUCAAUACCCUUGCUGUUAUUUCCAGUCACAAUUAUGUCAUCUACAUACACAAGCACAAUGAUUAUUUCAGCACUGCUUCUUUUGAAGAAUAGAGAAAUAUCACACUUGGAGUUGUUGAAUCCCCAAGAGCACAGAGCAUUCUUUAAUUUGUCAAACCAUGCUCUGGGUGCUUGUCUCAGUCCAUAAAGAGCUUUCUUGAGCUUGCAUAUGUGGUUUGGUCUUCUCCUAUCCUCAAAUCCCUCAGGUUGUGGCAUGUACACUGUCUCUGUCAAAUCUCCAUUCAGAAAUGCAUUAUUUAUGUCAACCUGCCUCAACAGCCAAUCAUUACUUACAGCCAAAGUUAAAAUGAUUCUGAUUGUUGCAGCUUUGACCACAGGGCUGAAAGUCUCAUUAAAGUCAAGUCCUGGUGUCUGCAGAAACCCCUUCAAGACAAGUCUAGCUUUGUAUCUAUUUAUGGUGCCAUCUGGAUUUUCCUUUACUUUGUACACCCAUUUGUUGCCAAUGAGUUUGUAGUUCUGGUCAUGUGGAAUUAAGGUCCAGGUUUGGUUUUUGACAAGAGCAUUAUAUUCAUCCUCCAUUGCUCUUCUCCAUUUAGGAUCUUUCAGUGCCACAGUGGAGUCAGGGGGUAAGGAAGUUUGAGAUUGAGUGGAUAUUUGAUAAACCUUUGGCUUGCAAAUCCCUGCUUUUGACCUUGUGAUCAUGGGAUGUAAGGAGGCUUGAGUGUUUGGUUAUGUUAUGAGAGGCAAGGUGCAAUUUUCUACUGAGGUGUUUGGUGAGAGUUCAACAGGUGAGUGGUUGUCUGAUAUAGAGUUGAAGCUCAAAUUCUAACAAGCUCCAUCUUAACUAAAACUUGGGAGCUGUUCUGAGUUUCCAGCAGUGGCCUGAGAUUAACUAUGAGCUGCAUUUUGCUGUGUUGACUCAGGGGGAACAGUAGUGGAGAAAGAUACAACUUGAAAUUUUUCUAGAACUGUGGGGGAAUCAUUUUGGUCAGUGAGCCUUUGCUUGCAGAAAUUUGAGUCAUUUUGAAAAGGGAAUGAAUGAUCAUUAAAUUGACACUGGCUGAAAUGUAGAUCCUCCCAGAAUGAUGCAUGCAAAUGUAACCUUUGUGACUGAUGCUAAUGCCUAGUAGUGUGCACUUGAAAGUGUGAAAAUCAAACUUAUGCUUGUUGUAGGGUCUUAAGUAUGGAUAGCAUUCACAACCGAAAACUUUAAUUUGGGAAUAAUCUGGUUUGGUGAGAUAUAACAGCUCAAAUGGAGUUUUAUUUUCAAGAAUAGGUGAGGUUAAUCUGUUUAUGAUGUAGGUGGCAUAGCUGAAAGCUUCUUGCCAAUAUCUCAAAGGCAUUUUUGCUUGGGCUAGUAAUGUUAGGCCAGUUUCCACAAUGUGUCUGUGCUUUCUCUCCACCUUUCCAUUUUGUUCAUGUAAAUAAGGGCAUGAGUGUCUUAAGGCUAUUCCUUCUUUCUUGAGAAAGGGUUCGAAAGUUUUAAACUCCCCACCCAUGUCUGUUUGUAAAGCCUUGAUUCUUAAAUUUAGCUGAUUUUCUACUUGGUUUUUAAACACAAUGAAUGUGUCAAGGGCCUGUGAUUUUGUUGUUAAGGGAAACAACCAUGUGUAUCUUGUCUUGUCAUCCACAAAUGAUAUGUAAUAUCUGUGUCCAUGGGUAGAUGGAAUAGGUGCUGGUCCCCAGAGAUCACUAUGUAUUUGUUCUAAGGCUGUGCUGGUCUUGGUUUCAAUGCUUUUAAAGUUUAGUUUUGAUUGCUUUCCAUACUGACAAGCAUUACAGAAUGAGGGAAAUAUAUUUUUAUUUAAGUUGAGCUGAUUACAAGAUAAUAGAGUAUUUUUCAGAACUGACUCAUUUGGAUGCCUCAGCCUAUGGUGCCAGAGAUCUAUUUCAUUUGUUCUAAGAUCCCUACUGCUUGUAUCAGCUCUACUGGACUCGACAACACUGGCACCAACACUGGCACCUAAAGACUCAUUACUACUGAAAUUGAAACAUGCCAUUGACAUUGGAUUGCUAAUGCAACUUAUUGACUUGGGUAUUGGAAAUGAAGAUAACUCAGCAGCAUAAGUAACCUUGUUGCCACUCAAAUGAGUUGGCAUGCAUAGCAGCUCAUAUAGUCCAUCUCUAGCCACUCCUUUCACCAGAAUUCUCCCUUGGCUCUUGUCCUUGAUGAAGCAAACAGAUUUUUGAAACUCAACAUCAAUAUCAUUAUCAUGAAGCAAUUUGGAAACACUAAUGAGAUUUUUGGUAAUAUCAGGUACAAACAAAAUAUGAUUUAAUUUGAUGUGUUUGUGUGGACUGUAAGUGGGCAAUAUAGAAUAACCAAUGUGAGAGAUAUGAAGUUUGUUACCAUUACCAACAGUGAGCUUGUCAUUACCUUGGUACUCUGAGUUCAGGUUCAUGUUUCCAAUAGCAUUGGUCACAUGAUUUGUGGCACCACUGUCAAGGUACCAGGCAUUGCUGUUUUGUCCUUCUGUUGUGGCCAUGUAGGCUCCUCUCCUCCUAUUUAGCUGUGGCACAUAAUUUUUCUUAAACCUAUGCCAGCAUUCAACAGCUGUGUGCCCCAUUUUGAAGCAGAUUUGGCAUGGACCCUUUGAUUCAGAACCUUCACCUUCUGCAGCAGCUUUGCCUUUGCCUUUGUCUUGAAUAUUUUGAUUUCCCUGACCAUGACCACCAUUGCCACCAUUUCCAGUGCCACCACCAGGAUUUCUGAAGACUAUCCCAGGUUGUUGCUGACUGCCAAAUCUUUCACCAUUGCCCCAGUUCCUCCUGCCAUUUCUCAUCUGUGUGAAGUUAGCCUCAAGAAUCCCUGGGCUGAGAUUUUGCUCAGUCCUGGUUUCUUGGCUGAGGAGCAUGCUGUAGACCUCUGACAAUGAAGGAGUUUCUGGCAUAGAGUUAAUGUUAGUGACAACAGAGUCAUAUUCAGAUCAUACUCCAGCUAAGACACACAUAAUAAAGUCCUCAUCACUCAUGUUAUUUCCAGCUGCUCUGAGUGUAUUUAGGAUAGUUUUCAUCAUGGAGUAAUAAUCAUGGAUUGUAAGAGAGCCCUUUUUAGUGGUUUGAAUCUGUGUCCUCAAAUAUAGGAUUCUAGCUCUUGUUCUUGCACCAUACUGAUUGGUAAGAGUUGUCCAAACUUCAUGUGAAGUAGAACAAUCCACCACAGUGCCGAGGACACCCUCACUGAGAGAUGAGAGCAACCAGCUCAAAAGAAUGUGGUCCUGUUUCUUCCAGAUUUGAUAUUCUGGAUUUUGGUGGGUAACGGUAGCUUGGUUAGGUCCAGGACUGGUGAAAUAUCUGGGGGGACAGGUAUAGCUUCCAUUUAUGAAGCCUUCAAGCUCAUUUGCUCGUAUGCUGGAGACCACUUGUGAUCUCCAGAGCAUGAAAUUGUUCUGUGUUAACUUGAUGGGAGUGGUGAACACAUAUGUGUUGCUGGUGAUAUGUUGGGUAGGAGAUGGGUUCAUUAUGGUCACAUUUCUUGUGUUAUUAUCUGGAUUCUGAUUGUCGAUAUUUUCAGGUUGGUUUUGAUUCAAAUCAUUUGGUUGAUCAUCUGGAUUUUCCAGAGUUUGAUUCAUGUUUGUUUGUGAAUUUCUGCUGCUUUCCAUAGCUCAAAAGUUGCUCUGAUACCAACUUAAAUUCUUAUGAAUUGCUUAAGUAUGCAAGCAGAAGAGCAGAAAAAAAAUAACCUUUUCAUAUAUUAUAAUAACAUGAAUAAUCAGAUAUACACAUCCUUCACAUAUUUAUACUAAACGUGAAAAAUGGUAGCUUGCUCAAAGGGAAAACAGAAAUGAAUAAAACAAAAGAUUACAGCUGCACUAGCCAAUCAUUGGAAACAUUCUAGAAACUCCAGCUUGCAGUAUUCACGUGUAAAUAUUCUCCUGCAUAACAGUUUUGCCAGCUCAUUGAAUACACCUCAACUUCUUCAUCAGCUGGCUGCUGGAUAUGGCUGCUCAGGUGGCAUGCCAACAUGGCCUUGGGGUCAAUUGUUGACUCAUCUUCAUAAUCUGAAUUCUCAACAAUGCAUUCAAACAGAUCUUCUUCAAAUUUCUUAGAACUUGCAACCGAAGAUAUUGGAGUUUCGCAAAAGGUUUUAGCCCUGUAACUUCUUCCACUUUCCAAACACUGAUUAUUUCUUCCAUCUCAUAACAACGUUCUACAUGGACCAUCUUCAGAUUUGGGGCAAAAACAAGCCAUGUCAUCUCCCUCAAUUUACUGCAAUAGUCUAUGGUAACACUUUGAAGGCUGUUGAAACCAUAAGUUCUCUUGUUGUUUGAACUUCUGCAUAGUCAACCUUUAGCUCUUCCAAACUUGUACAAUACACAAAAUCUAGUUUGUCAAGAUACUUGAGAUCUGCUAUGGACAAAAUAUUCCAUGACCUUGAAUCCUCACAGCGUCGAAGCUCUAAAGCAUAUUUACAACUCUUGUACUGUUGGCAGCUCAAAAGUCUUCGUAGAGCAUAAAAACUUCUUAACGUGACGCUUAAUACAUUUAAAUGUUCCAAAGUAAUCAACUCCUCUACCAAAAUUUCACUACCACCAAAUAGAACGCUAUCUUCUGGUACUGUAUUAGCAGAGCCACAAUCUAGCAUCCUCAACACCUUUAACCCAGAAAAAUUACAAAGCAGUUGCCGUGGAAUCGUAUGGAGAUAACGCAUGUACUCCAAGUUCAAACACUUUAGAUUUUUCAAGGCUUUUAAUUCAUGUGGUAACUCUUUGAUGAAAGUUUCUGAAAGAUUAAGAUAUUGUAGUGAAACCAAUUUUGAAAUUCCUGAAGGCAAUUGACUCAAGGAGCGAUUCUUUGAUAGGUUUAAAACUUUAAGAGAAGGCAUAAAAUCGAAGAAAUCACUAGGGAUAGUAUCUAACAUAUUAAUGCCGAGGAACAAAGUUAUAAGAUGAGGGCAUAUUGGAGUUAUUGGUAAAAUCACAAUUUUAUUUCUCAUCAACGAUAUCCUUCUCUUAUCUUCCCAUUGUUUAACCUCGGGUGGUUCAGUUAAUUCAAUACCGGCAGAAACCAAAAAGUUUUCAUUCUCCACUUCACAGGCUAUCCACAAGGUCAUAUCACGAAUCACAUCAUGCAAUUUUACAUAAUCUGAUCCUGCUUCUUCCAAUAGGCAUGCAUGAACAAGAACACCAAUAAUGUAGUAUCCUUGGUUAUGUACUCCAUUAAUUCCUUCAUAUUCCUUCAGAAAACCCUCACCAAUCCAACACCCUAUCAAUUCAAUUUUGCUAAUUUGAUAAUCCUCAGGAAAUAAACUACAGUAUAACAGACAAGAUCUAAGGACGUCACUAGACAAACUAUCAUAACUGAAUUUUAAAAGACGAAACACCUCUUUCUCCAUACCUGGAAAUUCAUAAGCUGAUCUCCUUAACAUCUGAAUUGCAUAGCUCCAUUCUUCGGGUGUCUUCUUGCUGCUCAUGGCACGACCGGUGGUAAUAAGUGCAAGUGGCAAACCACUACACUCCUUUGCCACAGUUUUGGCUAACUCCGGAAUAUCGGGAUGACUUUCAAGAGUCUCUUCUCCGACCUUCUUUAGGAACAAUUCCCAAGCAUCUUGAUCUGCCAAACACUCCACCUUGAACUUUUUUUGAGCUUCCAUGAGGCCACAGACGUCCACAAGACGAGUCGUAAAUGUUGAAAGUCAUGGCUGGCGCCGGCCAUCUAGAUGGCCGGUGCCAACCAUUCAACAUUCAACACGGCCCGCCAUUAUUGGUGGUGCCGUGUUGAAUGACUCCAUAAAAAAAAAAAAAAAAAAAAAGAGCCAAAAUUUUGGCUAUAUAAAGAGGGCUUCCCACCCUCAUUUAUAAUCCAAUCUUGAGAGAGCAAUUUAGGGAGUUGAGAGAGAGUUUAAGAGCUUGCAUUUAUAAGCUCUUAUUUUAGUGAUUUGAGAGUUUGGGUGUAUUGGGGUUUUGGGUAGUGAGCUAAAAUACUACAAUACUUGUAACUCCUUUUCACUAGUAAAAUAUUUCCUUCUGUCUUUGCCCAUGGACGUAGGCUAAAAGCCGAACCACGUAAUUUCUGGUGUCCUCUAUUGUGCUUGUUCUUUAUUUUAUUUCCAAUUUCAUUUUAGCUGCGGUCCUGCUUCACCCACCAAUUUCCUAACAGUGGUAUCAGAGCUAUUGGUUGUAUUUUUGGAGUCGGGAACUGUUCACGUAAGGGGUACUAUUCACGUAUACGACACUAUUCACGUAUACUGUACUGUUCACGUAUACGGGUUUGUUCACAUAUACGGUACUGUUCACGUAUACGAUACUAUUCACGUAUACGGUACUAUUCACGUGAAACGGGGAAGCGAUCCAAGAAUUUUCCGGUGCAAAGCAGGGAAUAGUAGUGUGAGAAAAGCAACUGUGGUUUUGUACAUGUCUAGGAAAGUUCUGUCACAAAGGCGAUAAGAGCUUAAGGAGUCUGGGUUUUAAGUGGGACCAUUGUGACCCCUCCAGUCUUUCCUGGGAACUUUCCUGGUGUGCAUUCUCACACAUACUCACAACUAUUCAAGGUGGUAUACUAGCUUGUGUGCAGUAUUUAUCAACAAAAUGGCGGCAAAGUAUGAAAUUGAGAAGUUGAACGGAAAUAAUUUUUCGUUGUGGAAAAUGAAGAUGAAAGCUGUAUUGAGGAAAAAUAAUUGUUUGGCAGCAAUUGGAGAAAGGCCCAUGGAGAUAACUGAUGACAAGUGGAACGAGGUAGACGGUAACGCCAUUUCUGAUCUACACUUGGCACUUGCGGAUGGUGUAUUAUCUAGUGUGGCAGAGAAAAAUACGGCGAAGGAAAUAUGGGAUACUCUCACAAAAUUGUACGAGGCCAAGUCACUACACAACAAAAUCUUCUUGAAGAGAAAACUAUAUACUCUUCGAAUGGCGGAAUCUACAAUGGUGACCGACCACAUCAACACUUUGAAGACUCUAUUUUCACAACUCACAACGUUGGGUCAUAAUAUAGAGGAGAAUGAACGUGCAGAGCUUCUACUUCAAAGUCUACCAGAUUCGUAUGAUCAACUCAUCAUCAACCUGAUGAACAACAAUCCAGUGGAAAGUCUAGUUUUCGACAAUGUUGCAGCCUCCGUAUUAAAUGAGGAGAGCAGACGGAAAAAUAAGGAAAACAGACAAGCAAGUUCGCAGCAAGCAGAGGCGCUAUCGGUGACGAGAGGGAGAUCAACGGAACGUGGCCCCAGUGGGAGUCAAAGUUAUGGUAGAUCAAAAUCCAGAAGUAAGAAAAAUGUUAAAUGCUACAACUGUGGCAAGAAAGGGCACGUCAAGAAAGAGUGUUGGAGUAACCAGAAGAGAAGAGAGGGUAAAGAACCUGAGUCAUCAAAUGCUCAGGGGUGUGUAGCAAGUACCUCGGAUGAUGGCGAAAUUCUCUACAGUGAGGCAACAACUGUUUCAGAAGGCAGAAAACGACUUUCUGAUGUCUGGCUUAUAGACUCAGGAGCUACCUGGCACAUGACCUCUAGGAGAGAAUGGUUCUACACAUAUGAACCUAUCUCAGGAGGAUCUGUAUAUAUGGGUAACGAUCAUGCCUUGGAGAUCGCUGGUAUUGGUACUAUCAAAAUAAAAAUGUUUGAUGGUACAAUUCGCACAAUUGGGGAGGUACGACAUGUCAACGGCCUAAAGAAAAAUCUAUUGUCUUUAGGACAAAUGGAUAGUCAUGGGUACAAAACUCAUGUGGAGAAUGGAAUUAUGAAGAUCGUUAAAGGCGCGCUUGUAUUAAUGAAGGCAGAAAAGAUCAGUGCUAAUCUAUUCAUGCUUAAAGGAGAAACACUACAGGAGGCUGAUGCGUGUGUCGCGUCAAAUGGAGAAGAAUCAACGAUGAUGUGGCAUCUCAAACUCGGCCACAUGUCAGAACAAGGCUUGAAGAUUCUCUCUGAGCGAAAAUUGCUUCCGGGGCUCAAAUCAGUAAGUUUACCAUUUUGCGAGCAUUGUGUUAUAAGUAAGCAGUAUAGAUUAAAAUUCAGUAGAUCUAUUGCUAGAAGUAAAUGCAUUCUAGACUUGAUUCAUUCUGAUGUUUGGGAAUCACCGGAUAUAUCCAUGGGAGGUGCAAAGUACAUGGUGACUUUCAUUGAUGAUUAUUCCAGAAGAUGUUGGGUGUAUCCAAUUAAGAAAAAGUCAGAUGUAUUUCCUGUGUUUAAAGAAUACAAAGCGCGGGUGGAACUUGAAUCUGGUAAAAAGAUCAAGUGCUUAAGGACAGAUAAUGGUGGAGAAUAUACAUACGACGAGUUUCUUGCUUUCUGUAAGCAAGAAGGUAUUCAGAGGCAAUUCACGGUGGCAUACACUCCUCAACAAAACGGAGUAGCAGAGCGGAUGAACAGAACUCUUACAGAAAGAAUAAGAGCUAUGUUGAGGACUGCUGGUUUACCCAAUUCAUUCUGGGCAGAAGCAGCCAAAACCGCCUGUUAUAUAGUAAAUCGGUCGCCAUCUACAGCUAUUGGGUUGAAGACAGCGAUGGAGAUGUGGACUGGAAAGCCAGCUGAUUAUUCCUACCUACAUGCAUUUGGAUGUCCUGUGUACGUGAUGUACAAUGCCCAAGAAAGAACAAAGCUGGAUGCAAAAUCUAGAAGAUGUAUCUUCUUGGGGUAUGCUGAUGGAGUAAAGGGGUAUCGUCUGUGGGACCCCACUGCCCAUAAGAUCGUCAUCAGCAGAGAUGUUAUCUUUGUAGAAGAUCAACUACAAAGAAAAGAUGGAGAUGAUGGCACUGUAAAAGAAAAGUCAGAGACUGUACCAGUAUAUGUCGAAAAUAAUCUAGAAGAUUCAGAUUCUUCUGAAGCAGCACCAGAGCACGAGGAACAAGAACCAGUCGAGUCUGAGGCUCCAGAAGUUCGUCGGUCAACUCGUGAGAGACGACCACCGGCGUGGCACUCGGAGUAUGUCACAGAGAUCAACGUUGCAUACUGUCUUCUAACAGAGGAUGGAGAGCCUUCAACUUUCCAUGAAGCUUUAAACAACUUAGAUGUUGCUUUGUGGAUGACAGCAAUGCAGGAAGAAAUUGAAGCUCUACACAAGAACAAGACAUGGGAACUUGUACCACUACCACACGGAAGAAAAGCCAUUGGAAACAAAUGGGUCUACAAGAUCAAACGUGAUGGCAAUGACCAAGUGGACCGGUAUCGUGCAAGAUUGGUGGUGAAAGGAUAUGCUCAGAAAGAAGGUAUUGACUUCAACGAGAUAUUUUCUCCGGUGGUUCGACUCACAACAGUCAGAAUAGUCUUGGAGAUGUGUGCUACAUUUGAUCUACAUCUUGAGCAGUUAGAUGUUAAAACUGCAUUUCUUCAUGGAGAACUUGAAGAAGAAAUAUAUAUGCUCCAACCAGAAGGUUUUGCAGAAACAGGAAAGGAGAACUUGGUUUGCAGGUUGAACAAAUCUCUAUACGGUCUCAAACAGGCGCCGAGGUGUUGGUAUAAGAGAUUUGAUUCCUUCAUCAUGAGCCUUGGAUACAACAGACUCAGUUCAGACCAUUGUGCAUAUUACAAGAGGUUUGAAGAUAAUGAUUUCAUCAUUUUACUGUUGUACGUGGAUGACAUGUUGGUAGCAGGCCCCAACAAAGAUCAAGUCCAAGAAUUGAAGGCACAAUUGGCUAAGGAGUUUGAAAUGAAGGACUUGGGACCAGCAAACAAGAUUCUAGGGAUGCAAAUUCACCGAGACAAAAAUAACAGGAAGAUUUGGCUUUCACAGAAGAAUUACUUGAAGAAAAUCUUGCGGCGCUUCAACAUGUAAGAUUGUAAGUCAAUUUCUACCCCACUUCCUGUUAAUUUCAAAUUAUCCUCAAGUAUGUGUCCUAGCAAUGAAGUGGAGAGGAAGGAGAUGUCUCGAGUACCGUAUGCAUCAGCAGUGGGAAGUUUAAUGUUCGCUAUGAUAUGUACUAGACCAGACAUUGCACAAGCAGUGGGAGCAGUCAGUCGAUACAUGGCGAAUCCUGGUGGAGAGCAUUGGAUAGCUGUAAAGAGGAUUCUGAGAUACAUCAGAGGAACCUCAGAUGUUGCAUUAUGUUACGGAGGAUCAGAGUUUACUAUCAGGGGCUAUGUGGAUUCAGAUUUUGCAGGAGAUCUUGAUAAAAGAAAAUCCACUACUGGUUAUGUGUUUACACUUGCAGGAGCAGCUGUAAGCUGGGUUUCGAAACUGCAGAUCGUUGUGGCUUUANNNNNNNNNNNNNNNNNNNNNNNNNNNNNNNNNNNNNNNNNNNNNNNNNNNNNNNNNNNNNNNNNNNNNNNNNNNNNNNNNNNNNNNNNNNNNNNNNNNNAUAUUCUUGAUUAAUCCAUUUUCUGAAAUUUUUUAUUUUGUAUGGUCAAUUAUACCUUCAUACUAAAAAUUUCUGAUGUUAUGGGGUUGUUGGAUGUGUUUUGGAUAUUUGCAGCUAAGUUUGAGUUUAUAUCUCAACUUAAAAUUUGUAGUUUUCACUUGAAAAAAUUCAGUUAAAAAUUGAUUGGUAGAAUUGUGAAGAAGUUUAAAUUUUUAGUUCAACCCGAUUGCAUAUUUAAGAACAUCUCAAAUGAAUUGCUUACUGCUAUCAUCAUCAUAAUUGUCAGAGAUGGUUAAUUGAUAGACUAUGUGCCUGGGUCGAGCACUGGAAGCCUGCAAUGCAGACUGAUUGAUUUAUCAGUUUAACGUGUGCCAGGAAUGAAGAACUGGAAUAUCACCGUCAAGCAAGCACCCUGUGGAGCAAUACCAAAGAAUGCACAAUCCGGCUUUGCAAGGUGACACUGGAGGCUUUUUGAAAAGUGCUUCACGCUCACUUGCACAGAUUGAGCAUCCCCUCUGGAUAUUGCCCUCUCUGAUCGAGUCUGAGCACUCAAAUUUUGGUCCUCAGAGGGAGCUACAGUUUUCUCUCCAAUAACCAACAAUUUUCUAAACUCAGCACCUAGUGUGAUCAGAGUUGUUGAUAUUUAUAAAUGGAGAUCCCCAUAUUUGCAAGUGGAGACAUUUAACAAUUCACCAACAUGCUUCAUCCGGUGUACAAAAUUCUGCAGCUGAUUCAAAUCCGGAACCUGAACCAGAGUCGGAGGUAUAUCUUGAGCCAUAUCUAAAGUAGUUUGAAGUUCAAGACCUUGAGCCCUUGACAAUGGUUUUGAAAUUGGAACAUCUUGGAUUACUGCAGACUUGUACCCCUUGGUUUCAAAGGUAAGGAAAGGCAUUGCUUGAGUACAAUUUGGAGGCAGCUUCUUCACCAAUUUUAUUUGGAGGCGAUUGGCAGCGGAUCCAGCAGCACCAAUUUCAGAGCAAAUACUGACACUACUUCGAACAGCACACUGAAGAAGUGAUAUGUCUACGGCAAAGGCAAUGCAGUCCUCAUUUUGGCUUGAGAUGCAGUAAUCAUCGAAGAGAGUUUCCUUGUGAAACUGGGCAACACAUUGAAUCCCUUCGCCACUGAGAAGGUUGUGGAGGAAGUAAGCUUUCUCUCUAGUGAGGCAGAGGUGGCAUACCUUCCCCAUUUUGUCGAGGGCAGGUAGGAAUCUUUUUUCUAAGAGAUUUACUUCAUUCUCUGUGAGAAAUGCUUUGAACUUCAUCCCUCUGUCUCUAUCCUCACUUAUCAGGAAAUAAGUUGAAAGCACUACGAAGAGAGAGAGAGAGAGAGAGAGAGAAUUAAGAUAUAUAGACAAGAAAAAUAUUAGACGUUGAUCUUACAAACUAAUACUUCAAGCAGUAUCCUGGAAAGCUAAAAACUGCAAGAUGGCUUGAAAUUUGAAAAGAGCACGUGCUUUUCCUCCUUAACUUGAGAAAAUGUUUAAUAUAGUGCACCUUAUGGAAGCAUUUAAGCAAUUAGAACUUUGCACAAAAACAUCAAGAAGACUAAACAAGUCAGAUGCAGUGUAUUUGUCCAAGCACAAAUUGCAUUUUGUCCUCAACUUUAAUAUUUAUUGAUGAGAAUCAAUACAGGUCCCUCAUUUGUUAUAGAAAGCUUUCUUUCUUGUAGUCUCACCAGUUAAUUCACAGGUCUAUAAUCAUCUUGCAAAGUUAAGGGCAUUUCUUUUGAUCUAAAGUCUUUGCAUCACCACCUCAUCACACGCCAAGCCAAUAUUCCAUUUACCUCUACAACAAAAAGUUUUAAUUAAACAAUCCUAAUGCACGCAGCCAAAUAAAAUGCAGUAAGAAUAUUCAACUUAAAAAUCUGAAAGCCAACUUGGUGAAUUGCCUCCUUAGGUGAAGUUCCAUGCUUUACUAUAGUUGACAGAACUCAGCAAAAGCUUCCAUACAACAGAUUUUGAAAAUGAUGAUGCCAACAGAUACUCAUUCAAUCCAUUGAAACUCCAAAGGUUCAUUGUUCAUAGAAGUUUACAAAGUUUUGGUCAUCAAAUAGCUCAGACCUAAUCCCAAACAAAAAAAGAGUGAAAAUUAGAUCACGAGCAGCUAAUUGUAAAUUCUAACUUAACUCUUCAUCUCCUUUGUAAACAAGAAACAAAAUGGAGACACGCAAAAUGAAUAUGGAGAAAAUUUGAACUCAAAUGAAAUGAGGGCACGAAAGCAAACAAAUGGCAUGCACAAAAAAACCAAGCCUCAAUCAAAAACUAAUUAACCAUUAAGAAAAAAAUUGGUCAGACAAUGAACUCCAAAUUCAGGAGUCAAGCAAGAAGCUUUCAUUAUUUCAGAAGCUCCUGUACAAAUUAAUAAGUUAUGCUCUUUGGAAGCAAAACCAAAUUCCAAGAGAAACAGAACCCAAAAAAUUUGCAAUUAUUCGCAAAGGAAGUGAAGCACAGGAUUCUAUCACACAUAGGAAUUUUAUAACAAGAGAUCGAUAUAUCGAAUUAGAAAACUCAAUUCGAAUUUGUGUGAAAAAUCAAAAUUAGAAGAUUUCACAUUUCGAGAGGAACAAGCAACAGAUGAGUUUAAUUUCAGCCAUAACAUGCUAAAAAUGCUACACUUAACGGUUCCUUGUCAGCUAUUGAUGCGUUCGCUCANNNNNNNNNNNNNNNNNNNNNNNNNNNNNNNNNNNNNNNNNNNNNNNNNNNNNNNNNNNNNNNNNNNNNNNNNNNNNNNNNNNNNNNNNNNNNNNNNNNNAAGGGUCAUGUUCAAGCAGGAAAACUUCUAGAACAGGUAAGGAUUCCAUCUACAGACAUCCAUUGACAGCAGAUAUAUUUCAUUAAGCAGACACUGUUAGCAUUCAAGAUGCUGGCAGAUUCACUUGAUUCUUAUUAGUUUGUUUAGUGGCAAGGCAUAUAACCUGUAUUUCAAAGCCAAGUUGUGCUAUUGAUUAUGUUAACUUUAUUGUUAACAUUAAGUGAUUUGGAGGACAUAAUCAAUGUAGGAAAAUUAGGUGAAGAGAUGAUGUCAAAUCUUGAACCUCUUACAAAGCUCCAAGUUCUUUACUUGAAGAAGCUGCCAAAUUUGAAGAGCGUCUACUGGAAGGCAUUUCCAUUCCCAGAUGUAUGCAGAAUUUUUGUAUUAAUGCCCAGUUCUUAAGAAGCUGCCACUGGAUUUUCAUGGGGCGGGCCAAGGUAAAAUUCUUAUCAAGGGAAAGGAAGAUUGGUGGAAAGAACUUCAAUGGGAGGAUCAAGCAACUCAGAAUGCAUUGCUUCCAUUUUUCAAAUCAACUGACAAGUGAUUGAAGGGGGCAUCAUCAACAGAGAUGGAGAGAUUCUGGAGCAGAUCAGCAGGGUUUGUAUAUGAUCUUUGGUGGUUGCUUUCUUUUGUGAUUUUUUUUUUCUCAUUUUUUUACCUUCCUGUCAUUUUAUCAUUUCUUUGUCUCUUUUUCUAUUGCUGAUGUUAGUGUAUGCUUACUGUUGCUUGACAAAGUUUGCUUGCUUCUUGUUUAUUAAAUUUUUUAUGGUCACAAAAUAUUACUUGUUCUAUUUGAGAGUGAUGUGAAUCAAUUUUCAAUUAUAUAUUUUUUGGUCAAUGUGAAUUCAAUUUCAUUUGUCUCCUGCAAUUAUUAAAAAAAUGCAGUCUCAUAAUAUGGAAAAGUCGACCGGCAAAAAUUUUGUGAAAGCUUCGGAGUGAAACAGGGAAUUCACUUACUACUAAGGACAAUUGGUGGCGAGCUAUUCCAUUCAUUUUAUGUCCCUACAUCUAUUUAAUUAUUAAAGAUAAGUGGUCCAUUUGUAAAUUUCAGAUUGUGUCUCUCUGAAAAUAACAAUAUUUAAAAUGUCUCUUAAAUUAUUAUAAAUUUUAAUUCACUCUCGAUUUAAAAUGGAACAUGCUGAUGAAAAUUUUUUUCUUCUCAAUAUUCAAUAAAAUUGAAAUAAAUUGUGUUUGCAGUAUUUUGAAAUAUUUUAAAGAUUAUUAUUUUAUAAGAGAGUAAUAUGAAAUGAAAUUUACUCUUCAUGCGUGAAAUGUUGAAAAGGACAAAGGAAAGUGUCACUGCUUUUAUUUUAUUUCAAAGUGGAGUCAUCUCACAUACUUUACCUCUAUCAUUACAAUUUUUCACGUUACAUUUUGAUUUAUUUAUUUCUUUUAACACAUGCAUGUGGGUUACUUUUCCGUAAGCUCCUUAAUAUAUGUUUAACACAAAUCAUGGAAGAGAUGGGAGUAUAUCAAGAUGAUCAAAGCAUGAGACAAAAAUAUUUAAGAAGUAAAACACUGAAAAUAGAGGAGAGAUGCAAGCAAAAGAUAUUCCAAAGAAAAGCAAUCUAUCCCCUUUCGAGGGCAAACUUAAUCAGGUUUAAGAAAAGUACAUGUUUUGGAUUGGUAGUUGCAGCCUUGCAGGAUAAUUGUUUUUGCCAUUAUAUUAGUUGGAGGAGUUGAACCCAGCGAAGAAUGUUAUGGAAGAGCAAAUUAAUGAUAUUUCUGAUAGAGUCUAUUUGAUUAUGUAGCCUGAAUGGAUGUCUUGUUGAAAGAUAUCUCAGUGCAUUAGUUCAUCCUUGUCUGUCAAUGUGUUUUUAAUGGUUUUUCCAAUUGUUUAUUAUUAUAGAUUGAUUGUAAAUUUAUAUGAAAAUUUGAUAUGAAUUUAAUGUUGAAAUGUUUUCUCUUUAGUGGAAUGAAUUUAAAUUGAUUGAUUGUAAAUUGAUAUGAAUUUAAUGUUGCAAUGUUUUCUCUUUAGUGAAAUGAACUUAAAAGUGUAAAAGAUUAUUGCACACAUAGAAAUAAACAUAUAUGCUUUAUAGUAUAACUUUAGCAAUCGAUUCUUUUACGGCUGGAAACAGAGAUGAUGAUUAUCAUAGGGGUGAAGAAAAGGACAAAAAAUAUUAAUAAAUGAUCUUAAUGUUCCACAAAAGCAAAUCGUAAUAUUCCACAAGAAAAAGCAAGAUCUUAAUGUUCCACAAAAGCGUUAUUUAUUUUUUUUGGUGAGCCACGUGGAGCUCAAUUAUCAUUGUCUUUACUUUAAAAACGUUAUUUUAUUUUAUUUUCUUACAAAUUAAUGCUAACAAGAAAAAGCAAGAUAUAAUAUUCCACAAAAGCAAAUCGUAAUAUUCCACAGAGGAAUAAGAUCCACAAAAGCAAACAACUAGCUGGAUUCUUUUAUUAAACUACAAAUUAAAGUGGAAUCGUUUACUAAACAACAAAUUAAAGUUCAAAUAUUUAAAUAGUAGUGCGUUAGACGAUUAGGCUCUUUUAUUAAAGUCAAGUAUAAAGUAGUCCAGAAUCGAACAUCUCUAUUGUCUAGUCUUUUUUUUUUUUAAUUCUUCUUUUAUUAUUUUUCAGAAUAUGUUUUGGUGAUUACUAUUGGGUUAUUAUUCAGAGUUAUUGUUAUCUUCCGGGGCAGUUUCUGUUCAUCGAAAUCGUUAAUUAAAAUUUUAAAACUCUUAUCGGAAGAAUGUUUUUCCGUUAUUUUUUUAUAUUCUAAUUUCAAUUGUAAGAAGUAGUCAUUUUAGAAUUUGGGUCUUGAAUCGAAUUUCAAUGCAUGAAUUAAUAUUUUAAAAAAAUUUACUACAUGCAGUUUAGGUUACAAACUAUUUUUUGCAAAGUUGACUAUGAAAUUGGAGAAAUUAAGUAAUUUAUAAUGUUUGCAAAGAAAGAGACCAACAUACUUCCAAUUACACUAUAUCUCAAUUAUCAUAAUGUUAAGAUUAAACUAACUUAAAAUAAAAUUUAUUUAAAAAGUUUAUCAAACGCAGUCUAAUUUUAUUAACUUGAAGAGAUAAUAGUUAUAGAAAUUAUUAUUCUAACUUAAUUAGUAAAAGUGGUAUAAAGGUUAAGUGUGCACUAAAUCUAUUUAAAUUUUUUUCCAGUAUAACUAACAGAGGUCAUUACUAGAAUUAUAUUACUAGUCUAUUAGAUAGAAAAAAUUAUUUAUAUUGUUUUAUAUUUAUUAAAAAAAUUUAAAGUCAAUCUUUUUAAUUACUAUUUAAAGGAUAUUAUAAUUAAAAAAAUUUUAAUGUCUUCAUUAAAAAUUUAAAAUUUUAUAUGACCGUUAUCUAAAUAUUUAAAGUGUAACUGUCAUUUUCUCAUAUAUAUAUAUAAUUUCAUCAACCCCUUAUACUUUAUGUUAUUUAUAUUUUAUUCAUGAAUAUUAUAAAUUUUUUGAAAUAUAAAAUUUCGUUUAACCCUUUAUACUCAAUUUUAUUUUAUUAAAACCCUAGAGUAUGAAUUCGUCCCUAUAAUAUUAAAUUCUCAAAAUAACUUCCAUUUAAUUAAAAAAUAUAAUUAUUAUUAAAUGAAUUAUAAUUAUUAUUAUUAUGUUAUUAUAAUCAUAAAAAGCGAGAUCAUAUUCCACAAAAGCAUAAGUGACAAAACAACCAACUGGAUUCUUUUAUUAAUCAACAAAUUGUAUAGUCUUUUUCAAAUUGUUAUAAAUUGGUGGCCCCUACAAUCCUCAAUAAUUGUACCGAAAUUCACAAGUUGGUGGGCCCUACAAUUCUGUUCCGAUAAUUUAACUGUGCAAGUGCUCAUUCACAAUCUUCCAGGUCAUGCUCUUAACAAUUGUUUUUUCUUUUCUGCACGCCCUUUCAUGCUCUUAAUAAUUGAAGAGCAUACUUUUCAAAUGUGAAGCCGCAUCUAAUGUCGCUAAUUUAAUUUGGGAUUAAAUUACGGGACUAUUAUAUUGCAGUGUGCACUAAUUUUUAUGUUUAUCUAAACUCUUCAAAUUUAAAACAUAUUAUGGCAUAAAUAAGAAUGUAACAAUAACAAAAGAGUAAGAAAGUGUAGAGAAAAUCUUGCAGAAAUAUAAAUAAUAUUUAUUUUUAAAAUAAUAUUAAUAUUUAAAAUAAUUUUUAAUAUUUUAUGGUCCAUUAGAUAUAUUUUAUUAUAUUAAAAUAAAUUUUAUAAUAAAUAAAAACAUACUAUUAAAAUGAAUAUAUAUAGAAAAUUUAGAGUAUUUUAAGUAUUAUAUAAAAUAAUUUUAAUAAAAUAUGUGAGAUAUUCAUAUUUUAUUAAUUUAAGAUACCAUUUAACCUAAAGAUUUAUUUAUGAUAAAUUAAUAAUUAUAUUUUUGAAAUUACUUCAAAUAUUAAAAAAAUUAAUAUUACUAAUAUAUUAGAUAGAUUAAAUUAUAUAUAUUAUUUUUACUUAUUAAAAAAAUUUUAAAAUUAUUUUUAAUUACUAUUCAAAAAACGUAUUCAAAAAACAUAAUGAUAAAAAAAUCUUAACAUCUUUAUUAAAAAAUUAAAAACUUAUAUGAUAAAUUCUCUAAAUAUUUACGGUAUAUGUGAACCACGGUGGAUAAGCUUUAUUUAAUAUUAUUGAUUUAAAUAAUAUGUCAAUUAAAAAUGUACAGAGAAGAAAUUUCGGUGGGUAUUUUAGUCUUUUAAGCAAUUAUCAUGAUCAGAUCAGCCUUUAGCCUUCAAACGUCGGUCAGAAAAGUUUUAAAAUUAAUGCUAAAUUGUUUUUCACUUUUAACGUUGGUGGCCUUGAAAUUGCUUGUAUUUUAUUAAAAAUUAAUGCUAACAAGAAAAAGCUAGGUCAUAUUCCACAAAAUCAAAAGUGACAAAACAACCAGCUGGUUUCUUUUACUAAACUACAAAUUAAAAUAAAUUUUUUCGAUAAAUUACAAAUUAAAGUGGAUUCUUUUGAAUACAAAUGGGACAGACGAUUAGGCUCUUUUUAUUAGAGGCAAGUAAAAACUAGUCAAGAAUCGAACAGUCUUUUUCCAAUUCUUGUUUUAUUAUUUUUCAAAACUAGUUUUUGGUAAUUACAACCGGGUCAUUAAUCAUUAUUCAGAGUUACUGUUAUCUUCGGGGGCAGUGGGUAAAAGAUAAUUACUAACUGUUUUUCCUUCAAAAGUUAGCGGCUCAUGUUUGCAAGUGUGAAUGUGCGAUGCUCUUUUCUUAAAGGCCAUUACAGUGGGGCCCGAAUCAGACGUGCCUAAAUCUUUUUAAAAUUUUUGCCGUAUAACGAACAGAGGUCAUUACUAAAAUUUCUCUUCCACAGCCUACAGCAGCUUCAGUUUAUCAAACUCCAUCAAUUUUCUUUCUUAACAAAAUUCCAAAGAUGUGUAGCAUUUUUCAGAUCACAUGCGAUGGUGCUCUUUUCAAUCGUUGCUUGGAUUGCUUUCUUGGAAAAGCAGCAUACAUACGUAACCUCCAAGAUAAUCUUGAUGCCUUGGACACUGAACUGGGAAGACUAAUCGCUAAAAAGAACGAUGUGAUGAGGAGGGUUGUCGACGCUGAACGACAACAAAUGAGAAGGCUGGACGGAGUGCAAGUGUGGGUUUCGAGGGUGGAUGCUGUUAAAACUGGAGCCGAUGAACUUAUCACAGACGGCUCUGAAGAAAUUGGCAAAUUAUGUGUUGGAGGCUACUGUUCCAAGAACUGCAGGUCAAGCUACAAGUUCGGAAAACAAGUGGCUAAAAAGCUACAAGAUGUGAAGACUUUAAUCGCCGAGGGAGUUUUUGAGGCGGUGGCUACUGAGGUGGUGCCCGAGAGAGCUCCGGAACCUGUAGCAGAUAAAAGACCCAUUGAGCCAACAAUAGUAGGCUUGCAAUCACAGCUUGAACAAGUUUGGAGAUGUCUUGUAGAAGAAUCAGUGGGAAUCAUUGGCCUAUAUGGUAUGGGCGGUGUUGGUAAAACCACACUAUUGACCCGUAUCAACAAUAAAUUUCUUGAGAGUCAAAACAACUUUGAUUGUGUGAUUUGGGUCGUAGUUUCAAAAGACCUGCGGCUUGAAAAAAUUCAAGACGAUAUUGGGAAGAAGAUAGGUCUGUCUGAUGAUUCAUGGAAGAAUAAAAGUUUUGAAGAGAAAGCUGUGGACAUCCUGCGGAGAUUAGGAGAGAAGAGAUUUGUAUUGUUGUUAGAUGAUUUAUGGGAGCGGGUUGAUUUAACAAAAGUGGGCGUUCCACUUCCCAGCGCACAAAAUACUACCUCAAAAGUCGUAUUCACAACCCGUUCCAUUGGUGUUUGUGGCAGCAUGAGAGCUAGGCCGGUUAAAGUGGCAUGCCUAUCAGAAAAGCAAGCUUGGGAACUGUUCCGCGAAAAUGUUGGGGAAGAAACUCUUGAGAGUGAUCAUGAGAUCGUUGAGCUAGCCCAAACUGUGGCCAAAGAGUGUGGUGGUUUGCCACUCGCACUUAUUACUAUUGGUCGAGCUAUGGCCUUCAAAAAGACAGCCGAGGAGUGGAGUCAUGCAAUUGAUGUGCUAAGAACAUCAGCUUCUGAGUUUGCAGGUUUGGGAGAGAAGGUGUAUCGUCUUUUAAAGUUUAGCUAUGAUAGUUUGCAGAAUGAGACCAUUAGAUCUUGUUUCUUAUAUUGUUGUUUAUAUCCCGAGGAUUAUGGCAUUCUUAAAUGGGACUUGAUUGAUUGUUGGAUUGGUGAGGGAUUCUUGGAGGAAUCUGACAGGUUUAGUGCAGAAAACCAAGGAUACUACAUUGUGGGCACUCUUGUUCAUGCGUGUUUGCUAGAAGAGAUGGAAGAUGAUAAAGUAAAAAUGCAUGACGUUGUUCGUGAUAUGGCUCUAUGGAUAGCUUGUGAAAUUGAGAAGGAGAAGAGAAACUUUUUGGUUUGUGCAGGUGCUGGAUUAAAAGAGGCACCGGAUGUUAAAGGAUGGGAAAAUGUGAGAAGAUUGUCAUUGAUGCAAAACCAAAUUAAAACUCUGUCAGAGGUUCCCACAUGCCCUCAUCUCCAUACUUUAUUUCUUGCCUCUAAUAUGGAGUUGGAGAUGAUCGCGGAUGGCUUCUUCCAAUUUAUGCCUUCUCUCAAAGUUUUGAAGAUGUCACGCUGCUGGAAUUUUCAAUUACCUGUUGGGAUGUCAGAUUUGGGUUCAUCACUAGAACUUCUUGAUAUUUCACAUACCACCAUAAGAGAGUUACCCGAAGAGUUAAAGUUGCUGGUAAAUCUGAAAUGUUUGAAUUUGAGGUGGACAGGUGCGUUAAUUAGAAUUCCACGGGGACUAAUAUCAAAAUUUUCAAGGUUACGUGUGUUGAGAAUGUUGGGUACUGGCGGGUUCAUUUUUUAUGAAGCACCAGAAGACAGCGUUUUAUUUGGUGGGGGUGAAGUUUUGAUACAGGAAUUGCUCGGUUUGAAAUAUUUAGAGGUAUUGGAGUUGACCUUGGGAAGUUAUCAUGCUCUCCAAAUUCUUUUGAGCUCAAAUAAGUUAAAAAGUUGUAUUCGAUCUCUUUACCUCUAUUUGACCGGAGAUAAAAAGUCGAUUAUUGAUGCUACGGCUUUCACAGACCUAAACCACCUCAAUGAAUUAUGGAUUGAUAAUGGAAUUGAGUUGGAAGAAUUGAAGAUUGAUUAUACGGAGAUAGUACGAAAAAGGCGGGAACCUUUUGUUUUCCACAGCCUUCACCUUGUUACGAUAUAUAGUUGCCAUAAAUUGAAAGAUUCGACAUUCCUCGCUUUUGCUCCAAACCUCAAGUCUCUUUCGCUAUUCAAAUGCCGUGCUAUGGAAGAAAUAAUCAGCGUCGGAAAAAUUGCUGAGAAUCCUGAGAUGAUGGGACAUANNNNNNNNNNNNNNNNNNNNNNNNNNNNNNNNNNNNNNNNNNNNNNNNNNNNNNNNNNNNNNNNNNNNNNNNNNNNNNNNNNNNNNNNNNNNNNNNNNNNNNNNNNNNNNNNNNNNNNNNNNNNNNNNNNNNNNNNNNNNNNNNNNNNNNNNNNNNNNNNNNNNNNNNNNNNNNNNNNNNNNNNNNNNNNNNNNNNNNNNNNNNNNNNNNNNNNNNNNNNNNNNNNNNNNNNNNNNNNNNNNNNNNNNNNNNNNNNNNNNNNNNNNNNNNNNNNNNNNNNNNNNNNNNNNNNNNNNNNNNNNNNNNNNNNNNNNNNNNNNNNNNNNNNNNNNNNNNNNNNNNNNNNNNNNNNCACUGUUUUUAUUUCAGUCUCUCUCUCUCUCUUUGUCUCUGCUAAUCACAAUUAAAUGUGAAUUAAUGGAAUUAAUGCUUCAUAAAUUUGCCGGCACUGCCAUUACUUUUUUUUUUUUAAUACAAAUUGAUACUUUAUUUAUAUCUUCUUAGCGAUUUAAUUUCCUGUCAAUUGACGAACGAGAAGAACAUAUGACUUGAACCAAUGCUCGCAUAAACUUGCUGUAAAAAGAUAUAAUCUCACUGAAAUGCACACGCCUAGAAUGAAUAGAAUUAAAACAGGGAAAAUAUUAAGUAUAUUAGCCCUCUUUACCGAAAAUCAAAUGACAAUAAAUUUUUUGAAGUUUUGAUUUUCUAUGGUCAAUUCCACCUUUUGCAAUUUCUUCUGUUCUAACAAAAACCAAUUUCUUUGUUCAAGUAUUUUCGUUUGGGUAUUAAUAAUUCUCCACCGAAAGAGUGAACUCUUGCUCAAGGGAUCUCUAAUCAAUAGCCGGAAGGGCGCCGAGACCUGAUCGGACCUAGGCCCAAGUUUGGUCUUAAAGCCUGGGCUUGAGCCUGGCAAUUAAAUUAAAACAGUAAUUGAUUUCUUGAAUGAAUUGUCGUGUAAUUGAUUUAUGGGGGAUGACACAUCAACAUACUUGAAAAUACACUAAUCUCAGCAUCAUCCGUUAAUAACUUUUAGAUUUAUGGGCAAUCAAUAGUUAAAUUAGUUGUCAUUAAUACUAAAUAAUUUUUACUUUUUUUGUCUCUUCUAGAGGAUCUUCUAGAAAAAUGCAUCCACAAUUAAAUUUAAUACUUUACAUAAUAAAGAAAGCAUAAAUGUUAAAUUUAAGAAACUGCAUUGUAUUUCAGCUGAAGUUGACUUUAAUAUUUAGGGUAGAAAAAAAUUAAAUCCUUAAUGUGUUUAAUUUAUAUCACUUGUGUCAUUAAAAUUUUCUAGUCACCCUAACCAAUUACAUCUCAACCCACUUUUUUUUGGAUGAUUUUAUUUUUAUACUAUUAUUUUCAACAUUUUUUUUUCCUUUUAACACCAACAUUAGUGUAUGUUACGUAACAUAAUCCAUAUUUGGAUAAUUUGAAAUUUGUUUGUGUUUUAUCUCAAAAUAGAGCUUCAAUCAAUUUGUACCUCAUAAAUUCACAAUAUCUGGCAGGGCUAAUAAGACCAAACUCUGGCAUAUUAUCAAAUGUGCUUAUCCUUUUGCUUGACAUGUCAUUUUAAAAUUGUCAUUCAAUGCCAAAAAAAUCACAUCAACUGAUGGCCGACUACUUUAAUUUGAAAGCAUGCAUGCGAUCGCCACCAAUAAUUAUAACUUAAUUGUUAUAUUGAAAUUUUUUUCUUUAUAAUUUUUAAGUUUAAUACUGCUACAUGUGCGGCACAUAAGUUGGAAAAUAUAACAUAAAAUUUGAAAAAUGUGUAGUUUUCGUUCCUUUUUUUUCUUAAAAAUGGGGAAAAAGAAUGUAAUUUUGUUUAAAUUACUGUUGUGAUAACAAUUAUUAUUUUAUUGAUUAAUUGGCAGAGAAUCGUUAUGGUUUCGCAUGGUUGUUAAAACAUUGGAAAAUCCACUACAUCAUCCGAUAAUAACUUUCAGAUUUAUGGUUAAUCAAUAGUUGAGAUUUGUUAUCAUUAAUGUUAAAUAUUUUUUUAAUAUUUUUUCUCUCUCCUAGAGGAUCAUCCACAGUUAAAAUUUAAUAUUAUAAAUAGUAAACAAAGUAUAAACGUUAAAUCGAAGAAACUGCAUUGCAUUUCAGCUGAAGCUAACUUUAAUAUUUAACAGAGAAAAGUAAUUAAGUCCUUAAUGUGCUUUAUUUACCCAUAUAUAUGGCUAAUUUUUUAAGAUAAAGGGGAAGGAUGAUGCUCAAAAAUAUAAAUUAUAGAAUUAAUUGAGCUCUCAAGUAAGUUUAAAGUUCAUUAUUUUUAAUUACAUGUUUAUAAUUUAUUUUUAUUUCGUAUUAAUCUAUAGAUCUAAAUCCACUUUGGAUUCAUAUACAUAUAUAGACAUAAUGUGUAUGUUAAUCUAUAGGUCUAAAUUCACUUUAGGUCUAUAUAGGUAUUUUGACAAAUGUACUCCAAUCAUAUUGGCAAGUUCUAACUACUAUAUUGGUAUGUCAAUAUUAUCUCUAAUUGCCCUAUACAUUCAGAAAUAAUCUAGAUAUACAAAUUAACAUAAAAUAAAAAUAAUUGGUAGAAAAUAUAAAUUAUAAACAUGUAAUUGAAAACGAUAAACUUUAAAUUUACUUAAGAGAGUAAUUAAUUUCAUAGUUAAAAUCUUUAAAUUUUACCCCUCAUCUUAACUUAAGAAAAUUAAUCACUUAUUUUAUUUAACAAAGAAGAGAUUUUUUUCCCCUAUAUUUCCCAAUUAUUUCUCUCCCUCUCGCUCCCGUAAGUUAUACAACUUGAAGUGAAAUAUGAGUGGUCUGAUUCUAGCUUAAAUAAUUUAUUGUGACAUGCUAUCUAAGGACAAUACAUUACCUAGCUCUACAUAUUUUAUUUAACCUCCGGCUCACCCUGUGCAAACUUGCCUUCCCCUACAAGACAAGAUUAAUCAAUCUAUCAAGUCUCAAAUUCAAUUUGGAAUAUGACCAUCGUACGUUCUUGUUCUUCCCUCUUUACGAGUGCAUUCCCCCCAACCUCAAGCUCCCUCUCUCGUCUUCAAUGUCACUGCCUAUAUCCUUGUGUUGUUCUAGUUUGAAAUAGUGGCUUCCACAAUUUCAGGGCCCCCAAAAAUCCAGAAACAUAGUAUUCAUCACGAUGACAAAUUUUUUGGCAGGCAGGUGCUUCCUGACUUUCACACGGUAAUUCUCAAAUUCUGAUUUCACCAUAUUUUAAUUACUGAUUAGCAUAUAUUCAAGUGCUCUCCAUUAUAAUAGAAGCCGCCGCCUCACUCGUGAUUCCAAACUUUAUCUUUUUUCCUUUUUUAAAUUAAUGCAAGUAGCCGCUGUCCUUUUUAUUAAUUAAUUAAUUAAUUCGGCCGCCCACAUUUCUUUUCCUAAUGUCUUCUACUGUCGAUUUUCUUUUAUUUUCUUUUUAUUCUUAAAAUAUGCUUAUAAUAAUAAAAUAUAAAAAUUAAAAUUAACAUAUCAAAAUAUAAUUUAACAGAAAAUUAAGAUAAAAAUAAAAAAAAUAAAUUAUGAGCAUAUCAAUCAAUAAAUGAAAAAUAAUAAUUUUUAUUUUUAUUAAAUAUAUAUUUUUCAGUAUUAAUCAAUUAUUUGAAUAAAUAAAAUCAUUUAAAAAUAAAUAAAUAAAUUAUUCUUAAAAAAAAAGAAACUUUUUAUAACACUCACUAUGCUGGUUGUAGGGUAGACGCUUUGGGAACUGAAGCCGGUAACUUCUACAAGUAGUCUGAAGUUGACUGGCAACAACUAUAUUGACAUUUAGACAUAAUGUACUCCAACCGUAUUGGUAUGUUUAAAUGUUCUUACUAUUGUAUUGGUGUGUCAAUAUUAUCUCUAACUGCCCUAUAGAUAAAAAAAUAAUCUAAAUUUAUAAUUUAACAUAAAAUAAAAUAAUUGGUAGAAAAAUAAUUAUGGUUCAUUUACUUAUCAGUAAUCAGAAUAGACUAAAAUCGAAAUGAGUUGUAUUACCGUUGAUGUGUUUAUGUUGUCCUGGAAUCGGAAUGAAUUAUUUUAAGUUACUAAAAUAUCCUUGGUUUGUUAUUCUAAUUAUUAUUUAAUAUUUAUUAUAAUAUUUGUCAUAUCAUUAAAAAGAAAUAAUAAUGAUGAUAAUAUUAUCAUUAUUGUUUGUUACAUUAUUAUUAUUCAAAAAAAUUAUUGUUAAUAAUAAUAAUUUUUUUAUUUCAAUAAUAAUAAUGAUAAAAUUAAUAAUAAAAAACAUGACAACAACAAUAAUUAUUUAUUAUGCCAAAAAAUAACAAUAAUAAUAAGAAUAAUAAUCAUCAUCAUUUUUUUGCCAAAGAAAUCAUCAAACCAGACAAGAAAUCAUCAAAAAUUGCUAUUUCAAUUUAGGAAGAAGUUCUUUCGGUGUGCUAGCGAUGGGAGAUGUUGUGGCUGCGAUUCGGGGAGCUAAUAGUUUAUUGCACUAAUAACGGCAGGUGCUGCUGCUUGAUGCGAGGUCCAUGGCCAGUUGUCAGCAGUUCGACUUUGGCAUGGGCGCUGCUGGUUCGAUUUUAGGUGUUGUCUAAUUUCAUUUUCAGGAUUUUAAUUUUAUUUUUUUCUUUUAUAUUUUCAUUAAUUAAUCAGGGCAAAGUUUGAUUUUAGAAUUUGGAAUGAAGGUAAUUUUGUUAAUCAUGGAAAUGAGAUUUUGAUUGUCGAGAAUGAACUUACACAAGCAACUGCAAAUUAAGUGAAAACAAAACGCUUUUUCUCUUUGUGUGAUUAAAACAUGAAAUAUACCAUAAAUAAAUAGGUAAAAAUUAAAUCAACACAAUCCAAAACAGUAAACCAAUUAUAAGAGGCACAAAUUUUUAUGUGAAAUACCGAAAACGGAAAAAACCACAACAUGUUAGUAUGAUAUAAUCUUCUACUAUAUUAAUGGGAUUAUAACACAAAUUCUUCCCUAUAUUACACUAGAGAUUAACAACAUCAAGAAUCUCAAUAAUCUUAACUUACAAUACAACCUAAUAUAUGUCUCUCUAAUAAAUAGAUAUCUAAAAUAACAAUCUCUAAUAAGUAAGUAUCUCAAAUAACAGUCUCUAAUAAGUAGGUAUCUCAAAUAAUAGUUAAUAAGAGGAUAAAACAAAAAUUAAGAUUAGUAGGAUGUGUAUAAGGCGAUGCUAUCAACUUAUCUUCUAAAUUUGAGAAAAAUAGUUAAAUUCACUUUUUUGAUUGUCCGACCAAAGAUGGAAACCUUGCCCCAAAACCAAAGGAGUCACCAUUGUGUUUCUCUCUCUCUCUCUCUCUCUCGUUCUUUUCUUCUACUUUUCUUAAUGUUAGCCGCCACUUGCUUUUAUUCUUUAUAGCAUUUAAAAAGUUACUUUUAAUGGUAAAUUUCAUCUAAGUCCAAAACUUAGUGAUAAUUGCACACUAAACAAUCCUUUUUGGACUAUAGACUUUUGGACCUCCAAAUGAGACGAAUACAACAAAUCUCCCCUUUUAGAUCAUGUAGGAGGCACCACAAGCCCACUCUCUGCAUAUAGCUUUUUAACUUCUCCUUGAAUAAUGACUUUGUCAUCAUACAUAACUCAUUCUCCGUUGUGUAAAUCUUCUCAAGCUAUAACCGUUCUUUCUCAAACACGUCUCGUAUCUAAUAAUACUUCACAUCAAUUUGCUUAGAUUUCGAAUGAUAUAUCAAAUUCUUUGAACGACACUCUGAUUUUCGCAGUACAUAAUAUAGUUGUCUCAUUUUAUACCUAGCUCUUGUAGGAAAUUCUUCGUCCACAGUAUUUUUUUGCAACCUUCAAUAAUUGUAAUAUCAUUUGCUUUAGUAGUAGAAAAGACAACUUAUUACUAAAGUUUAGAUUACGAUGAGACUGCUCCUCCUGCAAAAGUGAGCAAACAUUCUAGUAGGAAUUUUUCGGAAUCAACAUCUCCUACCAUAUCUAUACACUUGUAACACAGGUUUGUCACCACCAAAAUAUAAACAUGCUCUGGAAAUGCCUCUAAGAUAUCUGAGAAUUUUUCACUAUUGUCCAGUGCUCUUUACCGGGAUUGAAGAGAAACCACUAACUACACUAGUUGUAUAAGUAAUAUCUGGUCUUGUACAAAUUAUGGCGCACACCAAACUGCCAACUGCUGAAGCAUAAGGAACUCCUCUCAUGGAGAAAUGGGUUUUGCUCUUGAGAUUUUUGGGAACAUGAAGAAUAAAUAUGUAAUUUCUUGGACUGCCAUUGUUUCGAGGUAUAUAAACAGAGGACAAGUCUAUAUAGGUCGACAGUGGUUUGCUCAGAUGCCAGAACGAGAUUAUGUCUUAUGGACUGCCAUGAUUGAUGGGUACCUUCGAGUGAAUAGGUUCAAAGAGGCUUUGACGCUUUUUCAGGAGAUGCAAACUUCAAAUAUAAUGGGAGACGAGUUUACCAUUGUUAGCAUUCUUACAGCUCGUGCGAAUCUGGAAGCACUAGAUCUGGGAGAAUGGAUAAAGACUUAUGUUGAGUGUUAGAAAAUGCAUAUUUAUAAAGGAGAAAACCAUCAUUUUACAUUUCAAGUCUUACUAACAACCCUUACUUUUAUGUAUUUAACCUUCUUGUGAUUUAAUUACAUGUGUUUUAUUUUAAUUAAGUAUUUUAUGUAUUUUAGGGACAUUAUAGUCAUUUCACAAUAAAGGAGAGAUCAGACGGCAAAACAGACAUCACUUUUGAACUCAGGACGGUCAAAAACCUUAGGAGGAGCAUAAAAGGAAAAAUGGCACUAUUCACAUGUACGGUACUAUUCACGUGUACGGUACUGUCCACGUUACUGUUCACGAUACUGUUCACAUAGACAGAUCGAUGACGUGGCAUUGACUGAUGAGGUGUCACGAUCCUGUUGGGCUAAAAUUCUUAUGUACUGUUGAUGGUGACGUGGCAGCAUAUCAAUGGACGAAAAAUCUCGCAUACAGUACAUGCAUCACACAGGAUUAUUGUCAACCAAAUCGCGUUACUGUUCAUCCGGGUCAAACCGUGUUACUGUUCAUCCACGUAGUCAAACCGCGUACUGUUGACUGAUGACGUGGCGCAAUCCUGAGCGUCCAAACUGUUUUUAAUCCGAUGGCCAUGAUUUACUCCAUGUAUCUAUAAAAAGGGGGCCUCCCCCCCUAAUUUGACAACUCUGAAUCUAUUUUGGGAUCCAUUUUCUAUAAUUCCCUCUCCAUCUUGUAUUUUCUACGUAUUUUAAUAAAUUUCCAUUUUACCCUUAGUUCAAUUAUGAGUGGCUAAUUUCCUUUCAAGCUUGGGUUGAAGGUGAAGUCUCAACAUGUGUCAUGGGCUUUAUUUGGUAAAUUUAUUUUCUUUUCCCCUCUAGUUUUUGUGGAUGAUUUGACUUUUCGUCGACAAAUAAUAUUGAUCUUGUCUAGAUACCACCUUGGUUACACCGGCUCUCUAGUACAAGGUUAUUAUUAUUUGGCACGAUAAGCCCUUAGCACCAUAUUGAUUAGAGCGUGGUUCAUGAGGUGUGGAUUCCCCCCUCAUGAUUUAAUUGGCAUUAAUAAGGAUUAUAUAGCCCAUGAUGCAUGUUGAUACGGAUCUGGAUACCCAAGUGCUUCAUUUCAAUAGAUCUAUCUUCAAUUUCUUCUCGCCAUUUUAAUUUAAGUUUUAGAAUAUUCCAAAUCAUUUCCACCACAAAUCCAAUCCCCGAUUCACAAAAUUAAUUCUAUACACAAUUAAAAUCCACAUCCUCGUGGGAUCGACACUCGUCACCAUUAGUCUAUACUACAAUAGAUUCGUGCGCUUGCGAGUACAUUAAAAUUUACACAACAACUUAUAUUGACAAAAACAAAGUCAAGAAUGAUGUAUUUGCGGGGAAUGCUUUGAUAGACAUGUACUGUAAAUGCCGAGAUGUUGAGAAAGCUCAAAAGGUAUUCAGGAAGAUGCUUUGAAAGGACAAAUUCUCAUGGACGACCAUGAUUGUUGGCCUUGCCAUCAGUGGCAAUGGUGAUAAAGCUCUUGAUAUGUUUUCCCAAAUGCUUAGGGCUUCGAUCAAACCGGAUGAGGUAGCUUAUGUUGGUGUUCUGUCUGCCUGUACUAACAAUGGUAACGAAACUUUUGUGAUAAAUAGUUGCAACUUAAGGUGAGAAUUGGAGGAAAGGAAAUAGACUGAAGUUGUUCAAUCAUCGGUCGUCUCUAUUUGGUUUUCUCCGAUAUCUCAUCUUCAGUUUUGACUCAGAUUCUAUCUUACCACUUAGGGGUGGGCAAAAUCGGGUUCGGGUCAACCCGAUCGGGUUUCGGGUUGUUCGGGUUAGACAAGGAACAAUCCGAACAUAACCCGAAUUAAUGACCCGACCCGAACUUAGUUCGGGUCGGGUCAUUAAUUCGGGUUAUGUUCGGGUUGGAUUUAAAAUGGGUAGGAUUGAGUUCGGGUCAAUUUGGGUUAGUUCGGGUCAAUUCGGGUCAGUUCGGGUCAAUUCGGGUCAAUUCGGGUCGGUUGAAAUCGGGUCAGUUCGGGUCAAUUCAGGUCAGUUCGGGUCGGUUGAAAUCAGGUCAAUUCAAGUCAGUACGUUUUUUUUUUUUAAGAACCCGAUCGGGUAUUCGGGUCGGGUCGGGUUUGACCCGAACCGAUCACAACCCGAUCGGGUUUGUAAAUUUCAAACCGAUCGGGUUUCGAUCCCGACCCGAUCCGACCCGAACCCGAAAUUUAUCGGGUCGGGUCGGGUCGGGUAAAAUGCCCACCCCUAUUAAUACCACUAGUAAUUACAUAGACUUGCUGCCAAAGGUAAGAAUGAGAAUAAAUUAAAUAGAUUAUGUCGAAAACGAAAUAAAUUUACCAUUGUUCUGUUCAUUCUAUUUGUUUCCUACAGAAUAUUUCUCCAGCCUAAAAUUUUUUGAAUUAGUAAGUUUUUAUCUUAUGCAAGAAUUGUGCUGAGAGUAAUUCCAUUUCUCAGUCUCUUUAUGUUUCAAUGAAGACGUAAAACUUGUGUUCUAGUGCACCAAUGUUUAUGCUUCUUACAAUUUGACUUUAAUUUAGUUUGUAAAACUUUUGUCAAAAAGUACUAAAAAGUAGUGCACCAAACACAAACUUUAUUACAGAGAGGACUUCAGUUAAAUUUUAAGAAAACACUCAAAAGAACGAGUUAUAAAUUAUUAUCGAAAUAUUUCACAUAAAUAAAAGCCAUCCCAUGCUGCAAAGAUCUUGCUAUAAUCACCAAAAACUAUCGGGAGCUUUUAGGGUUUCCAUAAAAAUGUCAUUUCGUUCCAAAAGUCAAUGGUGGGUAGAAAGUGGUGCAAAUGAGACUCAUUGUUAAUGGUAUAAGUUUUUGCUUAAUUAUGUCUUCCCCAAAAUGAUGAUUUAAUUUCCAUUCUCAAUUAAUUUUCAAGUUUCAACACUUUUCUAUGUAGCAUGACAUUGGAAAGAUCUUGUACAGUUGUACUACUAAAAGCUAGCACCACACGUUAGUUAUUGUUAAGUUCUUUUUCAACGUGAAAUAAAGGAAGUAGUCCUUCGUUAAAACCAUUAUAGCCAAAUUUCACGUAAUUGGACAUUUACAGACUUUUAUUUCAAGUUGGAUUUUGGUCCAACAUUUCAAAGUUGGCCCAAUUAUUUUUGUCUGGUCAAGUCCUUCGCAGCUAAGCCCCUCAAUGAAUGAGGGUGAGAUUGCUAAAAAUUACGACAGGUGAUAUUUUAUUAUUAUUAUUUGUUUGAGGGAAAAAAUAGGAAAAGCAAUAGAGCGCCACGUGUCAACCAAUGGAAUGAUUCCUGCACAAUCUAAGGUACCCCACACAAUCCGAGGUACCCCAUAUAAUAUGAGGUACCCCACACAAAUAGGGGUACCCCGCGUAAUAGGAGGUACCCCAUGUAACUCGAGGUACUCGGCAAAGCGGAUGCAAGAGAAUCCUCCGAAAAUAUCCGCCAUGAGAAACGUCUCCGCCUCCUAAAAGAUAUUAUUCAAUUUUGUCAGAAUUAUGAAUAAAAAACGACGCCCUAAAAGGAGGGACAGUCGCCUGCGACCUCUGCCAAAAGUGAAGGACACUGUCCCAAGGACAGUGGUCCCCAACGCCUACCCGACAGCUACUGCAAAGGUACCCUGGACCACUCUCCAGCGCGCGCCACGUUUCCAAAAGAUGAGAUACGCCGCGAACGUGCAGAUAACUGCCCAAAAAUUAUAAAGAGGUAAAAGGACGUUAGUAAAAAAGGGUAUGCCAUGUGGCAGCUGAGGUACUCCAUAUAUAAAGGCGCCUAGGUUUCAUUCUCCAUCAUGUUCUCACUCACCAUUAACACUCGCACUCCAAAAAAUAGGUUUUCUUCAACCUUAAACCCUAAUUUACAGAGGGUUAGUCAGCUCUCUUUACCAUAAAAGCUUGAGUUUGCUAACUUGAGCGUCGAAGUGUGAACGCCGGGGUACCCCGGCUUCACCUCUAACCUCUAUUUCACUGUUUUGCAGGCGUGAAGCUCAUUUGGAAGGACACAUCUCUUAGUUCUAAACCUUUCACCAUUGUUACCACUCUCUCUCCCUUUCUCACCUCCCCUGGAUUUCAGAUACACCACACCGCACACAAUAAACUAGUGAGGUACCCCGUCUCCCAUAAAAAUACAAAUUCAUUGUUCUAGAUAGAUUUGGCUUUUUUUACCCCAAAAUCUGUUGAAAACACUAUUUUUAAUUUUGGGGGAUAAAUCCUCACCAAAGUGAGGAGAUUUUAUCAAAAUCAAAAUAAAAAUAUAACAAGAACUGAAAGUCGGGCAGCCUAAAAGCUAGAUGAACUAAAAGUCAGGCGCCUAAAAACAACCUUAUGCAAAAGAGAAGCAACAUGAGACCGAUCAAGUAAAAGAAUCCACCGCAACACCUAAAUUGGCCAAAUUAUCUGUUGGUAUUACAAGUUUCUUGUUAUAAAAGUGUAGAAUGAAGUAGGUGACAGUAGUUUUAAGUUACAGCUGCAUGCCUAAUCGCAAUAUCAAAUAAUGAUUAAAUAUCAAAUAAUGCUUAAAGUAGUUGCCUAGGCCCGCCACAAUUUAUAUUAACUCUUAAAUUUAUAAAUAAUUAAAUUUUUAAAAGUUUGGAUUUAUAUUAAAAAAUCUUCAUAUAAAUAAAUAAUAUAUGCACUUUUACAACACAGUCUUUAAAUUUAAAUUUUUCUAGAAAAAUCUUCUGUAUAUCUUUUCUAUUAAAAAAUUUCCAUAUAAAUAAAUAAUAUACCUAAUUUAAUUGGACCCAGCACAUCGCAUAUGCAUAGAACACAUUCCACAAAGCCAUGCUAUUCGGAAAUUGACGAAUGAAAAGUGAGGAGGCAGCAGUCAAUGCUAUUUGGGCUUGGCCCAAAAUUGAUUUAUCAGGUUGACGUUUGCCAGGAAUGAAGAACUGGAAUAUCACCGUCAAGCAAGCAACCUGUGGAGCAAUACCAUAGAAUGCACAAUCCAGCUUUGCAAGGUGACACUGGAGGCUUUUUGAAAAGUGCUUCACGCUCACUUGCACAGAUUGAGCAUCCCCUCUGGAUAUUGCCCUCUCUGAUCGAGUCUGAGCACUCAAAUUUCGGUCCUCAGAUGGAGCUACAGCUUUCUCUCCAAUAACCAACAAUUUUCUAAACUCAGCACCUAGUGUGAUCAGAGUUGUUGAUAUUUGUAAAUGGAGAUCCCUGUAUUUGCAAAUGGAGACAUUUACCAAAUCACCAACAUGCUUCAUCCAGUCUACGAAAUUCUGCAGCUGAUUCAAAUCCGGAACCUGAACCAGAGUCGGAGGUAAAUCUUGAGCCAUGUCUAAAGCAGUCUGAAGUUCAAGUACUUGAGCCCUUGACAAAGGUUUUGAAAUUGGAACAUCUUGGAUUACUGCAGACUUGUACCCCUUGGUUUCAAAGGUAAGGAAAGGCAUUGCUUGAGUACAAUUUGGAGGCAGCUUCUUCACCAAUUUUAUUUGGAGGCAAUUGGCAGCGGAUCCAGCUGCACCAAUUUCAGAGCAAAUACUGACACUACUUCAAACAGCACGCUGAAGAAGAGAUAUGUCUAUGGCAAAGGCAAUGCAGUCCUCAAUUUGACUUGAGAUGCGGUAAUCACCAAAGAGAGUUUCCUUAUGAAACUGGGCAACACAUUGAAUCCCUUCACCACUGAGAAGGUUGGGGAGGAAGUAAGCUUUCUCUCUCGUAAGGAAGAGGUGGCAUACCUUCCCCAUUUUGUCUAGGACAGGUAGGAAUCUUUUUUCUAAGAGAUUUACUCCAUUCUCUGUGAGAAAUGCUUUGAACUUCAUCCCUCUGUCUCUAGCCUCACUUAUCAGUAAAAUAGUUGAAAGCGCUACAAGGAGAGAAAAGAAGAGUAUUAAGAUAUAUAUAGACAAGAAAAACAUUAGAUGUCGAUCUUACAAGCUAAUACUUCAAACAGUAUCCUAGAAAGCUAAAAACUGCAAAAUGGCUUGAAAUUUGAAAAGAACACAUGCUUUUCCUCCUUAACUUGAGAAAAUGUUUAAUAUAGUGCACCUUACAGAAACAUUUAAACAAUUAGAACUUUGCACAAAAACAUUCAAGAAGACUAAACAAAUCAGAUGCAGUGUAUUUCUCCAAGCACAAAUGGCAUUGCAUUUUUUCCUCAACUGUAAUAUUUAUUGAUGAAAAUCAGUACAGGUCCCUCAUUUGUUAUGGAAAGCUUUCUUGUAGUCUGACCGGUUAAUUCACGGGUCUAUAAUCAUCUUGCAAAGUUACAGGCAUUUCUUUCGAUUUAAAGUCUUUGCAUCACCACCUCAUCACACACCAAGCCAAUAUUCCGUCUACCUCUACAACAAAAAGUUUUAAGUAAACGAUCCUAAUGCAUGCAGCCAAAUAAAAUGCAGUAAGAAUAUUCAACUUAAAACUCUGAAAGCCAUCUUGGUGAAUUGCCUCCUUAGGGGAAGUUCCAUGCUUUACUAUACUUGACAGGACUGAGCAAAAGCUUACAUACAACAGAUUUUGAAAAUGAUGAUGCCAAUAGAUACUCAUACAAUCCAUUGAAACUCCUAAGGUCCAUUGUUCACAGAGGUUUACAGAGUUUUGGUCAUCAAAUAGCUCAGACCUUAAUCCCAAACAAAAAACGAGUGAAAAUUAGAUCACCAGCAGCUAAUUGUAAAUUCUAACUUAACUCUUCAUCUCCUUUGUAAACAGGAGACAAAAUGGAGACACGCAAAAUGAAUAAGGAGAACAUUUGAACUCAAAUGAAAUGAGGGCACGAAAGCAAACAAAUGGCAUGCGCAAACAAACCAAGCCUCAAUCAAAAACUAAUUAACCAUUAAAAAAAAAAAAGUGGUCAGAGAAUGAACUCCAAAUUCGGGAGUGAAGCAAGAAGCUUUCAUUAUUUCAGAAGCUCCUGUACAAAUUAAUAAGUUAUGCUCUUUGGAAACAAACCUAAAUUCCAAGAGAAAGAGAACUCAAAAAAUUUGCAAUUAUACGCAAAGGAAGUGAAGCACAGCAUUCUAUCACACGUACAAAUUGUAUAACAAGAGAUCGACACAUCGAAUCAGAAGAACUCAAUUCAAAUUUGUCUCAAAAAUCAAAAUUAGAAGAUUUCACAUUUCGAGAGGAACAAGCGACAGGUCAGAUGCAAAAUUUUCAGCCACAACAUGCCACAAUUAACAGUUUAUUUCCAUGGAUUUAGAGAGCUGACUGACCUUUUGGCUUUUGGAAUUGAGAAGAUCGCGGGCCAAAAUGGAAGAGGGAAAGCGAAAGUGCGGGUUUUAAUAGGGUAUUGGAUUAGCAAAUUUAAUUAGUUUGCGAGGGUAAAAUAGGAAAGAGAUAUCACUAUUAACUUUUUUUUUUAUAAGAAAAAAGAAUAAUAAAGAAUAUUUUAUUGUCAUUUGCAGCCUGCAAAUGACAAUAAAUCAAAUACGUCAUACAGAAGCUUAAAGCUGAAUCUAAAAAAUCUAGAGCUCUCAACUACAAAAAUUACACUUGAUGAUCCUCUACAAGAUGAAGCUUGUUCAAUAUCUUAUCCAAAGUUUAUAAAGUAACCUUGUAACGAUCUUGAGAUUGCCUGCCUUCCUCGACGACCUGCACGAUGCGUUUGUACAAAUCAUCAUACCUGUGCACCGGAUUUUUAAUAUCAACGCCACUGCAGCUGUGAUCAAGAACAUAAGAGCGUUUAACAUCUUUUCUCCAUCGAGAAAGAAUGUAGUGAGAUGGGAUCUCCUGCAUGCCACUCUGGUUUAGAACACAAAGAAUGUGUCUGGAUAAAUAUCCUCUGAAAUUGAACAACCCACAAACACAAAGCACCUCCAAGUCGGAGGCAUUGUACAAAACAUCGAAAGCCCUUGAAUCUUUCUCGUUGCUACCAACCUCAAAUUCUUCCUUCACUAUGUAUGUUAUAGGUCCAUCAGCACUGACAUGUUUUGUGCUAUAGCAAGAGUACAUAGCCUCCACCUCCGUCUGAAACUUCCUUCACAUUUCAUUUGUGUACAGUUUUGAGAGUUGAAAUUCAUAGUCACAUCUUGGUUUCUGGAUACAACUUGAAUUUCUUGAAUCCAUAUCUGCCAAGGCUUCCGGUUGAUAAUUCGCCUGCAGUGCUUGAUCAUACUUGUGUAAGAAUUCUUUCAAAGGAGUACGCUUAUCAAGAUAUCCUUCAAAGUAUGAAGUAGAAACCUCAUUCUGCAGGAAUGAAAACACUCCUGAUAAAAAUGCUUCCUUCAAAUAAACAGGAGCCCACCUUUUACGAUCUUCAUAUAAAGUUUGAAUCCAUCCGUGAUCCUUUAUUCCAUGACGUUGAAUCAUGUCUUCCCAAGCUGCUUCAAAUUCCUCAGGCCUGAGAGAGUGAUAAAUUGCUCUAUGUAAUGCACCUCUAAUAGCUUCAUAUUCAAACAAUCCUUGGAGUUUCUCUGGAAUUUUUUGCAAGAUGCAUGACAAUGAAAAGCAAUGAUAAGCUCUUGGGAAAACAUCGCCAACAGCAAUUUGCAAGAUUCUACAUUGGUCAGUGAUGAUUGUUUGUGGAGAGCGUCCUAACAUACAUGUAAGCCACACCCUAAACAACCAUGUAUAUGAUUCUAUGGUCUCCCUGGCAAGUAAACCACAACCCAACAACACUGAUUGUCCAUGAUGAUUCACCCCAAUGAAUGAAACCAGUGGUACAUCAUAUCUUUCAGUCAAGCACGUAGUAUCAAUUAAGACUACAUCACCAAAGUACCUAUAUGCAACUCUUGACCUGGUAUCAGUCCAGAACAGGUUUCUCAAGCAUCCCUUUUCAUUUAGAUCCACUACAUUAAAAAAGUUUGGAUCUGUCAACUGCAAACGACAAAAGAAACUCUGGACAGCUUGUGCAUCUCCUGGUUUAAGCUUCAAUUGAUUUGAGCUAUUAACAUUAUUUCCAAAUACUCCAUUAACAUCUACAUUACCAUUUCCCUCGGUAUCGAUGAUAAGAGUUCGAAACAGUCUAAUUUUUUGAACGUCUUCAGCACUAUCUAAUUGCAAUGUUCUUUUGGUUCCAAUACCUAUGUGCUUAUGUGACUUGUAAAACUUUCCGCUUCUUGGGCUUAACAAGUGGUUAUGCUCAAGCUCGACUUCAAUGAUUCUCCACCUUUUGGUUUCCAUCAACCUAAACUUUAUCAUUGCUGGACAGCCAGUUCUUGUUUCUGGUCUUGGGCGGUUUGCCUCGCUUUUCUUCUUGAAGCCUGCACUACUACAGCUCAGCUUUCCUCUAUACUUUUCUCUACUCUUUCGGUACCAUGUAUUGCUAACUCUAACACCAAAACCCUGUUCCUUGGCAUAGCAAUUGUAAAAGUAAUAAACAUCAUCAUACGUCUCAAACUCCAUUCCAACAGCAGGAGCCAAUGGAUUUUGGAUUAUCCCAGUUUGUCCAACAUAUUCAGUCAUUGCACAAUCUCCUACGACCUCAAAAUCAUCAGCAUCAUCAUCACCUACUGGUUCAGUAUUCAGAGAAACUUCAUCCAUCUACAAUAGAUGUUUAAUGAAGUGAACUUUAAGGAGAAAAAGCAAAAUCAGUUCAAGGAAUGAUAAUAUAACCAUACAGUUACUUUCACAAAGCUGCGUAUUUCAUCAAUACCUUAACAACAUACAACUGCCUGAGAACGUAUAGACAUGUCAUAGACGCUUGAAUUAAGUAUUGGUACAAAUUCAUGUGGGACACAAUUUCAGUCACUAAACCCAAUGCCUUUUUUUUUCACAUCAUACCAAGGAACGGAUUAAACCCAAUACCUUCUUUUACGCCAUACCAAAGAACAGAUUAAAUCAUCAAUGAAAAAUUAAUCACAUAAUAAUUUAACUAGACAAAUAAAGAGCUCGAAACAGCACAAAACUUGAAUAUGAUUAUGAUAAUUGUUGAGUCAUUGUAUCUACAGCUUUCCUUCAACAAGAAGAUUAUGAACAUAAACUACACACAAAAAAUUUAUUUUAAACUGACAUAAAUUUAUUCAGUUACAUUGAAACCCAAAAAAGGAAGCAGGAGCUGGAGAAAAACAACAGCAGAGAAACUUAUUUCCAGAAGGUUUACGAAAUAAGGAAUUUAUUAAGACACAAAAUUUGAGGUCAACAAUAAGAAUUUGGUUCUCAUUCUCUUUUUCUUCAUUUUUCACUUAUUGAUGGAGUUACCAUACAAUCCUAAAUGAUAAAACCCCAUCUCCAUCUUUUUGAAAUAGAGUUAAAGCAAAGCUUUUUAAGAUGUUUUUCCCUAAAAGACUCAAUAGUACAAUGUUUUUCAAUAUUAAAUACACAACUCAAUCUUCCCCUAAUUUACUCUAAUAAUCUCUUAACUAAGGAAGAUUAAGCUCCACUUGUAAGCUAAAACAAGUUUCUUAAAUCAAGCCCCAAUGCUCUAUGCUAUUCAACAAGGCCUCAUAAAUGAUAAAACUACCUCUACAAAGAUACCCAUUUUAAUUUCGCAAACUAAAAUCGAACUCCUGAAACGUAACGAGCAUUAAAACAAACAAGUCCGAACAAGAACUGAAAAAUGAUACGUAAACCCGUUUCGACAAACAGUUUCCAAUCAAUGAGCAAAAAAGUUAAUGGAAAACAUGAAAUUCAAACGAAACAUACCUUAGGUUGAUAAAUUAGUAGCGCAAAAGAAAUUUUAGCGAGAUAUGGGAUCAGGGAUUUUGCCACGGUGAUGUUAAUUGCGACAUUCGGGUGACUCAGCAGCCUUCGAGGCUGAAACUUUGAUUGACCAAAAGCUUCCCGUUCGUUGAUUCUCUAAUUGCAGAAACGAAACUGGCAGUGUACAGAAGACGUACGCUGAUUUGAUAAUUCUGUGAAAAUCAUUGUUUUUUUUCAGAUUUUUAAUGUGUUCGAUAAAAUAUCAAAAUCUCAAAAACUUUUGUCUUUCAUUUUGGGGGGGAAAAACCCAUUGAGAUCCUUAUGUUUUUUCUUAUAUAAUCUGGCUUAAUAAUUUGCAAAGUCUAUUACUUAGCACCCAUGCAUGCUGCGUUCCAAUUUACAAAAUUGUACGUGAGUGCAUCCAGCUAAAAUUUGUAAAAAGAAAAUAGCAAUAACAUGUUAAAAAUGUGAUUAUUAUGAAGAAAUUUUAAUUUAGUUAAAUAGGUGACGAUGGAUAGGUAUAAAAUCUGAGAUCUUUUAUAAGGUUAAUAAAUAUGUUGAGUUUGGAUUAGUUCAAUUUUGAAAUAAUAAUAUUCAAAAUAUCUCUUAAAUCAUUAUAAACCUCAAAUCUAUUUUAAUUUUAUUUAAAAGAUAAAAGAAAAAUAGGUUAUGUUGGUGAUUUUUUAUUAUCUUUUUAAUAAAAAUGAAAUAAAUUGAUGUUUAUAAUUAUUUAAAGUAUUUUAAAGACUGCCAUUUUAUGAGAGAAAAAUAUUUCACUUUUUUUUAGUGUGAAAGGCCGAAAAAGGACAAAGCAAGUUUCCCUAGUUUUUAUUUAUUUGAAAUUGGUCAUCUCAUAUACUUCACCCUUCAACACUAUAAUUUUUUUGGUUAUAAUUUUAUUAUUUUUUCUCUUUUACACAUGCAUGUGAAUUACUUUUCUUUAAGCUCCUGAAUAUUUAAGAUAAAUCAUGGAAGAGAUGAGAGUAUAACAAGAUGACCAAAAUAUGUAACAAAAAAAUUUUAUAAGUGAAAAAUAUGUUAGAGACUUACAGUGGAAGUAAAACUCUGAGGUGAUGUUUGAUUUGAAGAAAAUGGAGGAAAUGAAAAGACUGGAAUGUAGAGGAAAAGAGAGAAAAGGAGAGGAGAGGAGAGUGAAAUUUUUUUCUAAUGUUUGGUUUGUCACAUAAUUAUACAAAGAAAGGAAAUCUCUAAUUUUUUAUUUAGACAAUUUUAACCUUAAUAAGUAUUAAGUUUUCAAUAUUUAUCAUGUGUAUAAUUAAAAAAAAAAGAAGUAAAUGGUAGAAAGCGGUUUCUGAUUCCGGCCACAUCGCCCGCAAUGGAAGGUACUUAUCAGAACAUCAAGAGCCAGCCAUCAUUCCCUAGCCAUCACUGCUGUCGGAACACUGCCGGAAAGCUGCCGAUUGAACCGCGAAAAGUCGUGGAAAUCGCUGCCUCAAAUCGGUGAGUUUCGCCCUUUUCUGGUCACGCCGUCGCCAUGGCUUUGUCCAUCAAGCCUGCCACUUCCAUUUUCAACCAUCCAUAGCCACUAUUAAUUGCCAAAUCACCGCCGAUCAGCGGGAUCUGUGGAAGUUAAAAAGUUUCUAAAUUUUUUUAACUGGAUUUGAACAACAUACGACCAUUUUUUUAUCUCGAUAACGACGUAGUAAUGUUGAUCGUUGGUCGGCAAGUCGUAUGGUAGUGGCAGUGAGUAACACGCGCCAAUCACAUCGGCGGCGGCGGCGGCACUAUCCGGCGACUGUUAAAAUAAUAUUUUAUAUUUUCAGAUUAAAUAAAUUUAUUUUAUUAAAAUUUUUAAAUCAUUAUUUAAAUUUAAUUAAUUUAAAAUUAUCUAUAAUGUUGAAUUGAUAAAAUAAAUUUAUAAAUAAUAAUUAUGUGAUUACAUUAAAUAAGUUAAAAAGUUGAAGGGUUAGUUUUGGAAGAUUUAGUUUCCAACACAAAGGGAAUUUGAAUUCUUCACUUCUUAGUGUGGAAUUCAAAUUCUAUAUUGUAAUAGAUAUUAAAUUUCAAUAAAAAUUAAAUUCUUAUAAGUUAUGUCAAACCAAACAACGAAAAUAAAAAAGAAAUUUAAAUUAUUUUUCUUUCCUCCACCCUCUCCUUCCAACUAAAUACAUCCUGAAAAUAGAGAUAUUGAUUAAUUUAGAAGAGAUUCAAGCAAAAAAUAUUCCAAAAAAAAAAGCAAUAUGUCCCUUUGGAGGGCAAACUUGUCAGUUUCAAAAAAGUACAUGCUUUGUAUUGAUAGUUGUAGGAUAUUUGUUUUGUCACUAUGUAUUAGUUGGAGAAGUCCAGCCUUGUGGAGAAUGUUAUGAAAGAGCAAAGGAUAUUCCUGAUAGCUGAUAGAGCUCUAUCUGAUUAUGUAUCCAGUGAAUGGAUGUGUUGUUGGAAGAUAUCUGAGUGCAUUAGUUCAUAUGUGUCUGUCAAUGUGCUUUUAAUGAUUUUUCCACCUGUUUGUUGUAAAAGAUUAUUGUAAAUUGAAAUGAACUUGAUGUUUUAAUAUUUUCUUCCGUAAAUUGAAAUGAACUUGAAUUAAAUCUCGUUGAAUUUAAUAUUAUCUCCUUAGUGGAAUUUCACCUAGUAUGUAUUCAGUUGUGUUGUCUAUAAUUUUGCAUUCGAGUAAGUUUCACCUAAAACAUUAGCAUGAGUAGUGGCCCUUGAACCUUUGGUCAAAAUUAUUGUUAUUAUUUCUGACUAGAUGUAAAUUUUGUAUUAAAUCUCGUUAACACAAUUCUUAAUUAAAAGUAUAGGUUAGUGUUGGUGCAAGAUUUGCCACACCAAAUUCUGCCUAGCUGUCAAAAGUGCAAAAUAAAUGAAGAGAAAGCACAAAUACACGACUUGAAUAAGGAUACAACGAAACUUAAAUUCAAGAGAAAAUGAUAGCUAUAUCCCAAGAUUUGAAAAAGUAGUCAUGUAGGUUUUUAAGAUUUCAAUAAGCGACUGAGAUUCAAAUAAUAUCCUUUAAUUCUAUUAAUAAAAAACAAAGACUCAAAUAUUUUAUGAUAAAUAAAAAUAUAAUAUUAAAAUAUAUGUGAUAAUAUACACAUUUUAAAUACUUUCAAUCCAAAAAAAUAGUUAUGUUUUACAAUCUAUUAGACAUAUUUUAUUAAAUUAAUAUAAAUUUUCUAUAAAAUAAGAAUAUAAUAUUAAAACAAAUUCACAGAAAUUUAAAGAAUUUUGAAUGUAAAAUAAUUUUAAUAUAUUAAUACGUGAGUUUUUUUAUUAAUAUAAAAAUUAUUUAACUUUAAGAUUUUUUAAAAUCUUUACAAUAAGUAUAACUAUAUUAUUUACAUUUAAAAAUAUUUAAAUAUUAUUAACCUACAAUUAUAUUUGCAUUUGUUAGAAAUUUUUAAAGUCAAAUAUUUUGCACUUCUAUAUUAUUAGAAUUAUUGCACACAAAGAAAGAAACAUAUACGUUUAGAAAUUGUUUUCUUUUAAAAUAGAGAUGAUGAUUAGUAUAAGGAUCAAAAAAAGGAUAAAGAAUAUUAAUGAUUAACGAAAACUCUAUACAAAUUGAUUUUAGUAGGAAAAGAGUGAGAUGAAUGAUUUCUUUUACAGUUAGAAAAAUAGAUGAUGAUUAUUAUAACGAAGAAGAAAAGAUAAAGAAUAUUAAUUAUUAAUGGAAUCUCUAUGCAAAUUGAUUUCAGUAGGAAAAAAAAUGAGUUAAAUGAUUUAGAGUGCGUUUGGAAUUGAGAUUGGACAGCCAUAGAUUUUAAGUUACAACACUGAAGUGUUUGGUAAAUACUAGCUGCUGCAGAUUGAAAGUUAUGUUGAUAUGAUUUUUCACAUGUAUCAUAGAAAAUAUAUUACAUCUUUAAUAAUUUUUUUAAAAUUUGUAUUUGCUAUAUAUUGUUUUUUUUAUAUAGUUAUAACUUUUUUUUUUUCCACAGCAGCUGUAGCUUAAAAGCUACAGCACCUCAAUCUCAAACAAGUCCUUAGACAUUCAUAGUGUGUUUAUUUUUUGGAUUGGUGAAUCAAAAUUAUUGACAACGCUAACUUCAUCUUCACCGUUCGCAAUCCAACAGCAGCAAUUGUCGCCAAUAAUGAUAUCGCCGAUGAUGAUGACAAUAAUAAUAAUAAUAAUAAUAAUAAUAAUAAUAAUAAUAAUAAUAAUAAUUAUUAUUAUUAUUAUUAAUAAUUAAUAUAUUAAUAUAUUAAUGUUAAUAUUAUUAUUAUUAAGAUUAACAAUAAUUAUUAGUAAUACAAUUUUUUGAAUAAAAAUAAUCACAAUAAUUAAAAUACAAAUUAACAAUUAUGACAAUAGUUAAUUAAUGUCUUUUUAGUAAUUUGUAAUAAUCUAACUCAUUUUAAUUCUGAUUAUUACAGUUUAAGUAAAUAAAUUAUUAUGAUUCCUAUUCUCCUUUUCUAUUUUAACUCACUUCGAUUCCAGUCUAUUCUGAUUUUUGUUUAAUAAACGCACCAUUAGUGCUAAAGUAAUAUUUCAUACAUAGAAAAGUAAAAACUACACCUAAGGUUAAGGGAAAGGACUUCAAAACUCUCUUUUGAUCAUAAUACAUUUUGUACUAAUUAACUUAAAGAUUUUGAAUCUAAUAUUUUAUAAUAAAUAAAAAUAUAUUCCUAAAAUAAAUAUAAUAUCAAUAUUUAAAAUAUGUUUUAAUAUUUUACACAUUUUAUUAUAUUAAAGUAGAUUUUAUAAUAAAUACAAACGUCCUAUUAAAAUGAAUAUAUAAAAAAUUUAGAAAAUUUAGAAUAUUAUAUAAAAUAAUUUUAAUAUAAUGCGUGAGAUAUAUUUUAUUAAUUUAAAAUGUUAUUUUACCUAAAAAAUAUGAUAAAUUAAUAAUUACAUAUUUGAAGUUAUUUCAAAUAUUAAAAAAAUUUAAUAUUAUUAGUCUUUUAGAUAGAUUAAAUUAUUUUUUUUAUAAGAGAUAGAUUAAAUUAUUUUAAAAUGCCUUAAUUAUUUUUACUUUUAACGUUACCGGCCUUUCUUUUAUUUUAUUGCAAAUUAAUGCUAACAAGAAAAAGCUAGAUCAUAUUCCACAAAAGCAAAAGUGACAAACACAACCAGCUGGAAUCUUUUAUAAAACUACAAAUUAAAAUGGAUUUUUUUUUUGAUAAAUUACACAUGAAAGUGGAUUCUUUUGAAUAUAAGUGGAGUAGGCUCUUUUAUUUUAUUUUUGAAUAUUGUAUAACGGGACUGUAGACUCUUUUAUUAAACUACAAAUUGUAUAGUCUUUUUAAAAUUGUUAUAAAUUAAUGGCCCCCACAAUCCUCAACAAUUGUACCGAUAUUCACAAGUUGGUGGCCCCUACAAUUCUGUUCCGAUAAUUUAACUGUGCAAGUGCUCAUUCACAAUCUUCCAGGUCAUGCUCUCAAUAAUUGUUUUUUUUUCCUGCAUUCCCUUUGGGAAAUUUACGAAAAUAAUCAUUAAUAUUUUAUUAUUUUUACAAUUAACCGUCUUAAUUUUUUUCUAUCAACAUUAGCCAAAUACAAGUCUUUCUUCCCAAAUUACCCUUCUUUACAGAACAAAACCAACAUUGUUUCUCCCAUAUCGCCAAACCAAAAGCAGCUUUUUAUUCUUAAAUCAUCAGCCAACGGCGACCGCAAAAGACAACGGUAAAAGUGAUAUCCGAUCAUAAUCUAUCCGGAUCCAACACAAAUCUACAUCACUCAGUGGUAUGAAUUAUUUUUUGAACUUACUGAACUCAGUCGGGUGAAUCUGAGUCUGGCGACAGGCUGCCUGUCGCAGUAAAACUUGGUGCGACAGGCAACCUGUCGUACCAAACCUUGGUGCGACGGGCACCCUUGGAGAUUUAUUAAAAAUGUAUUAUUUUAAUAGGACUCAAAUAAUUUUUUUUUAUAAUUUCAGGCUUAAUGGAUUCAGUUGUACUUGAAUUGUGUUACGAUGGUUGGUGGGAGACAUUAGAGAAUGGCUGUAUGGAGUACGUGAAUGGUAAAAAUCGAGCUUUUUUGGUUGGAAAAAAUUACUUGUUUGAUCAGUUAUUGGCAAGAGUAUACGAGGUAUUAAAAAUAAACCCUAAUGACUAUAGUAUCACAAUGAAGACAACUUUGAGGUCUAGUAACACAUUAUAUCGUAUAUGUGCAAUGCCCAUGGAUAUAUGUGAUGAUGAAAUGGUGAGGGUUGUGUUGCAUAUGGCAUCUGACGUAGCUAAUUUUGGAUGCAUUCCUAUAUUCGUGACCACAUCACCUCGACUUCCGAGCGAAGGUAUUGAGCCACAUGUCGAUAUAGAAACUUCGUUUAGAGCAAAUAUGUCUGGCCCCGAUAAUGAUGAAGAGGUGUUGCCAAGGACAAUAUCGCUGCAGCAAUAUUACUCUCCAAUCCACGACAAUUAUGAUAACAUUGAUGAUAAUAGCGUUACGUUACAGGAUGUUGGAGCAACGGUAUUUCCAAUAACAACGUCGUUGGAGCAACGAUAUUCUCCGUAUCACAACAAUGAUUUUCGGGACAAUGAUGAUUUUCAUAAUGAGACAGAGGAGGAUAAUGUUUGUGCAGAACCUUCUAAUAAUACGAGGCGGGGCACUCGUUUCAAUAAUGAUGGUGAUGAUGGAGGAGUCGGUCAUUCGAAUGUUCCGUCGUUUCAGCAUGAGGAUGAGUGUGAAGACAAUACUCCUGUGAAUAACAGAGGCAAUAGACCUAUUCCUUCUAUGGUUCGAUCGAGAAGGAGAAUUGACCCCCUUACAAGUCUUGCUCCAACUUUACCUUCGAACAUGGUUGCUCCAAGCUUUGUUAGCAGUUGUGACUCAGAUGAUAUCAGCGUGGGUAAGCUAUUUGUUGAGAAGAAUGAGCUUAUAUUACAACUACGCAAGGUGGCCUUUAGAGAUAAGUUUGAUUUCAAGAUUGCACGGUCUACUACGACACGUUUCGAGGCUCACUGUUGUUCAGAAUCAUGUAAAUGGCAUAUUCGAGCAACUAGAAGUUCGAACGAGCAAAAUGUUCCUUGGGUGGUGAAGAGAAUUGAUAAUGUACACACUUGUCAUAAUGAGGUAUUGAUUGAUGGACGUCAUCAAGUAAGGAGCCGGGUUGUCGGUCAUAUUAUCGCAGAAAAAUAUAUUCAAGAUAAGAGGAUUUAUACUCCCAAUGACAUAAGAGCAGAUAUGCAACAGGAAUACGGUGUUCAGUUAACAUACCAGCAGGCAUAUAGGGCGAGAGAAGUUGGUCUUGAAAUAGUUCACGGCAACCCUGCAGAGUCAUACAACUUGCUCCCUAAAUACUCUCACGUACUAACUACAACGAAUGAGGGUACAGUCACUCACCUCGAGCAGGAUGGAGAUGGUAAUUUCUUGUACUAUUUUGUAGCACUCGGAUAUUCCAUCAAGGGGUUUAUGCAGUACAUUCGGCCUGUCAUUGCUGUAGAUGGUACUCAUCUAAAGAGAUUAUAUCGUGGAAGCAUGUUCGUGGCAACAUGUCUUGAUGGUAACAAUCAAUUGUAUCCGUUAGCCAUUGGGAUCAUGGAUUCAGAAAAUAAUGAUGCUUGGGAAUGGUUUAUGAUGAAGUUACACGGAGUGAUUGGUGAUAGACCUGAGUUGGUAAUUAUCUCUGAUCGAUGCACUGCCAUAAGGAGAGCCGUUCUUAAAGUAUUUCACAAUGCAACUCAUGGCGUUUGUUUUUACCACGUCAAAGGUAACAUUAAGUCACAAUUUAGAAUGUCCAAAGCUCUUUGGGAUGAAUUUGAGCAUGCCUUUAUUAAUGCAGCAAAAGCAUAUGGCCACGAGGAAUUUAAGAGACAACUUGAAGGGUUGUGGAUGAUCCACUCGGGUGCGGCUGAUUACUUAGAAAAUAAUGUCGGCACGUGUAAUUGGGCAAGGUCUCAGUUUCAAGGUAGGAGGUACAACAUUCUUACCACCAACAUCGCGGAGAGUGUUAAUGCUUUCAUGAGGGAACCUCGAAAAUUUCCUGUUACUCAUCUUGUUGAUCACUUCAGGAAAACAUUGCAGCAAUUGUUUUAUGAUAGAAAAAUUGUGGCUGAAUCAAUGACUACUCGGCUAACAACAUGGGCGGAUGAAAUAGUCACUGAGAGGAGAACUAUAGCUGAAAGAAUGAUAGUUCGGCCGGUGUCUCCGCAUCGCUUUCAAGUUAUAGGCGGUGGGCUUAAGGAAGGGUUGGUUGACUUGCAAAAGAGAACUUGCUCCUGCAGAGUGUUUCAGCUUGAUCAGCAUGUGUGUGCUCAUGCAAUUGCGGCGUGUCUAACACACCGGGUGGAUUUUAUUAACCUUUGCUCGGACUUUUACACUACAGAAUCGUUGGCGAUGGCUUAUGCACAACCAGUGGAGCCAGUUGGUGAUGUGGCUGAUUGGGAAGUUCCAGAUGAAAUUCAGGAGAUGCAGGUAUACCCACCAGUUGAGGCACCACUACCUGGCCGUCGUAAAGAGCUCAGAAUACCCUCGACUGGCGAGGACGUUGACCGGCGGACUGUAAGAUGCGGCCGGUGUCAUGAACUAGGCCAUAAUCGUAAGCGAUGUAAGAAUCCUAUUGCGUCGACUCGAAGUUAGUUGUAUUUUGUGUGUUAUUCGUUGGUUAAAACUAUUAUUGUUUUUGUGUUACAUUGGUUAAAACUGUUAUUGUUUUUUGUAUUUCGUUGGUUAAAACUGUUAUUGUUUUUUGUGUAUUGUACACUUAUAUUCAUAAAACUUUAUUUUAUUUUAAAGUUCAAAAUGUGAGGCAUUAAAAUUAUAUAAACUUAAGUGCGGAAAUUAAAAAAAAUGCAAAUUUCAACAUUGAAAUUACUACAUAGGUCUACAAUAUAAUAUCGUCAUUAAAUAUAUCAACCGCAAUCUUCUUUCUAAAGUACUCGACAUGACUAGCGUUAAACUCCAAUCUAAGCCCGAACAUUAAAUACAUCGUAACCAUCAAUACAAAAACACUGCAAUCGCUAGUUCCGGGCUCUUGUUGUGGUGCGCUCUUAACUGCGAUAACUUUCCACGGGUCUUCACUCCGCAACUCAGGUCGGAUAUUGUAGAAGCCAACAUAUUCCAACCAUCGAGGGAAUAUAACUUCAAGUGGCUUGAAUUUCAACUUGUACUUUUUGUCGUCGCGAAAUGUGAGUAAUGAGUCAUAAAUCCAGACUUUAUUUUUCCGAAAGUCAACUCGUGCUAGUACCCAAUGCGCGCCGUCCAAGUUAACAGGGAUGAGUAACUGCAUAUAAAAAUUAAAAAAACAUGUUCGUUAUAUAUGAAAUUGAAAUACAACAAAGAAAAAGCAACAACUCGAAUAUUUUCAUUAUAGAGCAUGUGAAAUGUAAUAAAAUACACACCAUAUCGACAUCCGUCAUUAAUUUUGACAUUGUGUGCUGUCGCCCACAAAGAUAACUAUUCAAGCGGUCGUCGAAUACCAUUGAAUCAACUGCACAAUUCCUGUUAUUCCAUAACUGAUUCAAGAACACCUAGUACAUAGAUAACCAAGAAAUGCAUAAAUUAAUAAAACUUAAAGGCAAUAAUUAAACAAAUUAAAUAGUAUUUAUAAGUUUUGUCGGCACGUUACCCAAAAAAAUGUGUCAGUAUGUGUGACACGUUGGAGUAAGGCAUUUGGAUACUGCCGUUGUUUCUCGCUAAUCAAGCGGAGAUACUCGUGAAUAUGCUGUAGAGAAACAAAAAUAUUACGAUUUAAAAAAAAAUUAUACACAAAUCCACAACAGUAUACACCACGAGGAAAAUAUAAAUACCUCAUCGCCUAGCCAUCCCAUCGAAGCUGUCCCCAAAAUUAUUUGAAAGAAUGACCGCAGGUGCUGGACUCUCCGGCGGACUCUGCUAUCACCAGUGAACCAUCGAUCAAACUCAGCAAACAAACUAGAGUCCUCCAAUCCUCUCAGUGGAUUUACAUCCACACUCGUACUCAUGUCAAUCGCAUGCUCCAUCAUUUGGGGUCGAGGUAACCUCCGGACGUUCUGUCCACGCCUGACCGGAGGAAUCAUGUAAGGACUGUUAUAAACAUACGACGGUAUGUACGCGCGGCCGAACUUACUAACGCCCGGAGGCACCUCUGUGAACACCUGCAUGCUCUCCCCACUAACAUCCCCGUAUAAACUAUAAAAUGACGUGGGCGUAGACAAAUUUUCAUUGCCCACGUCAGUAUACACUCCAUAGUCAUCCGGGGCCUGUACAUUCGCCAAAAAGAACAUAUUAAAUAAUUAUCAAAUUAAAAGUUAAACGAACAUAAUUAUUUAAUUUAAAUUAGCUUACCGCAUACGAGCGUGCAGUGGGAGAAUCCUUAUUUGGAUGUUUAGAAAAUGUGUCGAUGAAGCCAACAACGGUUUCUUUAAAAUCUUUUAAUUCUGACUUUAUUUCAUACACAUUACGAUCAAUCUUAUCCAGCCGUCGUCGUACGUAAUCAUUAAACUGCUUUGUCCUCGACUAUUACAAAAGAAAAAAAUAAAACUUUAGAAUAACAAUAAAAAAAUAAUAAUUUAUAAAGGAAAAAUAUCGUAUAUUAUUUAUAACCUCAGAAUCCCGUGCGUCAUCAGAGUUGUCUGUUUGCUGCUGGUGGUCAUCAACAGCCACCUCAUCCUCAAAAGUGUCAAGACGCUGCUCUGGUAUUGGGUUUAGUAUGUCGUCAUGAUCAUCAUGCUCGUCCGAUUGUCUUGUAACCGACGGCAUCGCGUUGAUUGAGGGUUGGUGCUGUAUAAAGUAUCAUUUAAAAUUACUAAAUGAAAAGUCAAAAAUUUCGAUAAAAAAAUUUUUAGUACUUACAGUAUACCGACCUUAUGAAUCCAAUCUGGAAUGCUUGGCAAGUAAUCCUUCACAGAGAGUCAAUAUUUUCUGCUACUCUCUUUUGAAUUUGGCUCAAGAGUUUGUAAAAUGUCCGUCUGCCAUAAAUUCAAUUGAAAAAUUUAAGUAAGUAUACCCAACUUAAAUUUAGUAAAGUUAAAAAAUAAGUAAUACAUAUUACUUACAAGACGAGAUUCGUCGUUGAAGAACGAAUAAACCUCCGCAAAGUUGAUUCUCGAAGACGUCAUGGGCUUCCAUUGCAGAAUGCGGGGAAUCUUACUCUUCGUUUUGACGACCCAUGUUGAUGGCAACCCUCCGAUUGCUUCGUAAAUCCAAGCCUACAACAAACCAAAGUGAAAAAUCAAAUAAAACAACUAUCAAAUAUUUAAUACUAUAAAACUUAUUAAUAAACAAAAAAAAGCACCUGCACCCCAGACGUAAAGCCGUAAAGAUUAUAUUUUUCAAUAUUAUGAUCUGAAUUUUUCAACCGAGUCUUCUUAAAUUUCUCGUCUUUCUCGAACAGUGCAUUGUCAAGACUCUCGUAAAUCAUUUCCCACGACAAUAGACCCCAUGGCGCUUUCGGAAGUACUGUAUAUCAUCAACUUGGUCAAGCCAAUCGAAAUUAAUUUGACAGUGAUUUUUUCUUGCAUUUAGUACUCUGUCCGCAAAAUAAAACAGCGCAAUCUUUAAUGCGUCCAUAUCGUCCAUUUCCUCGAAAUUCAACUCCUUAAAUACUGCAUCAAAUUGCUUCACAUUAAUCUUACGAUGCACACCACCAAAAUACGUAUUCCGUAGCCUCUGCUCCAUUUCAUCAUUUUUUUCAUUGGUAUCAACACCAAAUGAAAGUCCAGUAACCAAGCACCAUUCGAUAAUUGACAAGCGAAUCAAAUGCUUACCAAUUUGAAACCAUAACUGAUCCUCACAGCUAUCUUCUUCAUGGGCCACUUGCCGCAGUAAACGAUUGUGCAAAAUUACCCCACUAAAUGGAAAACUUCGGCACUCCAAGAAAUGCCCAAAUAUAUCCUUUUUGAACAUACUCAACUGCCGCUUUGUUAAUUUUUCCUCGAUGGCUUUUACGACCGAAGAUAACAUACACAUGCUCGAAAUUCGACCAGGAAAGUGAUCAGCAUAACGAAAAUACAUCUUGCCUACUUCAAUAUCCGGUGAUUCUGAUUUCGCCAUGUAUCUGUAAUAUUUAUAAAAUUAUUACAUUACAUUUACAAAAUUAUUACCAAACUCUAAUUUUUUGGUGCGACAGGCGCCUGUCGCUCCAAAAAACUGCCUGUCGCACCACAGCUGGUGCUCCAAAAUCGAAAACAAUACUCCCAAACACUACCAACUACCACAAACAUCAUCACCACCACUAUUAAUCUCAAGCUAUAACUAUUAUUAUUCUAAAAUCUCAUUUUAAAUUAAUGAAAAUAAGAAAAAUGACUAACCUAGGUUUUGUUGAAGGUUGUAGAUCGUAGAUCGGAUGCCGGUGAGAGAUGGAGCCGCCGCCGACGAGGGUUGAUGUCGCCGCCGAUGAUGGGAGUUGGAUCGGUUUGGGAGAGAUGAGUGAAAAAGGGAGUGUUGGGGAAGAGAUGAGGGAUGGGUAUUUUGGUCUCAAAUGUUGUUUUAUGGCUAAUGUUGAUAGAAAUAUUUUUGGGGGGUUAAGAUGAAAAAAAACAAAUUUGUUUUGGUUAUUACUGUAAAUUUCCCAUUCCCUUUCAUGCUCUUAAUAAUUGAAGAGCAUACUUUUCAUUUUCAAAUGUGGAGCCGCAUCUAAUGUCGCUAAUUUAAUUUGGGAUUAAAUUAGGGGACCAUUAUAUUGCAGUGUGUACUAAUUUUUGUGUUUAUCUAAACUCCUUAAGUUUAAGACAUAUUAUGGCAUAAAUAAGAAUAUAACAAUAACAAAAGAGAUGCCGGAGCAGAUCAGCAGGGUUUGAAUAUGACCUUUGGCGGUUGCUUUUUUUUUGUGAUUUUUUUCAUUUUUUCCUUCCUGUCAUUUUAUCAUUUAUUUGGCUCUGUUUCUAUUGCGGGUGUUACUGCAUGCUUACUGUUGCUUGACAAAGUUUGCUAGCUUUUUGUUUGCAGUGCUGCUAUUCACCCCGAGUCAAGCUCCGAAAAUUUAUUAAACAACGCCGUUUCGAUAGUAACAAUUUUUUUCUUUUCCCUUUGUCUGUCUCUUUCAUCUGCUGUUUCUCUAUCACUUUUCAUUUUUUAUUUCCUUACUUCCCAGCUGCCCCUAAAUUGUUAUUCUAGCAAUAUACUUUCUCAUCUUUGAAUUUUCAUCCUUGAGUACUCCCACAGCCGUAAUUUCAUCAUUAUAGACUUCACUUGGAAUGCUGUAUUUUUUCGAUUCUUAAGCUACUUCAAUUACAUCUCCCAGUAUAGGAUCCUCAUCUUCCUUUAUUUCUUCAUCUUAUGAGGUAACAAAUGGAUUUCACAACUCAUCUACUUUUAAGCAAUUACAUAUUAUACCUUGAAUGAUUCAACUGUUCCGACAGUUAAAGAUUUUAUGCUCAACCUGCAGUGCUACGAACAUUGUCCAUGAAAGAUGAGUUUCAGCAUAUAAAAUGAAAUAUAGAUGUUUAAUCUAAAAUAACCCUUCACUGCCAAGAAACCUAGGUCACAAAAUUCACAGAUAAUGAUAAAGAGCUAAAAAAUUUGAAAAACUCUACAGAUCACACAUCAAGCAAGAUAUCAUGUUUUUUUCCCUCAUUCGGUGGUGAUUGAUUCGCUUUUUGAUGAUGGAUAUGGUAUAAAAGUUUUGACCCAAUUUCAAGCAAACACAAAUAGAAACACAAAUAGAAACACAAACACAAUCAGGACUAGAGUUGUGGGCGAUUAUCUUAGGUGUACAAGUGAAACGGUGGUGGCUGUCGAUGGUGGUAGUGGGGUGGUUGGGUAUGCGUGAUGGCUAGAUUUUAGGACAAUAAUGGUUGGAGUUGACCUCGAUCAACGAAGGAAAGUGACAACAAUUUUGACAUCAAACGGUGCAUUUUUUAGCUUAGUAAAAUGGAGCCGUUUCGAAUUUGGGGUUUAAUCCGGGGUUUGACUCGGCGCAAGUAUCAUUUUCCUUUUGUUUAUUAAAUUUUUUAUGGUCACAAAGUAUUACUCGUUCUAUUUGAGAGUGAUGUGAAUCAAUUUUUCAAUUUUAUAUUUUGUGGUCAAUGUGAAUUUAAUUUCAUUUGUCUCCUGCAAUUAUGAAAAAAUUGCAGUCAUAAUAUGGAAAAGUACACCGGCAAAAACUUUGUAAAAGCUUCGGAGUGAUACGGGGAAUUUACUUACUACUGAGGACAAUUGGUGGCAAAGCUAUUCCAUUCAUUUUAUGUCCAUCCAUCUAUUUAGCUAUUGAAGAUUAGUGGUCCAUUUGUAAAUUUCAGAUUGUCUCUCUCUCUCUCUCCCACUUGAAAUAACAAUAUUUAAUAUAUCUCUUAAAUUAUUAUAAAUUUUAAUUUACUCUCGAUUUAAAAUGGAGCAUGUCGAUAAAAAAUUUUUCUUCUUAAUAAAAUUGACGUAAGUUGUGUGUUACAGUAGUUUGAAGUUUGAAAUAUUUUAAAGAUUAUUAUUCUAUAAGGGAGUAAUAUGAAAUGAUAUUUACUUUUCAUGUGUGAAAUGAAAAAGGACGAAGCAAGUGUCCCUGCUUUUAUUUUAUUUCAAGGAGGAGUCAUCUCACAUACUUUAGCUCUUAACAUUACAUUUUUUCUGGUUACAUUUUUUAUUUAUUUAUUUUUUUUUUUUUACACAUGCGUGUGGGUUGCUUUUCUGUAAGCUCCUUAAUAUAUAUUUAAGACAAAUCAUGGAAGAGAUGGGAUUAUAUCAAGAUGAUCAAAGCAUGUAAAAAAAGAAAAAAGAAAAAAAAAAAUUAAGAAGUAAGACACUGAAAAUGGAGAAGAGAUGGAAGCAAAAGAUAUUCCAAAACAAAGCAAUCUAUCCCCUUUCGAGGGCAGACUUAUCAGGUUUAAAAAAGUACAUGCUUUGGAUUGGUAGUUGCAAUCAAGGGAAAAUAAAUAGGAUCCAAUGAAAUUUAAAUCUCGGAGAAAAUAAAUAAUCAUGCAGAUUUUCAAGAUUUUAAUAAGGGAUACUAAUAUCUUAUUUUGAUUAAUAACAUUCUUUUAUUGUGUUAACUCAAAAAAAAUAUUAUAAUGCUUUACAAUAAAUACAAAUGUCCUAUUAAAUGAAUAUAUAAAAAAUUUAGAAAAUUUAGAAUAUUAUAUAAAAUAAUUUUAAUAUAAUGCGUGAGAUAUAUUUUAUUAAUUUAAAAUGUCAUUUUACCUAAAAAAUAUGAUAAAUUAAUAAUUACAUAUUUGAAGUUAUUUCAAAUAUUACUUAAUUGUUUUUACUUUAAACAUUACCGGCCUUUCUUUUAUUUUAUUGCAAAUUAAUGCUAACAAGAAAAAGCUAGAUCAUAUUCCACAAAAGCAAAAGUGACAAACACAACCAGCUGGAAUCUUUUAUAAAACUACAAAUUAAAAUGGAGUUUUUUUAAAAAAAUUGUUAUAAAUUGGUGGCCCCUACAAUCCUCAAUAAUUGCACCGAUAUUCACAAGUUGGUGGCCCCUACAAUUCUGUUCCGAUAAUAAUUGUUUUUAUUUUUCUGCAUUCCCUUUCAUGCUCUUAAUAAUUGAAGAGCAUACUUUUCAAAUGUGGAGCCACAGCUAAUGUCGCUAAUUUAAUUUGGGAUUAAAUUAGGGGACCAUUAUAUUACAGUGUGCACUAAUUUUUGUGUUUAUCUAAACUCCUUAAAUUUAAGAUAUAUUAUGGCAUAAAUAAGAAUAUAACAAUAACAAAAGAGUAAAAAAGUGUAGAGAAGAUCUUGCAGAAAUAUAAAUAAUAUCUAUUUUAAAAUAAUUUUUAAUAUUUUAUGAUCCAUUAGAUAUAUUUAUUAUAUUAAAGUAAAUUUUAUAAUAAAUAAAAACAUACUAUUAAAAUGAAUAUAUAGAAAAUUUAGAGUAUUUUAAAUAUUAUAUAAAAAAUUUUUAAUAAAAUAUGUGAGAUAUUCAUAUUUUAUUAAUUUAAAAUACCAUUUAACCUAAAGAUUUAUUUAUGAUAAAUUAAUAAUUAUAUUUUUGAAAUUACUUCAAAUAUUAAAAAAUUAAUAUUACUAAUCUGUUAGAUAGAUUAAAUUAUAUAUAUUAUUUUCUAUUUAUUAAAAAAUUAAAAUUAUUUUUAAUUACUAUUCAAAAAAUAUAAUGAAAAAACAUAAUGAUAAAAAAAUCUUAACAUCUUUAUUAAAAAAUUAAAAACUUAUAUGAUAAAUUCUCUAAAUAUUUACGGUAUAUGUGAACCACGGUGGAUAAGCUUUAUUUAAUAUUAUUGAUUUAAAUAAUAUGUCAAUUAAAAAUGUACAGAGAAGAAAUUUCGGUGGGUAUUUUAGUCUUUUAAGCAAUUAUCAUGAUCAGAUCAGCCUUUAGCCUUCAAACGUCGGUCAGAAAAGUUUUAAAAUUAAUGCUAAAUUGUUUUUCACUUUUAACGUUGGUGGCCUUGAAAUUGCUUGUAUUUUAUUAAAAAUUAAUGCUAACAAGAAAAAGCUAGGUCAUAUUCCACAAAAUCAAAAGUGACAAAACAACCAGCUGGUUUCUUUUACUAAACUACAAAUUAAAAUAAAUUUUUUCGAUAAAUUACAAAUUAAAGUGGAUUCUUUUGAAUACAAAUGGGACAGACGAUUAGGCUCUUUUUAUUAGAGGCAAGUAAAAACUAGUCAAGAAUCGAACAGUCUUUUUCCAAUUCUUGUUUUAUUAUUUUUCAAAACUAGUUUUUGGUAAUUACAACCGGGUCAUUAAUCAUUAUUCAGAGUUACUGUUAUCUUCGGGGGCAGUGGGUAAAAGAUAAUUACUAACUGUUUUUCCUUCAAAAGUUAGCGGCUCAUGUUUGCAAGUGUGAAUGUGCGAUGCUCUUUUCUUAAAGGCCAUUACAGUGGGGCCCGAAUCAGACGUGCCUAAAUCUUUUUAAAAUUUUUGCCGUAUAACGAACAGAGGUCAUUACUAAAAUUUCUCUUCCACAGCCUACAGCAGCUUCAGUUUAUCAAACUCCAUCAAUUUUCUUUCUUAACAAAAUUCCAAAGAUGUGUAGCAUUUUUCAGAUCACAUGCGAUGGUGCUCUUUUCAAUCGUUGCUUGGAUUGCUUUCUUGGAAAAGCAGCAUACAUACGUAACCUCCAAGAUAAUCUUGUAGCCUUGGAGACUGAACUGGGAAGACUAAUCGCAGCAAAGAACGAUGUGAUGAUGAGGGUUGUCAAUGCUGAACGGCAACAAAUGAGAAGGCUGGACGGAGUGCAAGUGUGGGUUUCGAGGGUGGAUUCUGUUAAAACUGGAGCCGACGAACUUAUCACAGACGGCUCUGAAGAAAUUGGCAAAUUAUGUGUUGGAGGCUACUGUUCCAAGAACUGCAGGUCAAGCUACAAAUCGAAAACAAGUGGCUAGAAAGCUACGACAUGUGAAGACUUUAAUCGCCGAGGGAGUUUUUGAGGCGGUGGCCACUGAGGUGGUGCCCGAGAGAGCUCCGGAACCUGUAGCAGAUAAAAGACCCACUGAGCCAACAAUAGUAGGCUUGCAAUCACAGCUUGAACAAGUUUGGAGAUGUCUUGUAGAAGAAUCAGUGGGAAUCAUUGGCCUAUAUGGUAUGGGCGGUGUUGGUAAAACCACACUAUUGACCCAUAUCAACAAUAAAUUUCUUGAGAGUCCCACAAACUUUGAUUGUGUGAUUUGGGUCGUAGUUUCAAAAGACCUGCGACUUGAAAAAAUUCAAGAAGAUAUUGGGAAGAAGAUAGGUCUGUCUGAUGAUUCAUGGAAGAAUAAAAGUUUUGAAGAGAAAGCUGUGGACAUCCUGCCGAGAUUAGGAGAGAAGAGAUUUGUAUUGUUGUUAGAUGAUUUAUG